UCUGCUCUUCGUGUGCAUCUCUGCUCUUCUUGCCCUAAAUGGCAAGGAACGAAAUCCUUAAUUUCAAAAAUUAGAAAAUCGUAGCCCCAAAUCAGUCAAUCAUGCUCAGGAUUCAUCAAUCUUGCGAGGGGAUUUGUGGGGAUUCUCGUGAGCAGCUCGUGAGGGACCUCCACGACACUUGUGAGGGGAGGGGAUCUCGUGUGACGCUCGACGAUGGCCGUCCGAUGCUCGGAAAUGCUCAGGAGGAACCGGGGGAUUUCUACGAGCAGCUUGCAAGGGAACUUGACAACGACGACUUAGCCUAGCAAGAGGAGGACAAGCCACAAUUGCGCGGUUCUGCCACUUUGCAAUGCAGUUUGUUUCAGCUUUUGUAUACACAAGUAGAGCCUGAGAAUAGUAGUUUCAUUUGUGCGAAAAUCAAUCACGAAUGAGGCUGCUUUGAUAUAUUGAGCUUCUAUUUUAGUAUGUCUGUGAAAGAGUGAGUUUUACAGUGAUAUCAUUCGAUUUUAACCAUCCAAUAGCUAUUGGAUCAUCAAUUUGAAUAGAACUUAUCGAAACAAUAUGUCAUAGUUUAUGGAUUUGUUUUUGUUAUGCAUUGUCUUUACCUUUUUGAUUCUAUGUUCUGUAUUGCCAUCAAGAUGAGUGUAGUUCAAGUCAACGAAGUUUCAGAUUAUUAGAGGCUAAUCUACUUAUCUAUGUUACAUUUUCUUCUCAUAGCUUUAAAUUUUUAUUGUAACUGCUUCCCAAAUCUGUUGGUUAUUGGGUUUGUAGCAGCUGGUGGUUCAAAUUUUGUUCGCAUGCUGAAGCAUUAAAUUAUUUUUAUUGCUUGAUUUACUUGCAUUGCUGGGGAUACGAUCUCAAGAAGUGUGGGGAAUGUUUUGUUUUGUUAAGUAGUAGAACCAAUGCAAGAAUAGAGCAAGCACACUUUAUUGGAUAGCAUCUUCAUCUUGACCUUCAUUAGUGGCAACGUUUUCCAGAGUUGCUUGUUGCAAAAUUGAAUUGAAUUUUCACAUGCUAUUAACUAAUUUUGCAUGUAUCUGUUCACCUAUUCAUCAUGUUUGUAUAUUGCCUUGAUUAUUGAAAGAGGUACUUCAAAUUGUCAGUGGGAAUCUAUAUGGAUCGAAUCUGUAAUAGGUUUCUAAAGAUAGCUGAAUCACAGCAUCAGGAAAUCAGGUCAAGCUCAAAGAGAUAUUUCUUUUAUUCUUCCACACUUUGACAAUAUGGACCUCUUUAGACAGAUUUGCACAAGAUCUUUAAAAUGUCAUCCUCAUUAGGCUUUGGCACCAAAGGUUUCCUUGAUCUAUUAAGGCUUUGCAUCUCUCGAAUCAAAGAGAGAUUUCAAGGCUUCUCGGACUACCUCCAACCAGUCAAGUCCAGUGGAUAACCUUUCUCAGAGUUCCAGUGAACACAACUCCGAGGAGGCUCUGGUUGAUAUGAACCAUUGUCAUUGGUCUCAGCUACAGGAAGUAAGCAGAUGCUCUGUCCUUGGAACUAUACACACACACACACACACACACACAUAUUGGCCUGAAUGACACACCAUAAAUGUUGUGAAUAAUAUUGAUUGCAUACUUAGUCUAAACAUACACAUUCGAAGAUAGUUGAUGUCCCCAAUCUUUGUUCAAUUAGGAAGAAGAUGGUUUUGCACAAGAAGUUCCAGAUGCAUCAGAAUUGAUGGAAAGUGGUAAGCCCAAGCUAAUUGUGGCCUUAGGGUUCUGAUAUGUGCAGAUAUGUUGUCAUGAAUUGGCUUCCAUUAUCUACUUAAUAAGUUAAAAAGGGCAGGUGAAUUGGAUGAGGUUGGAAGACCAGGACCCUCAUUACUACAACAAUCCAGGCUUCCAAUUCAUAAACCUUGCGUGUCAUUCAAGGAGCAUCAACCCAAAAGCCCUGUAAACAGAGUUGAUGAAAAAACAAGAAGAGAGUGCAAAAAGCCCAUUGUAAGGAGUUCCUACUUUAAGCAUCAGUUUUGGAAUGAAACUGAUAGAGACAGGGAGAGAGAAACUACCCCGGUUGGAAGUGACCCAACGAGUGUAGGUGAGACCGUAUGUGUGAAAGGAAUGAUAAAAAAGAAGACCUAUGCCGAUGACACAGUAAAAAAUGUAGGUGUAAACAGCAUUGAGAAAAAACAAGAAGAGAAAACAGAGAGGUUAUUGUAAGGAGCUCUUGUUUCAAGCAUCAUGCUGCAAAGGAAACUAAUAGAGAUGAUGGAAAGGAAAAUAUCCUGGUUAAAGGUGAUCAUCCAAUCAGUCUAGGUGAGACUGACUUUAUGAAGCAAGUGAUCAUGAAGGGGAAAGCCUCCCUUGAUGACAUGUCGGAGAAAGGUGUAAACAGAAAUGAGGACGAAUCAAGAAGAGAGAACAGGAAGUUUAUUAUAAGGAAUUCCUAUUUUAAGCAUCAGUCUGCAAAUAGUGCUGACAAAGAUGACGAAAAAGAAAACAUCCCUGUUGAAAGUGAUCAUCCCAUCAGUCUAGGCGAGACUGGCUUUCUGGAAGGAAGGAUCAUCAAGAGGAAGGCCUCCCUUGAUGGCACAGCGGAAAAAGUAGGUGCAAUCAGGUUUUUACGAAAAUUCUAGCAAUGCAAAACAAAAGCGUAUGCAUGUGGAUGAUUCUCUUGUCAAUGAUGGUAUGUUGUCAACUGAAACCGCGUUAUUAAUACCAGUACUUGUUUAGCAAUUUUCUUGGUUCUUAAUCUUAACAUACUAUCAUGUUUGGCAUAAAUCUAGAUUGAUGUUGCUAGAUAUUGUACAAGAUACAACCUUCAAAGAAUUAAGGAUGAAAUUGCAAAAGCCGUUUAUUAUCUAAUUAAUGAAGAUGCAUGCAUCAACAUGACAAAGCCAAUGCAUUUUCUUUGUAGAGCUAAGCUGAGCUUCUAAUUGGUUUGGAACAUUCAAGGCCGAGCAUGCAUUUCAUGUUUAGCGCAUAAUUUGACUUUUUAAAACCGGAAAUCUUUUGCAUCAUUUGGUAUUUGAGUGUACAUGGAAUAAAGUCGGCAUUACUGGGAAGCCAGAAAAUCUUGGGGUUAUGCCAUGUAUCAAGAGGAACCAUAAUGAUUUGACUCUACAUGUUACAAUACAUUAUAGCUCUGAAAAAAGGCCUCCUGCUUUAGCAGUGAGUUACAGUCCAUUUCUAGGCUCAUACUCUGAUGAAUUGAAUUCUAAAUCCACGACUCAUCUGCAUGUACUUCCAUUUUGAAAGUGAAGGCUCUUCAUCGGAGGGUUAUCUUAAUUGCUUACCAUUAUUUGGGAGUCCACCUUUUCUUUUGGGUUCUGGGGUGGCCUCUUUGGCAUUUUGAAGACUACAGGAUGAAGUUUGAAAUCUGAUAUCUCUUGGCUUCGGGAAGCCGUGCCCCUGGAUUAGACAAGUCAUUCACUAGUUCUGAAGGAAAAUUUGGAGCCGACAUCUCCAAUUUAGGCCGCUAUUCUGACAUAGCAGGAAGUUCAUUGGAGAGAUUCGUCUCGGUAAUAUCGUCAUUUAGAUUCACCGCUUCUGGUUCUCGUGCCAGUGGUCUCCGUGCUCCUUUGAAGGUUGUGCACAAUGCAUGUACGAAUAGGUAGGAGGAUGACAGCAAAGAGAUUCUCUACUUUUCCGCGAUCUUAUUUGGUUAUCCCUCAUUGAUUUCGUUCAAUAGUAGGUCAACUACUGCCCCGGAUAUCAGUCAAUUUGAUGUAGAUCGAUGCAUCUGCCGAACUCCUAGUCAAAACAAUUGAACGAAAUAUGUGGCCAAGAGCAGGAAGCCCGUGAUUCCAACCCGCAGGAGUUGAUUGUGUGCAGUAUAUUUCGAUGUAGAUCGAUGCAUCUGCCGAACUCCUAGUCAAAACAAUGGUUGCCACCUUUAUGUUUCCCAGGCAUGGCCAAUUAAAGUGAACAUAUGCUUGUGUUUUAUGAUAAUGUGGAAACUGUACUUGUUAUGAUCCUUUGCCAUCCAACUGUUAUGAGCAGGGUCGAUCCAGUAACAUGUUCUGCACGAGUCGAAAUCAUCAAUGACGUUGCUAUCCCUGCGACUCGUGUCCAUCAUCUUCGAUACUGUUAAUCAAGAUGUUACUCCCUCAUUUCAAGGCGGUGGAGGACCACAUCAAGGUUGAUUUUUUGUUUUUUCCCGAUAUGUUGGUUGAUUGAUUUUGGGGGAAGGAGAUCCAUUUCAUCAGGUUGAACUAGCAUGCUAAAAUUGCUAGAGACCUCUUGUUUACAUUUUUUAUUUCUGGAUCACUUUGAUUGGAAUUAUCUUUGGAUUUCAUUCCGGAAAGGCUCAAAAACAGAGUUAUGAUGGAUUGGGUUACAUGAUCAGUUUUGCUUUCCCGGUUGCAAGGGGCAAUAUGGGAUUCACAAUCACAUAGUAUUAUGUAAUGCAAUUUUUGCGGGGAAUUGUUUCGUGGAAUGUGUAAGUGAUCCAGACGACAGGAAUUUGCUAUGCAUUCUCUUUUCCAAUUCAUCUGCAUGCCACGAGGUUUGUUUUCUUCUUUUAAUUUUUUAUUUUUGCCAAAAACACUUGAAAGUCAUUCAUUAAUAAAAAAUGUCAUUACAAGCUCAAAUAGGUUUCUCCCCCAAUUUUGUAACAAAUAAAUUGCAAAAAGUUAGACCAUCAAGUUGAUCCUUCGCGCUCACUGCUCGACUCCUCAACAAAAAAGCCAUGAUCUCCUCAAUCCAGGCUGAGGAGUAAAGUGCCAUCCCUUAUUUACAGUGUCAUUAGAUCUAGACUAGUGUUCCACCUUCUUAUCCAUCAAGAACUCCCUUAUAGCGUCCUUUAUCUAUCCUACAUCCAUCUCAUGUAUUGGUCUUUUGCCUUGAAAAAGCUGCUGCAUUCCUACCCUCCCAAAUAACCAACAGGUCUAGGUAAUCAAUCUAAGCAAGCAUUUCUUCUCAACGGAGCUUAUUGCCUGCUUUCAACUUGUCGCAAGAGUCGUCUGUCAAAAGACAUUGCCUGUGUCUUCUCAAUCUUGAUCCGGCUUGCCCCAAACCAUACUAACUCUACAAUACUCACAGCAUAAACUAAGGUGUUCAGCUAAUUCAGCAAGACUUUAAAUCAACCACUCAGAUGAUUGCUUAAUUCUCCUCCUAUUCGAACUCUCUUCUGCAGCUAAUGCCCAAGUGCAGAGUCCCCAAAUGAAAUGCGUACCUUUUGGAAUAUAGUCAAUACCCCAAAUAAUCUUCUAGACCUUGUUGUCUUGUCUACCCCAAUAGAGCAUGAAGCCUGGAUUCGUCUACCUUCAAGUCAUUGGAAACAGGGCCACUUGGCAAGCUGAUUUGACUGAGGAGCUGCCGUUCUUACAGCAAGGCGAUAGUAGUUUGUUCAAUUGCACUUGGUUCCAAAGCAUUUAACCCUUGAUCAAUCAAACUACCCACUCAACUGCUCAUCAACCUCCUGGAAACAUUGCAGGCUAGUUUGCACUUAGCUUCUGUAUAGAUUUUUUUUGUAACAUUUCCUUUUUCGUGCUUUUAGGAUUUGGAAUUAUGCACACUAUGGAUAGAAGAGUGAAAAAUGAAAAUUUAAAUAGAAAUGAGAGCAAUUAACAUUGGAGUCAAGGCGCUCCAAAGAAAGGUGGUAUAAGUUCCACGCCUUGCCAAGAACGGUUCAAGUCGAAACUCUCACGUGGGGUCAUCCAUCAAUCUUCCCUCUUUUGAUAAUGGUACGGAACAUCUGCUCACUCUAUAUUUUUACUAAUUUUAACAAAUUUUUUUAACAAGCAAUGAUUAAUUAACUAAACACGCUGCAAAUUUGUAUUACAUCCUGAAUUUCAAGUUUUGUCUUCAAUUGAAUAAGUAGAGCUUUUCAUCGACGCGCCUAUAGUUCUUUCCAUUGAGUUAGUCACUCACGAGAUAACUAGUCUAUCAGGUGAAGCCGUUAAGGAAUCUAAACGCAAUAGACUUGAGAAUUCAACUAGGAAUCGAUUGCUUGACCAUGUUAAUCUAAUAAAGGUCAUUGCAACACUAUCAAAAUCAAUCAGAGGCUGGAGAUAGGUCGAUUUGAUAGAGAUAUGUGAUUAGUGUGUGGAUGAUUCCACCUAAUUGCAAAAUUUCUGCCGAACGAUACUAAACUGAUUUUUCUGUCAUUUCUGUACCAUAUGCUCGUAUUUAAAAUCUCGAGAUUUUCACGACAAUCGAGAGUCGUUAAUGUGUCGAAAAUUUACAUUGUGGCUUGAAAAUAUAUCGAUCACGGGUCAAUUGCACAAAAAAUUCAUAAAAGUUACUCGAUAGGUUAGGUCACGCUAAAAUCACACCUGAUUGAAAUUAACCACGAAUUUGAACCUGAUCUAAAAAAUUGAAAGUUCUGUCAUAUCACAAUUCAUUUUAAGACUAUUGACUCACAUUCCAAAGAUUUUUUUGCAAACUAAGAUUUUUGGCAAAAAUUCAAAAUAGAGCCGUUUUUGAUCAAGAAAACUAGAGGACCAUUUUUGGUCGUGUUUUUGGGAUUCAAGUUAGUUCAAUUGACAAGGAAAAAUCCUAAGAGGGAUGAUGGCAUCUUGAUUGAAUUUAUGGGGACCGGAUUGAGUUCAAUUGGAGGAUAAUUGGAGAGUAAUUGAAGCAAAUUGGAUGGAAAUUGUACAAAAUUCGUAGGCCAUGGGGGACUCAACAUUUUGGACCAUUUGGGAAGUGUGUUGAGGAAGCUUGGGUGCUGCAAAUGGCUGAGGAUGGAAGACAGCGGUUGGUGGGGCUUGUGUGAUGAUGAAAAUGUAUAUUUUGUGGUCAAAUGGGACCCCUUUCGGCUGAGCUCUCUUCUUCUUCCUCCCUUGCUCUGCCUUUCUCCAUUUUAGAGCAAUUUGAGAGCUAAGAAUUGUAGAGAAACCGAGUAGCACACACCCCCCCUUGCUGUUGACCACCGCCUAGAGCUGUCGAGCGCCGUCAUUGCCGUCGCAAGCCGCCCGCGCACUUAUCUCACUCGUGUGCCUGUUCGCGCGACCGUGCGUUGUCGUUCCCACCCUGGUCGCUGUCCCGAGCCAUCGUCUAGCUUCGCCAACCACUGUACGUGGCCAUCCAAGCCGCCGAAAGUCCCGCCAUUCCCCGCCUAGCCCGCUGCAGCCAUUGCCAUCCAUCUUGUGCUAUUUCAACUGCUUGAGCAGUCCCUCAGUCCAAGGAGCAGAAGCCAGAGAUCUUAGCCCAGCUGAGACUUCGUGUGGCUUUUUCCUAGCCCUUCCGGACCCAUUUUUCCCAGCAGAAGCCGAAGAUCUCAGCCCAGUUGAGACCGUCGGAGUUUUUUUAUGCAAAAUAUUGAAAAUGAAUUUUCUAUAGAGUAAAAGGGAUUUUUCUCUGACAAAUCUUCGUUCUAUGAUUUCACCUGACCUUAAGGGUGUUGUGAUCUCCAAAAUGAUAAAUCGGUUGAAAAUGAAGCUUUUAAAACUCAUUUUUCCCAGCAAAUUUCCAACAAUCAGAGUUUUUUAAGUAAAAUAUCGAAAUGAAUUUUCUAUGGAGUAAAAGGGAAUUUUCUCUGACAAUUCUUCAUUCUUUGAUUUCACCUGACUUUAAGGGUGUUGUGAUCUCAAAAAAUGAUAAAUCGGUAGGAAAUAAAGCUUUUGGAACCCAUUUUCCCAAUAGAUUUCCAACAGUUGUAGUUUUUUAGGCAAAAUAUCGAAAAUGAAUUUUCUAUGGAGUAAAAAGAAAUUUUCUCUGACAAAUCUUCGUUCUAUGAUUCACCUGACUUUAAGGGUGUUGUGAUCUCCAAAAUGAUAAAUCGGUUGAAAAUAAAGCUUUGGAACCCAUUCUUCCCAGCAGAUUUCCAACAGUAGGAGUUUUUUACGCAAAAUAUCGAAAAUGAAUUUUCUAUGGAGUAAAAGGGAAUUUUCUCUGACAAAUCUUCAUUCUAUGAUUUCACUUGACUUUGAGGGUAUUGUGAUCUCCAAAAUGAUAAAUCGGUUGAAAAUAAAACUUUUGGAACUCAUUUUUCCCAGCAGAUUUUCAACAGUCGGAGUUUUUUUAGGCAAAAUAUAGAAAAUGAAUUUUCUAUGGAGUAAAAGGGAAUUUUUUUUUUUUACAAAUCUUCGUUCUUUGAUUUCGCCUGACUUUAAGGGUGUUGUGAUCUCCAAAAUAAUAAAUCGGUAGGAAAUAAAGCUUUUGGAACCCAUUUUUUCCAUCAGAUUUCCAAUAGUCAGAGUUUUUUACACAAAAUAUCGAAAAUGAAUUUUUUAUGGAGUAAAAGGGAAUUUUCUUUGAUAAAUCUUUGUUCUAUGAUUUCACCUGACUUCGUGUCGCCGUCGACGUGAACUUAUCGGAACGCUAAACCGGUGAGUUUACUUGCUAAACUCUAUUUUUGGAGUUAAUGAUGCUUAAUGGAUGAUUAGUUUAGGCUAAUUAAGGUUUAGGUGGAUAGUUAGAUUAGAUAAGUGAUUUAAUUAUUCAAUUAUGCAUGUUAGGUAGUUAGAUUAAAUGAAUUAAGGGCUAGAUAAGUUGUACUAUUUAUCUAGGUAGUUUUGAAAAUUUUCGCGGCCCGUUUGGGCGGUUAAUUAAGCAUUUCUGGCCUAAGUUGUUUUUUUAUUGCAUUUAAAUUAAAUUAUUUAAUUAAUUUUGGUAUUUAUUUAUUUAUUUAUUAUUUUUCGAAAAUUAUACCGAGAUGGCCGGUGACCGGAAUUUUGUGCUGAUUGCAAUGGUGUGGUUAAUUCUACAAUUAAGUGUUAAAUUGUGCAAAUUGAGUGGUAAUCGUAAUUUUGAGUAUCUAAGUCAAAAUUUGGGAAUUUUGGUAAUUAUUUAGAAAUUACCAGGUGACGGGUUUUGACACCAAAAAUUAUUUUAAAUACUAUAUCAAAUGGUGGGAUUUGAAAAUGAAUGGUAUCAAUUUUUCUGGUCCGAAUUGACCGUGUACCCACACACGACUAUUUUACUGUGUGUUUUUAAUACGAAGAAAAUAGGCUAGGAUUACUAUUUUAAUUGAGGCAUUUGAGUGCAAUGCAUGGUGUCCUAGGUCGAGAUUGAAUGGUCAUGUAUUGGUUAAGAGAACCUGUCCUGAGCUGUUGAGCUGGACGUGUCCCUAUAUGGGAUGCGCUACCAAUGGAUACCGGUUAUAGUAGAUUCUGAACCGAUGCUCCUUUAUGGAAUGCCGUCGACGUAGUGACGUUGCCAAGCUCGAUGGGGCGAGACAAUGCCUAGUUAUGCCAGAAGACCGUCGAGCUUCAAGUAGACCCUGCCCAUGUGUGACCGUGAUUAACAAUUGGAACACCUGCUGAGUGAAAUUGAUGCACCGAAUUAUGGGACAAAAUUGUGUGGCACGGAAUGAGACGUGUCAUAAUGAUUUGGUCUUAUAAUCGAGACCCCUUGUGUUGUUGAGAUGAAAGUGUUGGCAUUCCAAUUGUUUGAGCAUGAAUACUAUUUAUGUUUGUGUUAUGAGUUGUGUUGACAUGCAGGAAGGAUCUAAGACGAGGUAAAUCUCCGUGAUUGUGUGGCUGUAUGGUUAGGACGCCCAUAGGCGUAUUUCCUUCCUAAUUAGAGUUUAGGGGGUGAACUUGUUGAGACAUUGUCUCACCCCGUCAUGGGCUCAUUUCUUUUUAGGUCCUUAGAUGGAGCAGCGUCAUGUACACUAUGAGGUUUCGAGGGAGGUAGACUUCCAGCAUUUCUAUUUCCCAGUUUCCAGGACCGACUUGACCCAUGAGCUUGUGGAGUCCACUAUUUGGGUUGAUGAGGGUCUACCCCACCUGGUACCUCAUCGUUUCAAAGCGCGGUACCUUCAUAAGCAUGAUAGGAGUCGAGAGGGUCCUAUAGGUGGUUUUGACAAGCCUCCCAUUGAGACAGGGGAAUGGGAGAUAGGGCACCCCUUGGAUAUUGACACCCCUGAUAGUGCUGUGGAGGAUUCGGAGCCAAGGACUGGAGAGCCUGGAGUUUAGAAUCUCCGUAGCCCUUUUUUGAUCUAGACUUCUGUAUAUAGCCCUUUUAGUAGACUUUUGUAUAUGACUUAGCUUGUGUAUAAAGGUGUUUGGUUUGAUGUGAUUGUCCUGCUUUCCUAUCCUAUGUUGUUUGUUGUCAGGAGUUGUUUAUUCGCUUUUGCAUGUGCAAUAAAAUGAAUGGGUUGGCGACGCAUCUUAGGACGUCGCAAAUUUUAUCGACCAUCGAGGGAUGGGCAUGCACUCAAGGAUCAAGGCGUGACAAUUUGAGUCUAACCUUCCAUAAAAAUUGUAAUCAACUUGAAUUUACCAUAAAUCUCUUGUUCUUAUUCUUAGUAACUUUUUUUUCUCGAUAAUCAUAGCUUUCUUUCACAAUUCAUAAACUUAAAGACCCUAUUGGUGAGUAAUGGUCGUUAUAUGUUGUAGUUUUCCUUAAUCAAUAGUGACAAUGACAAUGUUUAAAUGUUUUUAAUUAUUGCCUUUUAAAGAUUAUCUAGGAAAAUUGUCCAAAAUGUUUUAAACUUAUCGUAUAGCGACUAAUUUAAUCUUAAAAUUUUUAAUUUGUACAAUUUAAUCAAAAUCUUUUUGAAGAUUAUCAAUGUAAUCCUUCUAACUAAUUUUGGCUAAAAAUUGCUAAUAUAUACACCGGCCACCUAAUGUGGCGUAGCCGGCGCCGAUAUAGAUAAUUUUUAAUUUUUAAUUUUUAACAUUUUUUUCUCUCUUCUGGUUUGUCGCCUCAGUGGUGGGUGGUGGAGGUAUCUGGUCACGGGCAAGGGCAUCAGUCAUUUUGGCUUUCACUGGGAUGAUGGACCACCGAGGGAAAUAGAGAAAAAAGAAAAAAGAAAAAGGAAAGAAAUGAAAAGGAAAAAAGAGGAAAGUGAAAAGAAAAAAAAAUGUACAAAUUGUCUACGUCAAGGUUGGUUGUGUUGCGUAAAAUGAUCAUUAAUCAUUUCUGGUAAAAUUGGCCAAAAGGAAUUGCCGAAGCCUUACUCCACUCGACCCUGCGAACCAAGUAACGUCCGAUCUCUUGAGUUGCCCUGUUUUAGUUAAAGCUAAGUCUAGAUUUAGUGUCCUUCGUUAGCACACGUUGCGGGCUGGACUGAGAUGUCUUUCACCAAUUCUGUGCUUUAUUUGUUAUCCCAUUUUGAUAUCGAGUCAUGAAUCUGAUUCUUAGAGAGCCGUCCUUCUCCCUAAUCUACACUCAUAAUCUGUUCGACAGGUUCAGUCUCAUUUUUGUCUAAACCGUGAGCAUAGUUGUCCAGAUCAAGUCAUGUUAAUUGGUUUUCAAAGUCUUUUCAAUGAUCGAGAGUGCUUUUUCUGCAUCCUCGUUUUCUUUGUCUUAAGCCUCCGGGCUACUAAUGGCGGUUGUCGGUGAGAUGACGAUCCUAGAUCCAGGGCCUAAAUGAUGAUUGUUAUAGGCAUCGGCAUUGGAUUGCUGGUCGUGUUUCUUCCCUCUAUUUCUUUUACUCGUGUUGUGGCUAAAAGAGAGGUGCUGGCCGAUGAGGGAGGUCAACACUGGUUAUUGGUGCAGGUCUUGCGAUGAACGUGGGCUUUUCAGUGAGUAGAGACGUUCGAGGUGGUGACCGGUAUUGAUGGUCGAGUAUGGUGGCCGACAGCGGGGGUCUGAUGAACGAAACUGUACUGACCGAUCGAGAAAUGUGAAGUUCUUGGCUGGAAUUUCUGGUGAUCUGGCGUGCUUGAAUAGAAGACAAUAGGAAGGGGAUGAUGAUGGGCCAGAAAGAAGGAGGUGAUAGUAUGAAAAUGGCCUUAGUACAGGCUUGUGUGCUGAAGUGUUGAGAUGGAUAUUCAUAUUGGUAGGCUGGGGCUUGAUUUGAUUUCAGUGAGUUUGGGCCUAAGAUAAACUUGGUGUGAUUAGAAGGUAAAAUGGGCUUGAUGGGUUUUCUUUUGGGAAUGGUUUGUCUAAAAUAAGCCCAACCACGUCCAUGGCCCAAGCCUGAAAGUCCAAGUUUAGCCCGGGUCCUUAUUUUCAAUUAAAUAAAAAAUAAAUAAAAAUUUCCAGAAAAUUAUAAAAUUUGGUUGGGAAAAUGUUAGGUUUUGUUCUCUCAGUGGAGUUCAUGCCAUUGAUCGUUUGUUGAUUCUUGUGCCCAAUUGCAUGCUUACUUGUGAGUGUUUUGAUAGAUUACACUUAAUUUUGUUUAGAGAUGAGAUGGGGGACUAGAAUUUAAUAAGGGGUUGAUGACAUUAGCCUACUGCUUUGUGAAUGCAAGUGAGGGUUGAUAAUAAUUGAUUUUAAUUAAUGAACCCUUAGUUUGAUUAGGAGGUGGUUGGGGGAAUCAAAUUGCAUGGGCGAAAUCAAAUUCUCAAGCCGGAUUGCUUGAUCGUUUGUUGAUCGAUGAACUUGCUGAUUGACUGUUUUGAUUGAGUGCAUGAUGGGAAUGUUGGAUGAAAUGGAUGUUAGAAACAAUUAAGGAUGGUGGUGAUCAUGAGCUUCUCGAAUACCGAUGGGUGAGAUUGGAGGUCUCUAGUGGUCAAGGCGACACUUAGUUUAGCUUGGUGUAAUUUAGUUAAUUUCCAAUUAGGCUAGUUAUCUCGGUUUUCACUCAAUAAAACCAAAUUAAACCUAGAAUCAUUUUUCUAAAUAAGGAAUUGGAAUAGCUUACAUUAGCUUCAACAUCAUAACAUAGCUAAAUAACAAAGCCAUGUAUAUUCUUUAUCCGACUCGUAUCGAGUUUUCUUUUCCAAAUUUACUUUAAAGUCAUUCAAUAUUGGAGCCCGCAUUUCAAUAAAUUGUUGUUAAUUUCCUUACUAAAAUUGUUAGGUCCAGUUUAGAAUCAAAUGAAAAACCACAAAAACAUUUCCUUGAUCACCUAGCGCCUUUGAUGCCUUUAUGAUCAUAAUUGAUAAUCAAGAUUGCAUGACCACUUAGAUAACAAUCUUCUAAGUUAGAGAUACCGAAAUGGCACUAAUAGAAGUUAGUGUAAUAGACAAACCUCCUUGUCUUAUUUGGUUCUUAAUCGACUCCAAAUGGCUAGUGGCUACUCCUAAGAUUACAUAGAAUAUUAAAAGAACUUUUAAAUGAAAAAACCAAAAUCAUGUGAGAUAUGGGUGUGGGAGAGUCCACUUUCCUAAUCAAUGGACCCCUUGGAUCAUUAGAAUCAUUUGGUUCGAUGCACCAUUUGGACCUUUUUUUUAAUAGCAAUACCUCUAAAUCUAUUCUCGAGGUCCUUAGACCCCUUGAGAGGGUUUGUGACAAGUAUGACUAUAUCAGACACAUUGAGGUAGAUCAACAUUUCAUCAAACAAAAUCUUGAUUCCAAGAUAGUUUGAUUUUCAUUUAUUAAAUCUGUAGACCAACUGGCGAAUCACUCACGAAGGUUAUUUCUAGCAAGAUCUUCUACAACUCACUUGGCAAGUUAAGCAUUACUGAUAUCUAUGCACCGACUUGAAGGGGAGUGUUGGUGUGAUUUGUCAAUUAAGACUAAUUGAAGAAAUUGUAGGGCUGAUUAGUUGCUAAAUUUGUACUGUUAAUGUCCUUAUUUUGAGGAUCAACCAUAUUCUUAGCCUAAGAUAGUGCAUAGUGGUAGUUAUUUCUCUCUACAAAUAUAUAUGCUAUCGUAUUCAUUCAGAGAGGGAUAAUGAAAAGGGACUAAUUCCUUAAAAUUAUCCAACUUGAGGUCCAAUCCAUAUUUUUCUCCCAAGUUAUAUUGUCUUGAAAGAAAAUCAUAAACUUUAGGUCCAGUCCAAAUUCACCCCAAACUUUUCUUUGUUUAGAAGAAACCCCCAACUUUACAUUUAGCCCCAAAUGUACUCUAGUCCUAAAUCAUCCUCUAUUAACCCUUUGUCCAAAACUCGCUGUUAGUCGUCUCUAAUUUUCAUAUCCUAGAAUAAUUUCAUUUUAGAAAUAAUUUUUCAUGUCACCUCGUUGAUGUGGAAAUGCCACGUGAAGUUUGGAUUGGAACACAAGGGUAGGUUUUAAGAACAUAUUGAAAAUUUUGGUGUUCUUUUUUAGAAAAACGAAAUUCGGGGUAGAUUUGAGAUUGGACCUAAAGUUUUGGAUUUUUUUCUGAGACAAAAAGAGAUUCAAGGUAGAUUUGAGACUGAAUAUAAAGUUUUGGUUAUUUAAGAGAUAAAAAAAAGUUGUGGAAAAAAUUGAGAUUGAACUAAAGUUGAGGGCUUUUUAGAGAAUUAGACAUAAUGGAAAGAGAAAAACGUAUUUGUUGAUCUUUAACAUCCUAUAUUCACAAACUAAUUCAAAAAUCAACUAUUUGUCUAAUGAAUCAGCUACAAUUCUCGACAUUAUGUUUAAUGGACUUCGAUGUCGUACACCGUCAGUUGGGAACAAACCUCGACCUCGAGUUUUAAAAUGUUCGAUUAUCCUAUCGCACAAACAUCUCUCAAUCUACGUAGGCUUUGGAUCAACGCCUUCAAAGGCAGCGGCUUUUCAUAGCUUUAGAAAGCAUUCCACCGAAACUCAGCAAGUGAUUCUUCAUAUUUUAUUAGUAUGACAAAUGCUUGCUUCUCUUCUGCAACUUCUAACAGAAUAUCAAAGUCCUCAAAUUCGAAACCAUCUAUCUUUCCGAGUGGAAAUUCGAGGCCCUCGACUUUUUGCUGUCAAGACUCGUGAACAAUACUUUAAAGGGGCGAAGUUUAAAACCAUCGGCUUUCCACGAAGUUAUUGUUGAGAAAAUCUGGCCCGUGCAUGGACAUGCUUGAUCCUCGAAUUUGUCGCGAAAUAUUACAGUCCCCAAGGCUCGUACGCCCAAAUGCUAUUUUGCCGCCGUAAACACGUCUGAUUGUAUAGUCCCAAUGCCAAAUAUGGUCUCCUUAAAAGCCUUCGCUUGUUCUCCCAAAACCAUUGGCAGAGACUCUUCAUCUAGGUGACGAUCUUCUAACAAACGCUUCUACGAGGCCAAAGCACCACAAUUUCAUCCUUCCGUUCUCGAGAAUCCGUGUACACGAGAAAUCUAGGAUGAGCAUUGGGUCCAGUUUGAUUCUAGCACCUGCCUGGUCGAUUCGAUCCCAAGCUGAUUCUCGGGAGAACUGGACAACGACCAAUUUGAUUUCCAUACUAGGGCCAGAACAGCCAGUUCCGGAAAUUGGUUUUAAACAUGUUAAUACUUUUGCAACCAUCGAGAUUUGAAUCAUGAUUUCAGUUUGAUCAACUAACCACAAAACCAGGGAUCUCCUUGUAAUGAAAUAAUGCAACUUUUCUUUUUUGUCGUAAAAGUUCGAAUUUUUACCCAAAACAUAGUGAUAAGUUGGCUUCCGGGGUACCCAAGAACCGGACUAGAACCCAAUUGUUCCCGAUUUUUGGAGCUGAGGGUCGCUGGCUCAGGAACUGACACACCUAGAAAUAUCAAAUCGCUUCAGUUAGCCAAUCCGAUGUCUAUUAUAUUUGGACUUCCAUAGAAGGUCGGAAUGUCCACUUUCAAAUUGAACUCCUGUCUUGCAUGUUCAUGAUCAUCAUCACCACUAUUUCUUUGAUCAUCGUCAAAAUCAUAACGACGAUCCCACUGCUCGUCGAGUUUUUUCAUAAUCACCCCAUCGUCCACAUUUGCAAUUCCACCGACAGCCAUCCCCGCCCAGACAACUUCUCCCUCACUGUGCAUUAUACACAUUCCGAUCGAGGGCUUCAUCGCAAUACUCAUCCUUGUCGUGGCCAAAGCCGCAACCUUUGUAUUGAAUUCCAAAUCGACUCCCUACCUAUCCCCAUAUAAAUCGAGACAGGAAAGUAGCAACUCAUAGAUUAUCUUUCCCUAAAAAAUGUGUUUUUAAGUACCAAGACGUGCUUAACAAAGUUGAAGGCUAAUUUGUUCGAUUAACACAAAAGGGAUGUGUUUUAGCUAAAAACAUUUUUAAAAUAGCACCCCAUUCGUAUCACUUAGAAAAAUUAUCCAAUUGGAAUAUAUGUUUAUUAUCAACACCAAUAUAUAUCUACUUAUUUUCGUUUGAUGAUGAAAAUAUUUUUCGUUAAUUUACUUUGUAAGCAAUACAAUAAAUUAUUAUUAGGAAUUUGUUUUUCAAAUUAUUGAUUUAAGCGAAUCAAACAUACCCCAAGACUCCCUUUGUUUUGCGGAAAACAAUUUUUAGGAAAACGUUGUCUGGAUUUUCUGAAAUUUGUUUCAUGGAAAAUGAAUUGGUCGGGGAAAAUAUUUUCCAUCAAUGGAAAAAAGUCUUCUAAAAUAGCAGGAUAACAUUUUCCACUUUUCAAGAAGGAGAAAACAAUUUUUUUUUUUUGGUAAAGGUAAUAUAUAUAUAAAUGGAGCUAAGGCAAUAUACAAAAGAUUGGCACCAAAAACCUACACUCAAUCCUCAGAAGGAGACAAAGUGUGGGGGAGCCAAUGUAAGAGGCCACAUAGGCAAACAAGAAAGCCACAAGGGCACAACAACAAAACAAACAAGCGGGAAAGAGAAACAACAAGGCUGACCAACCCUCAGCCCCCCAAGGAAGCGGCUAAGAACGGCGAGCCAAGAAAGAAAGGAGCAACUCGCGCAAAGCAGCAACUAAGGAGCACUAGUCAGACGAGAGAACACCGCAGGGUCGAACCCCCAACCACGCUGAAGCCUCUUAUUCCUCGGGGUAGGAGGAACAUCUUUGAAUGUUAUAGCUUUAUCCCUCACAACCUUAAUAAGGUGGUUUUUUAGAGCCGAGACCACUAAGGAUUCGCCCCGAAAUAUAAUCGCAUUCCUCUUUUUCCAAAUAAGGUGACACAUAGCUCCAAACGAGAACCGCGCAAUGCAAUGGAAGAAGUCCUUACCAGAUAAGAACUUUAAGGCCCAACUGAGGAUAUCUUUCCAACAUCUAUUCCGCCACGGGAGGUUACACCUGGCAGCCCAAAAGUAGGCCAGAGAAGCCGAGGUGCGACACCCGAAGAAUAAAUUUUCGACAGAAUCUGGAACAUCAUUGCAGAAGGCACAAACAUUAUAGUGGAUCCUUCCAUGAGAAAGAAGCAGCAUCUGGGUCAGUAGGCGAUUUUUGGUUAUAAGCCAUAAAUUAAACUGGAACCGCGGGGCUACAACAUUGUCCCAAACAAAAGACGCCCAAUCAACACGAUCCUUCUUGACUCUAAUGGAAUUCCAUGCUGAAGUUACAGAGAAUGAUCCAGAAGUGUCACAGCACCAGGUAAACCUGUCACGAGCCGAAGAGAGAACCGGGAGAGAGAUCCCCCAUCUUUCCAAAAAGGAUUUAAAUAAACAACCCAUAGAGGUAAACAGAUCCGCAACAACAGCAUUGUCAGGAAGACAUAAGCCUUCACGGAAUGAGCAAGGGAUAAAGGCAUCAAGGGGGCCACAAGAAAGCCAGUGAUCAUGCCAAAGAGACACUGAUAGGCCAUUUCCAAUCUUCCACACAAAGGAUAAGCGAAAGUAAUUCCUCAGUUGAAGGAUUUUUUUCCAUGCCCAAGAACAACAACGAGGCUGGGAAGAAAUUCAAAAGUUUCUUUUCUUUAAGAAGUUAGAGUGUACCCACCGACACCACAACGAUUCUUUAUCAGUGAAAAGAAUCCAAAUAAAUUUAAGCAUGGAGGCUUUGUUGCAAUCUUUAAGUUUCCGAAUGCCUAGACCGCCCUCAACCUUUGGGAGACAGACAUCGUCCCAGGAAACUUUGGCCCCACCCCGGCCAAGGGUCGUGCCCUUCCAUAAAAAUUGUCUGAAAAUGCGCUCAAUAUUAUCUAUCACCGAGGACGGAAGGUUGAAGACACUAGUCCAAUAUGUUUGAAUUGAAAGGAGUACUGACCUUAUAAGUUGCAGCCUCCCAGCAAAGGACAGAAAGCGUUGCGCCCAAGAUUGAACCCUGGCAGUAAUACGAUCAGUCAAUGCAACACAGUCUGCUUUGCCCAAUCUAGUAGUAAUAAUCGGAACACCCAAAUAGCAAACCGGCAGUUUCCCUUCUUGAAAACCGAAGGCCCUUAGCAUCAUAUUACGAAGAGAUGAAUCCCCUCCUGAGAUGAAGAUCUCACUCUUGUUUUUAUUUGGGUAGAGGCCGCUCCAAGAGGAGAAAAUGUCCAAACCCUUUUUUAACAACGUCACCGACGCCCAAUUAUCUUGACAGAAAAGGAAUACGUCAUCAGCGAAAAAGAGGUGAGUCAGCUGCACAGAUUUGCAUCUCCAGAAAUAUUUGAAGUCAUUGCUAGCAGUACAGGAGAGCAAGAUUCUAGAGAAAAUUUCCAUGACUAAGGUAAAUAGGUAAGGUGAAAUAGGAUCACCUUGCCUAAGUCCUCUUCCAGCAGGGAAAAAACCAUGCAAAUCACCAUAGAUAGAGAUGGAAUAUUUUGGCGUACGUACGCAAACCAUAAUUAGCGAAAUAAUCCACUCAGGAAAACCAAAGGCACGGAGAGCAAGCUCCAAGAAAUCCCAAUCAACCGUGUCAUAGGCCUUAUGGAAAUCAACUUUAACAGCACAUUUUGGCAGAUAAGGCUCUAAGUGAAAUCCAGCAAACAACUCUUGAGCGAUGAUGAUAUUAUCUCUAAUCCUCCUACCCUUUACAAAAGCAUUUUGUGAAGGGCUUAUCAAAUCAUUUAAGACAGCAGCAAUGCGAUUAGCAAGGAUUUUCGUAAUGACUUUAUAAAUGGUAUUGCAACAUGCGAUAGGCCUAAAAUCAGUGACUGCACUUGCGUUAGGGACUUUAGGAACUAGGGCGAGGAUAGUGGUAUUUAGCUCCUUUAGGAGCAGUCCCGAAGAGAAGAAAUCCUGGAUUGCUUCCACCACCAAUGGCCCCACUAAGUCCCAAUUAGUCUUGUAGAACUCUACCGAGAAUCCAUCAAGACCUGGGGCCUUGCCUUUGGCAAGGGAGAAUAAAGUAUUCUUAAUCUCAGAUGGAGAAACCGGCUCACAUAGGGACCGCACUUGAGCAUCAGAAAGUGGGUGACGAACAAACGUCUUCAACUCCUGAAGCGAAGGUUUAGAUAAAGCCUCAUGAUGAGAGAGCAGAUUCGAGAAAAAACUGACAAAAACUUGCGGCACAAGAACAGGAUCAGUGAUAAUAGCCCCCGACUAAUCCUUAAUGGAAAGGAUCCUAUUAGUAAGCUGCCUCCUCUUCACCGAAUGGUGGAAAAACUUAGUAUUCCUAUCACCUUCUUUUAGCCAUCUCACUCUCGACUUUUGUCUGAAGAAGGAUUCUUCUUGAUUCCUCAGAUCAAUAAAAACACGACGCUGAGAUUUUUCCAACUCAGCAAGAGAAAGGUUGUAAGGGUCCGAUUGAAGACUAACCUGAGUGCUUCGAAGGGCCUCUCUUGCUUCGACCGCCCUCACAGAGAUAUCCGAGAAGGCGUCUUGGUUAAGUAACUUAAGUCGAGCUUUCACAAUUUUCAGCUUGGAAACAAGAAUGUACAUUGGAACGCCUAUGAUGGAGGAGUCCCAAGCCUGAUGAACAAUUGAGUUAAAGUCCGGGUGGUCAGCCCAAAAUUCAAAAUACUUAAACGGCUUCCUCCUCUGGACCGGCUGAGGAACUCUGACGAUCAUAGGAGUAUGGUCCGAGAUACCAGGGUUCAAAAACGAAGCCUCAGAGAACGAGAAAUGAAGGUUCCAAUUGUUGUUAACCAGAACACGGUCGAUCUUCCUCAUCUUCCUAGCGUCUCCUACUGAGGUGGACCAAGUAUAACGGAGGCCAACAUAUCUGAGAUCCAUUAGUUCUAUUUGUGCUAAGCAUUGGACAAACUCAUCAAAAUAAGGGAUCUAGUUGUUGGAACCUCCAACUCGAUCGGAUGGGUCUUUAAUGGCAUUGAAAUCACCAGCAACAAGCCAAGCCGAAUCCUGCAUCAAGUCAUUAAAGUGGAGGAGGUCCUCCCACAAAGGUCUACGAUGCAGAAAAGUAUGUUCACCAUAAAUAGCAGAGAUGUAGUAGCUCACACCAGACAUAUUAUGCUUCAGACUACCAUGCAUAGCCUGGUCAUUGAUAGAGAUAGGCACAAAAGAAACAAAAUCCAGGUUCCAACCCACCCAGAUUCUACCACGAGAAGAAUACUCAUAGUUUGCAAUCCAAUUCCAACCACUAAUUAAGGAAGCCGAGAUAGAAUCAAAAUGUUCCUCAGGAACUUUAGUCUCAAAAAGGCCAAUCAGGCAGAGUUUAUUAACAGCAGCGAAUCUCCUGAUCUCUGCCCGCCUAAGAGGGUUGACCAUGCCUCUAAUGUUCCAAAAGCCAAAAAACAUAUCAAAAAGGAUAGAUGGUAGAAUUACCUCUUCUUAGCCCUGCGACCUGUGGCAGGCGCUUUUGAAGCCACCGAGGGUGGUGGAUCAGGAAGAAGCAAGAGGAGCUGUUCUUGCAUACUUCUAACACCAUCCGGAGCCGGGCCCUUUGGCGAAGGGGAACCCACAGACAAAACAUCUUCAUCAUUUACUUCCAUUUGAGUACUAGAGUUGCAUAUUUCAUCCGAGCUUCCACCCUGAAGUGAAGAGGAGGGAGCUUCCUUCUCAGCAUGCUUUUUCUUUUUCUUACCUUUCCUUUUCACUUGCUUCCACUCUGGAUCGGCAGCAGGAGCUGAGGACAUAGCCACCAAUUCACCACCAUCCUCAGAUGUAGAAACCUUAGCAGUAGAGAUCUUCGAAGGCUUAGGAGGAACAAGUGCGGUUGCCUCCAGUUGCAGCUGAGAAUCAAUCUCAGGAUCGAUCAUAUCCAUGCCUGGGGUAGUAAGUGGAACUUGUAAGUCCACCAUAACCUGUUUUUGACAAUUUUGAGAGAGAGCAGGACCAUAUGGACAAGUGGGGGAGUUAGGAUGCACAGAUUUGUCUUGAGCAGGAUGGAUUCCAACACCAGCAUUGAAGACCUGAUUAGCUUCUGCAGAAGGAACAGCAGAGUUUGUAGGAGCAGCUGUUUUACAGCUGUGACCAAAGAUACCGCACACAGGGCAAGCAAGCGGUUUCCAUUCAUACUCAACUUCCACUUCCACUGAUUUACCAUCAAGGAGCAGCUCAAUAGAUUCACAAGUUGGUUGCUGGGCUGUUAUUUCAACACAAACCCUGGCGAACGUUAGCAUUGUCAUAUGCUCUGUCCGCUGAUCCACAUAGAGUGGUUUACCCACUGCACUGGCCACCUUUCCAAUGGAUUGAGCUGACCAAAAUGAAAAAGGUAAGUUCCGAAGUCUCACCCAAACCGGAACUGAACGAUGGAUGUCUUUACUGAGUUCCAAACCUGGUUUCCAUUGCUGCAGAACCAGAGUAAUCCUUGCAACUGUUAUAUGGCCUCCUUCAAGGAUUUUCCUUCGGAACUCCCUAUCUAGUAUGCGCAAAACAAACAGUCCCCGCCCAAUGGACAUGACUUCAAACAGAUUCGGACCCUAGGCUUUUUUAAGAGCCUCUUCAAUAACUUUCGCCUUCCAAUGAAAUACCCCACAAGACACUCAAAGAGCUUGGGAUCAGCAGCUUCAAGAUCAGAUUCUGUCAUCUGUAUAACUGGUUUAUUGUUCACAAAGGUCGGAGGAGUAUAUUCAAGAUCAUAACCUUUAUGCACUCCACUAGCAACAGCAGCCCAAGACCGAGUUACCGGGUAUUCCAACUCACCCCUGCGUUGAGGGCGCUUGGAUGUCGAUCUACCUCUACUCUUUCCACGCGCCUUAACAGGAGCAAGAGGAGGUCGCGAGUCAUUGUUCUCAAUCGCAGCAGAUGGGGACGAAGGAUUCGGCCUCUGUUUGCUCAAAGAAGGAGCAGCCAACAAGGGUUGUCCAUGAACAGGAUGAACAGGAGGGGAAGGGCUUCGAUUACUCGGCCCCUCAUCAUCAAAAUGGGCCCGGAAGGGUCCGGACUCCAUCAACUCAGCAGACUCGAAACAGCAGAACCGCGAACCAAAAAAAAAACCCUAACCCAUCGCAACCAAAUUAAACCCACUGGAGAGCAUGUACCAAGCAGCACUUAGAGGGUUUGAAGAGCAGUCGAUGGCGCCCAAGAUUCCCAAAUGGAGCAGCAACGUGAUGGUGGGUCACUAGUUCGGCAAGGGAAGCUGCGGCGAGGGCGGACCGGCAGGAAUAGGGCAGCACCCAGAUAGCAGGGACAACCGGCGGAACAGGGGUGUCGCGGUCAGAGCUACCGGAAACUCAGCCGAAAACACCUAUUGGAUCUCCCUAAACGAACAGAAGAACAGUCGGAAACCAGAGGAGAGAAACUGGGCAAAAAUUCGUAACCUAGGCCAGUCGAUUUCUCUGCAUGGAGGGCAUCUUUUGCGAAACCGUUCGGUGAAAACGUAGAGGGGACUGAGCUGAAGCUUCCCUUCGAAAAUCAGCCGAAAACACCCAUUGCAGCUCCCCAAACGAACAAAAGAACAACCGGAAACCAGAGGAGAAAAACUGGGCAGAAAUUCGUAACCUAGGGCAGACGAUUUCUCUGCUUGUAGGCCAUCUUUUGCGAAACCGUUUGGUGGAAGCGUAGAGGGGACUGAGCUGAUGCUUCCCUCCGAAAAUCAGCACAUUCCGAUACCCACAGCCACGGGAAUCAGCAACUCACCAUAUGGAUGAACAGUGACUCGGGAAUUCGAAUUGAGAGCAUCCGAUGAACAGUGACUCGGCAAGGUGAUUACUUAGAAUUGAGAAAACAUUUUCUUUACUCUCUCUUAUCUCACCCCCCCUUCAUAUUCUUUCUUUUUUUCCUUUUUUAAAAAUUAUAAUUUUUAUAUCUUUUUUUAUUUUUUCUUCGGAAGAUAUUUUCAAACUCACUUUCAAGUUUAGGUGAACAACAAAAAAUGUUAUCAUUAUUAUGAAAAAUGGAUUCCUCAAAAAUAUUUUCUAGAAACACAACAUUCUCCAUGAAAUGAAUGGAGCCUGAAAAUAUCAUCUACUUGAUCCUGCUCAAUACAUGGUGAUUAAUGGUUAUGAAUGAGAUUGGCUAAUUGGGGAGUAUAUAUCCCCUUUUGUCGCAACCUACCCCUAGGGGGGUGGUGGGGGAGUAAGUUUAGGAGUAUUGCCGAAAGGACGAACCAAAAGCCCAUGAUUAUGUGCGGGCUCUCCUAAGUUCAUAUCUCGCGUGACAUUGGGGUACUUUUAAGAAUUUUGCAAUAAGGAGUCACUACUAGCCUAUUGGGGUCGGCUAGAAACCAAGUUGGGCAUGAGAGUAUGCCUCGCUUCCUACGUAACCAGAGAAUGUAGGGUCGGGGACUUGAUUACACUAAUUGACCAAUUAGUACCAUUUCAAUACUUAAUCUUGUUCAUUUUAAAAGAAAAGAUUUUUGUCAAGCAGUUUGGAUUGAUUUUAUACCUAUCCACUAACAUGUGAGGUGAUCAUGCAGGUGCGCAAUCAUUAAAAUAAUAAUUAUAGCUACCGAGAUCUUAAUUGCAAUAAGAUUAAGCAAGUGCAAUUAAACAUAAUAAAAUAUGCAAACUAAACAUGCGAUAUAAUCAAAAUACAAGCAAAUAAAGGCCUAAUUACAUUAAGAAGGCAAGAUAUGAUAAUUCCUAACCAAACCCUACAUUUUUUAAUUUUUGAAAAUUUAUAUUUUUUUCGAAAAAAAAUAUUUUUUUUGGGUGAAUUGAGUUGGGUCCGGUCUAACCUGGUCGGGCGAGUGGGGCCCAAUUCAGGACAAACCUGCCCGGGUCCGACUUGCUUGGGGGUGGACCGGUCCGCCGCUUGUAAGGGCCAGGCCUGACCAGAGAUGGUUGGGCCUUUACCUGGUUGAAGGUUGGGCCUGACCGAUGGGCCCGACUCCCCUAAAAAGUGGCCGUAGGCCCAGUUGACUAGCUCAGGCUUUCUAAAACUAAAUAGGGCCCAUGGAAGAAACCUAAAUUAAUCCUAAAGCUCAAACCUAAAUUCAGUCCAAACCCGACUCAGGUAUGCCCGGCCCGAUUUGCCCAAAACCCUACCCGGUUGACUACACUCAGCUCAGCUCUUUUGACCCAGUUCGUGUCUCCUCUCUCUCCUACUCUUUCGCGGCUCUGAAGGAGGAUGGUCGGGACGCCGUCGGGCGGUGGCUCUGUGUUGACGGUGGUGGCGAUGCGGCGGGUGGUGGCUGCGGGCAGUGAGGGGUGACAACAUUGUCGGGGUUUGUGAGGAUGGGCGGCGGCUGUGUUGGAGGCGACACUAAUGGAGUCAGGCAGCAAUAGGGACGGCUACGUUGGGGAUGGAGUCGAGACGGAGGUGACAUCGACGGGCCAGCGAGUAACACGACGAGACUUGUGUUGGAGGCCGAUGGACGCGGCAACGAGUAACUCAACACGACGUUGGGAGGAUGGGUAGAGACAGUGUCAAGCCCAGGCAUUGUCGCAGUCGGGGUCGGACGGUGGCAGCUUGGUGAGCAACGGUGAUUCUGCGCGGUUGCACAGCUUGGGGCGACUAGUAACUCCCGCAAAACUCUAGAUCUGCUUUCAGCUCUCGACUUCUCCUCUGGUCGGCUGGCUUGAUGUCGGGACUACGUAGAAGCAGAUUGUGGCAGGCGACAACGACGUGGCGGAGAUCUAGUGCAGUGACGGCGUUGGGGAGUGUCGACGGCGCCUCCUUCCUCCUCGAAUUUUCCCUUUCUCAGUCUGUUUCCCCCUCCGUUCUCUCUACUCUGCUCUACCCCUCUGCUAUUGCUCUUGGUUCCCCCUUCCUCUCCUGUGGUGCCCCUCCCAUUUUUCCUCUGCUCCACUGCUUUUCUUCCUUUUUUGCUUUCCCUCUCUUUUUCCUUUUUUUGCUUUUUUUUUCUCUCCUGCUGCUGUCUAUCCCUUAUCUUAUCCGCUCUACCCAAUGUCCCCUGCUGUUGCUGCUUUUGCUUUCUGCAGGUUUACGCUCGAAGGUGGCUGGAAGAGGAAGAGCUAGGGCGUGGGCCGAGCCGAGAGGAGAGUGAGGUUGGGCCAGUGUAACAUCCUAGAUUUUCAGUCCUGUUUUCUACUGAAUAAAUCAGGCAUUUCAUUGAUGUGCCUAUAAGGCUGUUCUCAAAGCUGAUCACUCUUGAGAUAACUAGAUUAUUUGGGAAAGCCAUUAAGGAAUUUUAAUGCAAUAGAUUUGAGAAUUCGACCAGGAAUCGGCUUCUCGACUGUAAUUAUCUUUAGAGGCCAUUACGGCACAGUUAAAAAUCGAUUUGAGAUUAGCGAUAGGUUUGUUCGACUAAGAUGUGUGGCUAAUCGUGGGUGACACCACUAAAUUAGAAAAUUCUCAUCGACCGAUCCUAGACUGAUUCUUUUGUCGUUUUCGUACCUUGUGUUCGUAAUUGAAUCAUCGAGAUUUUCACGACAACCGAGAGUCGCCAAUGUGUCGAGUGGGUUCAUUGUGGUUCGAAAAAAAUCGACCACGAGUCAUUUGCAUUAAAAAUCUCUAAAAACUAUCCGGUAGCCUAGGUCACGCUAAAAACGCGCCGAAUGGAAAUUAACUGCAAAUUCAAGUCAGAUUUUAGAAAUCGAAGAUUUUGUCAUGUCACAAUAAAUUCUAGGAACGUCGACUUAGUCUUAGAAGAUUUUUCUGCAACCUGAGACUUUUUGAAAAAAAGUUUCAAAAAGUAGGCGUAGGACCCUUUUUGUUCAGAAAAAGGGCGGGAUUAUUUUUUAUUGCAAAUUUGGGAAGCAUGAUGGAUCCUUAGGUGGGGAAAUAUAUCAAUUGGAACAUGGAGAUGUCAAUUGAAUUUAUAAAUGCCAUAUGAGGUUGGAUUGUGAAGGAAUUGAGUUCAAUUGAAGCCAUUUGCUUGCAAAUUCGUGUGCCCCCAUUCCUUAUAGUCUUUGGACCAUUUCAAGAAGUUGUGGAGAGUGUUUUGGUGGCUCAAUGACAGCCAUAGGACCUUGGCUUGAUGGACAAGCUCAAGGGGGACAAAAAUGUGGAAAUUAAGGAUGGUAGGCCCCCAUCUUUACUUCUUUCUCUUCCUCUCCUCCAAGGCUGCCGUCCACCCUACUUCUCUCUCCCUCCAUUUGCCUUGUGUGACACUAGCAAGCCAGAGCAGAACCAGCUGUAGCCCGUCGCACACUGGAACACCGUUGCCACCGCACACCCUCGCCGUCUCGUCGGAGCUGCGCCGCUUGGCCCAUUCGCAUCCGUCGCCCUUGCUCGCCCCUCACGCCAUUCCAGCCUCUGUCCAACUGCCCGUGGAGCCAAACCGGAGCUUGUCUAGCUACCGUGAGCCGCUGUGGACCGCCUUCCAAGCCAACGAAGUCCCCCACCGGUCCACCGUUGUCCUCACCGCACCAAGCUAGCUUGUUUUCUUCUGUUUUGCAGCCCCUUUUAGCAAGCAGAAAAGUGGGUUUCAGAGCAACUCCCAGGCCCAUUUUGAGGUGUUUGUGGACCUCGGAUCCUAGGCUCACUUUGGAAAAAAGCGACCCUCGCUUCGUUCCCGACGUUUCGAUCCAAACGGAUUGUUAAACAAGUGAGUUUUGCUCACUAAUCCUUGCUUAGUAGAAUAAUGAUGUUUAUGGGUUGAUUAAAUUUAAUUAAGUGCAAUUAAAUGGAUAGAUUAGAUUAGAAUAAUUAAAUUAGGGAAUUACCUAUGCAUGUUAGACAAAUGGUUAAUGUACUUAGCAAGUAGACAAGUCCUAUUAUUUAUUGAACGAGUCUCAGUAAUUUUUCAGGCUCGUAUCGGCUUCCAAUUGGGCAUUACGGGCUUAAAUUGGAUUUAUUGCUAUUUAAUAAUUAAUUUUUGUAAUUAUUUAAUUAUUUAAUUAUUUUCCGAAAAUUAGACUAGGAUAGUCGGUGACCGGAAUUUCGUGUUGAUCAUAGUGGUGAUCUCUAUUUAUUUAAUUGAGUACCUGAUUGCGUAAAUUGAAUGAAAUUGUGUGGAUGAGUGUUUUACUUUAAAAUUGAUUAAUUUUGGCAAAUAUGAGAAAUUGAUUUCAUUGUAUCAUGUCGGCUCAAUGACUGAGGAUGUCAUCUAGGAGAAAGACAUAGUAUUGGCUUGAUGAUUCAAUCUGUCAUCUCGGAGAAUGCACGUGGCUCGUUGAUAAGAUAUAUCGACUUGGAGAAUGCAUGUCGCUUGAUGAUUAGUUAUAUAUAUCACCUCAGAGAAUGCACGUGGCUCGGUGAUAAGGAAUAUCGUCUUGGAGAAUACACGUGGCUUGAUGAUCGGUUCCAUCACCUUGGAGAAUGCAUGUAGCUCAGUGAUAAGGAAUAUCGCCUUGGAGAAUGUACGUGGCUCGGCGAUUGGUUCUAUCAGUUGAGACUGGAUAGUAAUGGCUAGAAUGACUGGGAAAUGGUCAGAUUGACAUGUAAUCAACCAUGUCGAUUGAUCGAUGUUUUGAUUUGUUGUGAUUGUUUGGGUGCCUAUUGAAUUGUACUGAUUUGCAGGUGGAAUCUAAGGCUAAGGUAAGUCCUUUGACCCGUGUGUGCAUAGGUAGCCCAUAUGGCAUAUUGGCUUCCUAAUCGAGUCUUAGGGGGUAGAACUUGCUGAGACGUUGUCUCAAUGGUUAUUAUAUAACCAGUUCAAGUUCCUAAAUAGCAACACCUCCACCUCCUUGUCCUCCGAUGCACUUUGGUAUACCUGAAGAAGUCACCGAGAUAAAAACUCACUUCCCUAUACACCCUCACCCGGAAGGAUUAGAGUAUGUUUUAGUUAAGUCAACCGUCUGGGUUGAUGUGGGUAAGGACACCCUGAGGCUCCACGAGUAUCGGUCAUGGUAUCGUGAGUAUCAUGAUGGGUGAAGGGAGGGUCCCAUGCUAGAAAGUGAAGUACCUCUGUUCAUUUUAGAGGAAGCGUUUGGGGAAGGAACAAUAGAUCCCAAGGAUGGAGCGGUGACCGAUGCUAAAUAUCUUAAGCUCGAGAGUGACAUCGACUCUCCCAAGCAAUCGGCAGUAGACUCCAGCUGGAGUAUGCCAGAAGGAGAGGUUGAACAAGAAGAGGUGUACCUAGAGGAGGAACCCGAGGAAGAGGAACCCGAGGAGGAGGAUCCUAAGGAGGAAGAACCUGAAGAGGAGGAUCUUGAUGAGGAACCCGAGGAGGAUCUAGAGGAUGAUCCAGAGUACGACCCGGAUGAGGACUGAGGUCUCAUCCUGUUUGCAAACCCUGGGUUGGGAACUGAUGUGUGAUAGAUCAGACUUUAGUGAAUAGUAUUGUAAUAUAUACUAUAUGGUUUGCUUGUGUAAAAGUGUGGUUACGGUGGGCACGUACUUGAGGAUCGGGGCAUGAUAGCCAGGCUGCAGCGUGCGCGCGCGCGAGAGAGAGAGAGAGAGAGAGAGGAAAAGAGGAGGGCCGGGUUGGGCCAAGGCCAGAUUCGGCUCGACUUGCCCCCUCUCGCGUCCCUUUUUUGUUGUUUUUUCUUUUCAUUUUUUUUUUGUUUAAAAAUAGGCAUCAACAACUGCCCCUCUUUGAAUGUAACCUCGAAGAGGUUGCAUUCAAAGACAGAAGACACCUAAAUUAUUUUAGUAGUUGAGAGACCCUUAUUGCAUAGGCUCGCACUAGGUCGAGUUAUGGAAACAUGUCGUGUCAAUAAGAGGAAGAAAUACCUUGGGCUAUAGAAGCACGCUGUGUCAUAAGAAGAAAGAGAGACUCCAAGCUACAAAAGCACGCCGUGUGAUAAGAAGAAAGAGAGACUCCGAGCUACAAAAGCACGCCGUGUGAUAAGAAGAAAGAGAGACUCCGGGUUACAAAAGCAUGCCAUGUCAUAAGAAGAAGGAAGACCCCGUGCUACAAAAAAAUGCCGUGUCAUAAGAAGAAGGAAGACCCCAGGCUAUAAAGCACACCGUGUCAUAAGAAGAAAGAGAGACUUGGGGCUACGGAAGCACGCCGUAUCAUAAGAAGAAGGAAAGACCCUGGGUUACAGAAGCACGCCCAUGUUAUAAGAAGAAAGAGAGGCUCCGGGUUACAAAAGCACGCCGUGUCAUAAGAAGAAUGAAGACCCUAGGUUACAGAAGCACGCCGUAUCAUAAAAAAGAAAGAGAGAUUCCGGCAACAAGAGCACGCCGUGUCAUAAGAAUAAGGAGAGACUCUGGGCUACAAAAGCACGCCAUGUCAUAAGAAGAAAGAGAGACUUCAGGCUACAGAAUCACGCUGUGUCAUAAGAAGAAGGAAAAACCCCGAGCUACAGAAGCAUGCUAUGUCAUAAGAAGAUAGAGAUGAAGUCUCAUUGUGUAACAAUGGGUUUUGACCGAAUUAAAAAUACAUGGUUUGAGGAAAACUCAUGAACCUUUGUAGAUGACAUGGUUUAAGGUUGAACAUGAACCUUUUGAAAAUCGUAGUUCAAAGACGGACUCAUUAACAAUUUAAAAUUGUGGUUUAAGGAUAGGCUCACGAAUCUCGUGAUUUAAGGAUAGACUCGCCAACCUUGUGGUUUAAAGAUGACCCACAAACAGUGUGGUUAAGGAUAAACCCACGAACCAUGUGGUUUAAAGAUAAACCCCGUAAUCGUGUGGUUUAAGGAUGACCCACAAACCUUUGGAGACGGCAUGGUUUAAGGCUGAUCAUGAACCUUUGAAGAUGACAUGGUUUAAGGUUGACCAUGAACCUUGUAGGCUUUUGGGAAACAUCCGCUAAUCCCUUGAAAACUGCAUGACUGCACUGGGGAAUCCUGUCAAACUCAACUUGAGCAAAUGUCAUUAGGGACGACAUCAAGAGAUGUGUAAUAAAUAAACAAGCUAAUCAAGCUAAGUCCAACUGCUUUAAAAAACAUUCGAUGUCAAUCACCAUCAUGUGGUGCAAAAUUGUCAUCUUGCUCGGGGAUGUAUUGAUAUGGCUAGUAUAAGUACCUAGAGGGGGGGUGAAUAGGUAUAAAGUGUAAUUUCUUAUGAUAAUCGCACAAUACUAGACAGUUGAUAGAAAUGAGACAAUUUUUCUCGUCAAUAAACAAACAACAAACAAAAUAAGACUGAGAGUAGGGAAGAGAAAAUUGAACACAAGGUUUAUAGUGGUUCGGCUUAUUUCAAGCCUACGUCCACUCUUCUGCACUGACAGCCCACUGGCUGGAUUCCACUAUGAACAAAGAGAUAUUACAGUACUGUUCUUCCUUGAUUUCUCGGUGUAGAAGAUCUACCACACUCCCUCAAGGUAUCACUAAGUAUAGACUCUCUUUGCGUGUACAGUUUCGCUCAAUAUGAAUCGACUAAUAAUCAAGGAGCUUCAGACUCUGGAAUUUCUCUAUCGAGCACACCCUAGAACAACUGGAACGUCUUCCUUUUAUACUCCUUUAUGCCAUCAUACCCGUUGGCACUUACCAAAGGAAUUCUUCCAAUCUUCCCGUUGGACAAAAUCAAUUAAGAAGAUUAUUCGAGCUAUUAAAGGAACAUGUCGAUAGCCCAUCAAUCCUGUUCGCCCAUACAAUAAGGAUCUUGGUUUCCAAGAAUGGAACCUUCCAAGAAUAUUUCGUCAAUCAUCGGAUCUUCAAACGAUCUUGAUUUCGAAUAAAUAAUCCGUUAUAUCAAAUCCAGCCAAGAGAUCUUCUCCAGUCGAUAAGACCAAAUCCUUAACCAAACACUUUAGCUCUGGAUCGCCUUCGUCGCUGGAUUAGAAACUGUCAAUGAGAAUAGUCUUGAGUCUUAAGUCUUGUGUGCUGAGUCUGAUGAUCUGAAAGUCUUAAGACUCUAAGUACAAGGGUCUGCACAGCUUCCAGACUAGACUGAUAUAAACGUUUUGUCAGCUUCAAAACACUCUAGAGAGAUUUCUCCAACAUGUAUCAUUAAUCAUCAAAUUUUCUAGGAGUCAAGUUCUUAUCAUAACGGCUAUGACUCGUGAAAGAGGCUCAUUAAGCACGCAAAACUAGAGCUUCUUAGUUAGAAAGGGUUUCUUACACACUCUCAAUAAAAUGGUUGCUUUAUCCCAUCCAUUCACGUGGGAAGUAACUGAUUGUUGAGGGUAUUUCACAUAACCUAUAUCAAAGGCUUUCAGAAACAUCCACAAUGAGCCCAAUUUGAUCGAUCAAGAAGGUUUUUUUUUAAAGGACUGCAAUAUAGGUUUGGUCAUGGGCUUACACAAAGAGAUUAUUGCUUUGAGGCCAAAAAAGGAACAUUUGUCGCUAUCUUCGUUGGGUUUACAAAUCAAGAACUUGGAAGAUAAAACAAGAUAUAAUUGCUGCCACUCCUUCAAGCGGUAGCUUCUUUGUGGCAUUCUCAUUUUCACUUGAACCAUCUCAAUCAGAAGAGAUUUCGAAAGAGGGUUGUAAUGUUGGCUCGGGAGAGGCUCGAAAGGCUUAAAAUUUUUAAGAGGGUUUUUAAGAGUUGGUGAUCAUCAUGGUAUCGUGACCAAAUCACUCGAUCUUUUGAAAUCAUUUAGCUUUUGAAACACGGUACAUCUCAAAAGUCCCUUAACUAAUCAUUUAUGCAUGGGAGCUUUGCUCCUUUCUCUAAUUUCCUUUGCUCUUACAAUGAUUUUUUUUACGUAGGCACUUGGACUUUGGUAAUUUUUCUUUCACAUAAGAUGCAACCUUUUGUCUCUUUUUCUUGACGGGCAUUGGUCUUGUUUUUAUCAGGCACAUUGCUUUUUCAUGCCCCCUAAUUUUGUUGAACUUUUUGCUCUUUGAACUUUUGGAGCUCUUAUGACUUUCGAGAUGUUUUUUCACGUUUUCUCGUAAAUAUCGAUUGUAUGUGGUCAAUCCUUAUGCUUUGCCCCAGUGAAGGGAGAUGAUCACCGCUCGAGAUUUAGAAAUGAACAAUUAGGCCCAAAUUGGUUUAAGUAACGGAUAUUAGUGUUUGGGUAAAGAAAGAAAUGCUCUUCUUCACCUUGUGAUGAGUCGAGCUUUGAUGAGAAUUCCUUUGAAGCUAUCACUAGAAGAUUGAUGCAAGUGAAAGUAAUAGAAUUUUUCUCAAUCAUUUGCUCUACAAUACGAUCGUAACCUCCUAUGCUGCCCCAAUGUAGGGUUUUCUUGACAGGCGUACUUUGAAGGAUUAUCCUUAUUUGGCCCAAAGGGGUAGCAAGAGAUUAGUGCAAUGCUUGGGAUUGAUGAAGGAAAUGCCUUUAUCAUUUCAAUCUUUCCGCUCAAUACGAAUGAAUCAUUCAUCCUAAGAGAAUGUCGCUCUUCACUAAACUCUCAAGAGUGUUUGAAGGACGUGUUUGGAAGUGGCUUACCUUUCUUCAUCCUAAGCACUUCUUGUUUGGCAUGAUUAACGUUUCACCUUUUACUCUACUAAGAUCAUUUGAUUAGAUCAAUCUCCAUCGGGAAAUUUGAUUCAAAAUGAAUAACCCACAAAACGAGAAAACAAUAUUGAGAUAAAAAAGAUGUUCAAAAAGUUUGUAGAAAGUUUUUUUUUCUUAAUUAUUCAUUUUUUUGUGCUUGUCUCUAGGAAAGCGCCAAAGGUUCUUUUUUGUAAUGGAAAUUCUCCGUUUUGUUUUCUUCAUCCUAAGCACUUCUUGUUUGGCGUAGUUAACAUUUCACAUUUUACUUUGUUGAGAUUAUCUGAGUAGAUCGAUCUCCAUCGGAAAAUUUGAUUCAAAAUGAAUAAUCCACAAAAUGAGAAAACAAUUUUGAGAUAAAAAGGAUGUUCAAAAAGUUUGUAGAAAUUUUUUUUUCUUUAUUAUUCAUUUUUUUGUGCUUGUCUCUAAGAAAGCGUCAAAGGUUCUUUUUUGUAAUGGAAAUUCUCCAUUUUGUUAUUUGUUUUUUGUUUUCUUUUUUUUUUUUUAGUUAAUUUUGAGAAGAAUGGUACUUACCUGUGGCAUGGUGACUCAGUAACCCUAUAAAUGUGAAAGAAUAUGUUAGUGCAAAAAUCUUUAGGGAUUAAAAUGUUGGAAACGAUACAUUAUUACCAUUCACUCGCUUUUAUCCUUUGGGUGCUAACAUUCUUGGAUUCACCCUCGUGGAUAUUUGGUAACUUGACAUUACCUUUCACUUGCAUUUACCUUUAAUUGUUUGAUGUUUUCCUAUCAAAGGAAAAAAAAGGAUUCAUGUCAGUGACGCUAUCAAAAUGAGCAAUUGGAAUCGACACAAUUUACCAUUCAUGUGUUUUCGUUCUUCAAGUAUGAACUUUGCCCAAAGUGGCUAGGGUUGAUUGAAAAAUGGCUAUGUGGCCCUGAUUUUAUCCAUGAAAAGCAUCUCUUUAUUGUAUACAACAAUUUAUGAAGUUCAAUUCUUGUUUUUUCAAGUGCUCUUUUCGAAGAGACGUUUAAUUGAUAAAGAGCUUGAAAAAAUUAAAUAAGGAUAAUUAGAUGUGUUUUUCAAGAUCUUGCUUUGAAAAGAGAGGAAUUGCUCAUUGUUUUCACAUUUGAGGAUAUUGUUCUUUAGAUGCUUUGCCCAUUUAUUGCCUACAAAGAAAAGAUUAGACAUAUUAUUUCCUCGCUCGAGUGGGAAGCAUUUAGGAACUAUACACAUCCCUUUACGCCAAAAUGGAUAGUCAGGUCUUAGCACGAUUCCUUGAUGGAAGGCGCUACUUCUACAAUCAAGGUGCAACUUUUUCCCAUUUAUCACCUUGUAAGAAUAGAAGAUGAAACAUGUCAUCUCAUACUUAAUUAGGUUCAAUUGAGGAACGAUACAUCAUUUCUUGAUGAAUUUGAUAAUGUUGUUCUAGCACACUUCAUUGGUGGGGAAAUGAGAGAUUUUUUUUUCUAAAUCAAACGUUGCUCUUCCACUAUUUAUUUGACAAACCUUUGUUCUAUUCGAAUCUUUCUUGUACCAAAGAAAAGGAUGUGUCAUUUUUUUAUGCUAAAGAGACUCAAGUUUAGGAACGAAAUACAUCGUUUUCCAAAGUCGGAUGAUCAACAUCCCAAGGUAUCUCUUAUGGAGGAAGGGAUAAUAUUGCCCCUUCCGUCUCAUUUGAUUUUUUUUUUUUAAGAUGAACAUGACUUAAUAAUGCUCCAUCGCGUUUGUUGGAACGUUACAAAACUUGGUGCUCUUAAUGUCUCCUUGACAAUGAAAAGAAAGUCAUGUCAGAAACGGUAUCAGAAAUGGAUAAUUGGAAUCGAUACAGUUUCCUAUUCCUUCGAAUUCGCCUUUUUGGAUGCUUGGUAACUCCCUUCAUUUGUCUCAUCAUGCAAAGUGAACGAGAUCAAUAGGCUAUUUUGGCACCUAAGGCUGUUGACACCUAAAUAUUUGCCAAAAAAAAAAAUUCAUUUUCGAAAAAUGGAAAAAUUGUUUUUCCACAAAAAUAUUUCAUGUUAAAUUCUCGCAUAUAGAUUACCUAGGUGUUUAGUAUAUUUUUUUAAUGGAAGAUGUUUUUCCUAUAAAAAAAAAAAGAAAAAAAUUAAUUAUAUUAAAAAAGAAUAAGAAGAAAAAAAAAAGAAGCAAGAUGGGGCCAAUGAUCUAAAUGUGACUAGCCAAGCCUAGAAGGUCAAAUUGUAAUUAAAACGGCAAGUUGGGGCCAAAAUGCAAUUUUCAAAAGUUGAGGGACCAAUUCGAAAAUUUUGUAAAAUCUCGCCCGAGCCCUUAAAUCAUCAUCUUGGUCCUCAAUUAAGUUGAAAUUGAACUUGCGCCAGGUCGAAUCAAUCAAAUUGGGCCAAAAGGACCAAAUUUGCAUUGAAUUGCAUAUUUUCGGAUAAGAAAAUUACCAACUUUAAGGGACUUUCUUGUAAAAUUGGGUGGGCAAAAUUGCAAAAUCUAGUCGAGAUCUUAAACUACUAUACAUGAGCUUGCUAAUUGAUCAAAAAGCAUAGCCAAAUUCAUGGAUUAAAGUGCCCAAACCAGCUAACAAAUUCCAGUCCACAAGUUGGUCUGAAUUCGGAGUUGCUGAGUAAGCAACUUGGUGGCCCCAUCAUAUCCUCCUCAGUUGCCCAAACAGCCUGAUCUUUGCACGUGAUAGAAGACCAUAAUUAGUAGUGCAAGUGGACAAAAAUUUUCCAAGGAUAAGCUGCUGAAAGCACGGGAAAGUCAUAGCAAAAUCGGCACACUCAACAUUUGCAAAAUUUGAAAAUUUUGACUAAGUUAGUGGACUUCUUAGUGGGUAGGCUUGGCAGGAGGGCAAAAAGCCAGUCAAGUGUGGCAUCCAAAAAAUUUUGCUGACCCUUAGAUGUGCAAUGGUAUGUAGCUAAGUGAUGGAGGUAUCAUUCGGACUAUGUCAUUGGUGCCAUUUACGGAUAUUGAUUUGUAUUAUUGUUGGACCGAUACGCUACUUUUGGUAAUGGUCCGACCGUAAAAAAUUAUCCAUGUGUAACAUCACUACUGAGACCCUCUUCCACCUACAUUCGUACCCUACGAACCGAACCUCCUAUGUACAUUGCUGCUGCCCCGUAUAGUCACGUAAAUAAAUAUAUUUCAGCCCACGCACUUGCUGAAAUUAAGAAUUUAAUUUUGGAGAAGUUGGAUCAUGCACGAGGACCCUGCACGCCUCUCCAUUUUGUGAAUCAGCAAGUAAAGAGAUGAAUUUGAAUCACCGUACAGUCUUGUCAGGUUCUUUCCCUAUGCAAGAAUUUUAGUCAUGAACAAGUACAUUUGAUGGAUUGAAUGAAAGGAAAAUGGUUGGACCACGAAGACCAUGGGAUCGACAAUGCUCCAUGCACGUUAUUCCUUCAAGAGUCAAUAAACUUGGAGAGGUUGACUUCCUUGCCACGUUCACUGCAUGGAGAUGGGUCUGCCAACAAAAGCCACGCAACCGAGACCUCAUGCCAGUGGGGAAUUCAAGCGAGGACAGCUGCACGAAGGGGCAGCCAUCGAGGCCCAUGCGGCCAAAGGAGAUGGACACGUUUCCUCCACCUGCCACGUUCACCAGCUGGCUUCGUUGGAUGAUGCCACCAAAUAACCUGCAUGCAGUAAUUAGAUUAAUUAAAUAAUUGAAAAGCAAAGUGCUUGUGUGAUUGAGAGAGAAAGGAGAGAGAGGAACUGAGCAAAAUAACCAGCAAGCGAGAGAGAGUUCGAGCGAGCGAUCUGCGAGAGAGGGCAGCUAUUGGAGUGUUAUGCCUUAGUGCUGCUGAUGUUGCUGAUGUUCCUCUGUUCUAGUUUUUUCUUCUGUUUGUUUUUAUAGCUAAGUUUGUUAAAUUAUGCAGCUGGUAUUUUCGUUACUUUUAGGAAGUGAAUUAACACGUUUAUGUGCGGUUAUAUGUUGCACUUAUGUAAGCAGUUAGUGCUUGUAUUUAGGGACCAGACUCAACAGUUUCUCUAAGAACUGAUGUAUGCAAGUCUUGUGCUCUGUUUUUCUGUGCUAUCUUCCUUUGUCGGAGACCAUAGCCUCUGCUUUUUGUUUUGUUUAUUGCUUUGAUUAGUCAUAACAGUGGUAUCAGAGCAUUUCGAUGAUCUUGAGGGACUGUGAAGUGAGGUAAGCAACGAAGCAUGAAGAAGUAAAAGAUUGAUGGAGGCAGGAUCGAGUGGAUUCUCUGCAAUGGCUGCUCCAGUAUUUACUGAAGAGAAUUAUCAAGCUUGGGCUGUUAAGGUGAUAGCAUUUCUGGAGGGUCACGAUCUAUGGGAGGCUGUGGAGGAAGAUUAUGAAGUUGCUCCACUUCCAAAUAAUCCGACCAUGAAUCAGAUCAAAUUCCAUAAAGAGAGAACCACAAGGAAAGCCAAGGCAAAAUCUUGCCUGUAUGCUGCUGUCUCGCCUACUAUUUUUACAAGGAUCAUGAGGUGUGACUCUGCAAAGGCUAUAUGGGACUUCUUGAAGAAAGAAUAUGAGGGAGAUGAGAAGAUAAGAAGUAUGAAGGUGCUGAAUCUCUUGAGAGAAUUUGAGAGACAGCAGAUGAAGGAUUUUGAGUCAGUGAAGGAAUACUCUGAUAGGCUGGUUGGGAUAGCUGAUAAAAUCAGAGUUUUAGGGACUGACUUGAAUGAUGAAAGGCUUGUUCAGAAGAUCCUGGUGUCUCUUCCAGAGAAAUUCGAAGCUACCAUAGCUUCUCUGGAAAAUACAAGGGACUUAGCUUAUAUAAAACUUGUAGAGUUGUUGAAUGCUUUGUAGGCACAGGAGCACAGAAGACUAAUGAGAAGAGAAGAUCAUGUAGAGGGUGCAUUGCAAGCUAAAGUAAAGCCAAAUGAUGGAGGCAAAGGGAAGAAAUGGAUUCAGUUCAAAGGAAAUACUGGUGAUUCGAGGUUUGUACCAAAAGAAGGAACCUCUGGUGGGUCUAGCAAAUGAAAGAAGAACAAAAAGCCAUGUCAGUACUAUGGUGGAACCAAUCAUCGAUUUUUUAGAUGUUGGAGAAAGCCUAAUGCUAGGUGCAGAAGAUGCCACAAGUUGGGUCAUAUGGAAGCCAUUUGCAAAGAGAAAAAUUACUAGAAAGCAGGAAAAGCACAAGUGGCAGUAAAUGAAACUGAGGCAGAGCACCUGUUUGUAGCUUUAGUUUGUGAAUCUUCAGUCGAGAAUGAUACAUGGCUGGUAGAUAGUGGCUAUACCAAUCACAUGACUGGCAAUUUGAAGCUAUUCAGGAAUCUAAACAAGACAGUCAAGUCCAAAGUCAGAAUUGGCAAUGGAUAGUACAUUGAAGUGCAAGGUAAGGGUAUAGUUGCUAUCGAAGGAAAUCGGGAAGUGAAGCUAAUCAGGGAUGUUCUCUUUGUGCCAAACAUUGAUCAAAAUCUGUUAAGUGUUGGUCAAUUAGUUGAGAAGGGCUAUAAAGUGAAGUUCGAAGGAAAUGAAUGUCUCAUUAAUAAUGAAGACAACAAAGAAGUGUUGAGAAUUCCAAUGAGGGACAAAAGUUUUAUGCUCAAGCCACAAGAGAUGCAACAGAUGGCUUUGAAAUGCAAAGAAGAAAAUGCAGAGCUAUGGCAUAAAAGAGUUGGGCAUGUUCACAGGAGGAGUAUGCUAUUUAUGCAGAAGAAUAGCUUGGUAGAUGAUUUGCCAAGCUUGGAGGGAGAACUUCCACAAUGCAGAACCUGUCUUCUUGGCAAACAAGCCAGAUUUCCCUUCAAAGAAGGAGGCUCAAUGACAUGUAAAAAGCUGCAGUUAGUUCACACAGAUGUAUGUGGAACUAUGUCUGAAUCCUCUCUUAAUGGUAGCAGGUAUUUUAUUACCUUCACUGAUGAUUUGACUAGGAUGAGUUGGAUUUAUUUUCUGCGAGCUAAGAUUGAAGUAGCUGAUGUGUUUGUGAAGUUUAAAGCCUUAGUUGAGAAUCAGAGUGGGAAGAAAAUUAAAAGUCUUAGGUCUGAUAAUGAAUCUAAGUAUACAGCUCACAAGUUUAAGCUGAUUUGUGAGCAAGCAGGAAUUGUGCAGCAGUUUACUGCACCUUACUCACCUCAACGGAAUGGGGUUAGUGAGAGAAAGAAAAGAAGUAUUAUGGAGAUGGCUAGAUGUAUGAUGGAAGAGAAGAAAUUGCCUAAGAGGUUCUGGGCUGAGGCAGCUGAUACUGUUGUGUUUCUGCUAAAUAGACUGCCCACAAAAGCCUUAGAGAAAUCAACACCUUUCGAAGUCUGACAAGGUGUUAAACCUUCUGCAAAUAAUUUGAAGGUUUUUGGGUGUUUGUGUUACACUCAUGUUCCUAAGGUUAAGAGGGACAAACUAGAUAAAAAGGCAGAGAUUGGGAUCUUUAUUAGAUAUAGUCUUCAAUCAAAAGCUUAUGGGAUUUUCCAUCCCAUGACAGGGAAAGUAAUUGUGAGCAGAGAUGUUAUCUUUUUAUAGGAAGAUGAGUGGAAUUGGAUGGAAGGAAGGAUUGCAGAACUGCAGCACUUCGAAAAACAACCUGCAAUAGAUGUGGAGGCUAAUGAAAUUACAGAGGGAUUGGAAGACAGUAUAGAUGACUUACCAGUGAGAGGCACAAGGUCAUUUGCUGAGAUCUAUGAAAGAAGCAAUGUGGCAGUGCUCGAACCAUCUAAUUUUGUGGAAGCCAAAGAAGAUUAGAGGUGGAUUGUAGCAAUGCAGGAGGAGAUUGCAAUGAUCCAGAAAAAUCAUACAUGGGAACUUGUAGACAGACCACUAGAUAAGAAUGUGAUUGGGGUUAAGUGGGUGUUAAGACAAAGCUUAAUCUUGAUGGUUCUGUCAAUAAGUAUAAAGCAAGACUGGUUGUGAAAGGCUAUGCUCAAAUAUGGGGAGUAGACUAUUCUGAAACAUUUGCUCCAGUUGCAAGGCUGGAUACAAUAAGACUUCCAUUAGCUGUUGCAGCAGAGAAGGGAUGGCCUAUCUUUCAGUUAGAUGUCAAGUCUGCAUUUCUAAAUGGAGAGCUUGAAGAGGAAAUUUUUGUUGAACAACCUGAAGGUUUCAGUAUUAAAGGGCAAGAAGAAAAUGUGUACAGACUGCGCAAAGCUCUAUAUGGACUGAAGCAAGCUCCAAGAGCUUGGUAUGAAAAGAUAGAUCGAUACUUAGAGGAUUUUGGUUUUGUAAAAAGCUUAAGUGAGUUCACUCUUUAUGUCAAGAAAGUGAAUCAUAGUGUGGUAAUUCUGUCACUCUAUGUAGAUGACUUAUUAGUGUUUUAUCUAGAUUUAUGAGUAAUCCUAGUCAGCUACAUUUGAUUGCAGCAAAGAGGGUCUUGAGAUAUCUAAAAAGAACCUUGUUCUUUGGUGUGAAGUUUUAGAGGGGUCAAAAGUUUAAUUUACAAGGAUUUUCUGAUAGUGAUUGGGCUGGUUCUAUGGAUGACAUGAAAAGCACAUACGGAUAUUGUUUUAGUCUUGGUUCAGCUUGUUUUUCUUGGUGUUCCAAAAAGCAAGACAUUGUAGCUCAAUCUACUGCAGAAGCAGAAUUCAUAGCUACUACUGCAGCUGCAAAUCAAGCUUUGUGGCUAAAAAAGAUAAUGAAGGAUUUGUGGUUGAAUUCCAGUGGCUGUAUCGACAUCAAUGUGGAUAAUCAAGCUGCUUUAGCAAUAUCACUGAAUCUAGUUUUUCAUGGCAAAACCAAGCAUUUCAAGGUUAAAUUCUUCUUUCUGCGUGAGGUGCAACAAAAUGGUGAAGUUAAGCUAGUUUAUUGCAGAUCUGAAUAUCAACUUGCAAAUAUGUUCACAAAGCCACUUCAAGCUGGAAGAUUUGAGUUAUAAAGAAAGAAAAUUGGAGUUUGCAGCAGCAACUGAUCCAAGAAGGAGUUUGUUGGAGUGUUAUGCCUCAAUGCUGCUGAUGUUGCUGAUGUUCCUCUAUUCUGGUUUUUUCUUUUGUUUGUUUUUUAUAGCUAAGUUUGUUAAAUUAUGCAGCUGGUAUUUUCAUUAUUUUUAGGAAGUGAAUUAACACGUUUAUGUGCGGUUAUAUGUUGCACGUAUGUAAGCAGUUACUGCUUGUAUUUAAGGACCAUACUCGACAGUUUCUCUAAGAACUGAUGUAUGCAAGUCUUGUGCUCUAUUUUUAUGUGCUAUCUUCCUCUGUCAAAGACCAUAGCCUCUGGUUUUUGUUUGUUUAUUGCUUUGAUUAGUCAUAACAGCAGCGAAGGAAGAGGGAAAGGAGACCGCCCUCCGUCCGUGCUCGUGUGAGCUACCGCCAUCGGUCUUCGCCGCCGUUGAGCUGCGUCCAAAGGCUUGCGAGCUUCUCGUUCAGUUUGUCAAUUGAGCUUAGGAGCGAGGCAAGUAGAAGUUCGUUAAUCUAUGUUAUGCAUGCUGUGAUUAUCUGGUGAAGUACAAGUAGACCGGAGAAGGUCUGAAUUUGAUAUUGCAUGUUGCAUUUGAGGCUUGCAUGUCUUGAAAUCUAAGUGUGAGUGAGCUGUGAUUGUUGAGUAAGGUGUGAUGGUGUGUGCCGAGUGAAGAAAAGGUGAUGCAUGUUGAGUUAUAAGAGCUGAGAUGCAAGUAUGUGCUUUGUACCGAGUUGUGAAGGAUUCUAGGUGAGUGAAAAUGUACUAUGACCACUCAUGGACGUUGUGCAAGUGUGUCAAGAUGCUACAUGAUGAAUUUACAGUAAAACAAAUGGUUUGAUUGAGCUGGAAAUGAAGAGAAAGGCAUUAGAUGUUUUCCGUCUUAAAGCAACAUGGAUAGAAAGUCGUUUAUAUUGUGUCGCUUUAAUUUCUAGAGAUGAAGAUGAGGAAUAUAAUCAUUUUACUUAAGACAACAUCCAUUAGAUUGAGUUUAACUCAUAGUCAUAGCUAUAUGAAUACAAGAACGUGUAGAUAGAAGCAAUUCUUUUUAAAACAGAAAUACUGUUCCGCAGAAAACGGCCUGACUUUGAUGAUUCCACGAAUUUUAUGUAUUUUUCUAGAUAGAAUUAGACUUCAAACCCUUAAUGAAAAUUGUAGGAUACAUCCUUAGGAAUAGCAUAUCAAAAUUUGAGAAUAAAUGGACAAGGUUUGGUCGAUGAAACGUUUUUCUUUGUAAAUGUUAAAUCUGGAAGUUAUUACAGAGUGUUAGUAAGGAAUAUCAAAAUUAAUACUCUUGAUAUAAAAUGAAUCUGACUUAGUGUUCUUCAUGAAACAUUUUCCUUUAGGUCUUGUUUAUAACAUAUCCAAAUUUCAAAAUUUUCUGAGUUCAUUUAUGGGUUAUUCCGAAAUUUUCAUUAAAACUGCACAUUCUGGUUUUUAAGCUGUUUUACUCUGACUUUGCUCAACUAAUUUCAAAAGUGAAUGCAUCUUGAGUAGUUAUGUGACAUGAUGAUACUGGCAUUGGCAUAUCAUGCAAUUUUGAGAUUUGAUGAGACUCAAGGGACAUUUUUUCUUUGCAUUGAAAAGUGUUUUUGGAAAUUAAGAUGCUAAUUGUUGCCAUUGGACCCUCGGGUCAACGAUGCCCCAGGAGUCAGGAUGCCCAGAGGUUCGAAUGAGUCGAUGCCCUUUGGAUGCCUGGUUGUAUUAUGAAUACAUGCCCAAAGAUUUUUCCCCGGGAGUGUCGGGAUGCUCGGUUGUAUUAUGAUACAUGCCCGAAGGGUGAAGGGUUAUAUUAUGAUGCAUGCCCGGAGGUUAGGGGUAACCAUGUAUAUGGUCCCCAGUGAUUUCUCGUGAUGCCAGGUGGGGUGUGAGAUACCCUAAGGUUCAAAUGAGUUGAUGCCCUUUGGAUGCCCGGUUGUAUUUUGAAUACAUGCCCGAAGGCUUCUGCGACGCCAGGGAUGGGUGCGGAAUUCCAGAAGGACGCAAACAUUGGUCCUCUGGGGGGUUAAAACCAUUUGAAUGAUUAAAUCUGAUGAUUAUAUUAAGCGUGAGUGUGGUCUAGUUAUGGGACUAAAUUGUACGGCAUUGAAUGAGACGUGUCAUUACAGUUUGCCCCUAUGAUCGAGACUUGUGUAAUUAGACAUGAUGCAUCUUGAGGGUUUCGAAAUUUCAUGAUUUUGAUGCUUGCUUAUCCAUUGAUUACCUGUUUUUGUCUAUCUUGCAUGAAUAUGGAUAUUGAUGGUAUUGCGUGAUAUAGCUUAAUGAAUCUUUUACUACUGAGUGGUGUACUCAUCCCGUUUUGGGACUAACAUUUCAGACUAAGUCAUGAUACCUCUGCUGCCACCGCUACCAGCAGAUGGACCGAGUGAUUGAAUAUGACAACGAGGAGGAGGAUAGUAGAGGAAGGAACUUUUGGACGCCGACACUGAUCAAUGAACUCUAAGUAUACGACUAUUGGAAAAUAUGUCGGUCAUCUUUUGAAAUAUAGCCGAGUAUAGAAAACCUUGGUUUUUUGGUGUACCGACAAAUGAUGUCCAUCUGGUUUAAGUAAAUAAAAGUGUUAGGCUUUAUCUUAUAAAAAUGUUUUGUUUGUGUGCAUCGUUUUCUGAAUAUAGGGAAGGGAGUUGUUAGAUACGCUUUCAUCAUAUUUCUGCGCAGGGACCGAUCUAAAAGAUAUAAACCCCCAGAAGUUAUGGACCUAUUAUAAUUCUAUGAUAUCAAAGUGAUAUAUUAUUAGGACAAGAGAAAGGUAAGAGCACUGUGGCAAACCAAACGGAUCGGGGGCCGUUCGAGGGGUGCCACAUAAAGAGAUUGCUUAAUGCAGUGGAUAAGAUCUAUGAAGCAUGCUUGUUUGAGGGAUAAGAGGCAGAAGACAAGAAACACAAGGAGGAGCUCGGGAUUGUGCCCAAAAAAACCCCUCAGAAUCAACUCCAGAAAAACAAGAACCCAGAAAUUCCAGAUCAACCUUCAGAGAGAAAAGUGAGAUUUUCACAAACUUGCAGCAAAAAUUUUCCAAAACCUUCAACUAGAGAUUGAAACUUCACUCAAAUAUCUUUCCAACCAUAGGUCACACGUCCAAAAUGGAGAUUGGGAAGACUUCCUAAAGCCCCCCCGAAAAGAUACCCUCCUGGCGGGCCAAGGGAGUCCUAAGAUUUUUCUAAGUGUUGAGCCCGGUUGGUCUUGAGUAAGGAAAAGCGAGUGUUUUUCAGAAAAUGGAGAGAUAAAUGAGGAAAGCCAUCAAUUACAAGACAAACUAUAAUAUAUAUAUAUAUAUAUAUAUAUAUAUAUAUAUAUAUAUAUAGUUUGGGUUGGUUUUAAGUUGGUCAACAAAAGAGGUUCAGAAGCCUAAUUUUGGAGGUCAACGAAAACCUUCGUUAUUAACUUUUUCUUCUGUAGACCUCAUUUUCAGUUUGAAGGAGCCAUUUUCCAUGUGCCCCCCGGAUGAUAAUUUCUCGUUUCCUCGACUAGGAGUCACUUGAAAACGAAACUAGGAAGCAAGGUAAGCAUCUUAGUUGUAUUUUUGUUUGAGUUUGAACAUGUUUUAAACACAAAAAUCAAGAGGAAAACUAGUCUGAAGAACUAAUUUUCGAGGUUGAAAUAUUUCUUAAGUGUUUAAAGCCUCUGCAAUACCCCAACAUGCUUGACUUGUUCCUCUCCCUUUGCAUGCGUUUUUUUGUCGUUGUCACUUUGAUGAAUGUUACAUGGGAGUAUAAAUAAUGCAUAGGACAACCCGGUUUAGUCUUUAAAUCUCCUUGUGAAUGAUGAAAUCGUCCAUAACGUGAGCCAAAAACCAAGCCACUCCAUAUUGAGACAUGGUUGGCCAGCAUAGAUCAUGCAUGUACGCUUCUUGGAGAGUUCGUUUUGAUGCGUCCAGUUAAUCGUUUUCAGUGAUGUUCAUUGCAUUUGAAAGUAAAUGUUACCUAUUUUCAUCCGGAUGGAGUAAUAUUUCAUAUAGAUGUUGCAUGUGAUGGUUGUCAGGGCUUCAAUCUGGGCAUUUGACAUGGCUGUUUGACUUGGGUUCAACACCAGAUUUGCAAAACGGCUCCAACCCGCAUAUUGGAGGCCGUUUUCAGUUUGGUUCUUGCAUGUUCUAAGCUGUGAUUUCUAGCUAAACUUGUUCUUUACAUGUUAUAGUAUAUCCUUGAUACUUUGCUUUCACAUGAGAUUGCUUAUGGGUCGAGAUUGAAGGCCACGAACAUGGCCCGAGGAAGCCGUUUUGAGGUGAUUUGAUGCAAGCCAAGUAUUCGACAAAAUGUUUGAACCAAAUUUCGAUCUUAAAAUAGUUUAUUUGAGCUUGAUUAUUGUGAUAUUCAUGUGCUGUGUUACUCCAUGUUAGCAUAGAUCGGUUUAAGGAAUUAUUAUUAAUAUUUUUUUAAAAUAUAUAUAAUAAAAAAGAAAAAUCUGAAAAUUUCAAAAAAUAUAAAAGUGAUAGAUAGUAUCAAAUUAAGGCAAGAAUGACAUAUAUGAAAUUUUAUUAAUUUUAUAAGGUCCUUUUUCCUAAUUUAAUGCCAUUUUGAUAUUUUAUAAUCAUUUUUGUAAAUAAUCCAUUUUCCAUAGAUUAAAAUUAUUUAGAGUAAUAUCAUGCAUAUUUAAAUUCUCAUUUCGCUCAUAAGGGUCCUGCCCCGGGGCGUAAUAACAAGGCCAUGUAAUAUUAUUUGCCCGACUUGUAUCGGGUCUUUCUUUUCCGCAUUACUUUCAAGCCCUUCAAUUUCUUGGAUGUUUAUUUACCGCACCGCUUUUCAAUAAUUUGAGUGUAAAUUUCUUUUCUAAAUUAUGUUAGGAUUAGUUUAGACAUUAAAAAAAAAAACUUUAAAAACUUACAAAAACAUUUAUAUGGACACUUAGUGGUUUCAUAAAGAUUAUAAUUGGUAAUCAAGAUUGUGUGGCCAUUUAGAUAAACAACCUUCCAAGUUAGUGGUACUGCAAGGGCGCUAAUAGAAACAUUGGUGUAAACAAGUCCCCGUUCCUAGAGGAAAUCUCCGGUUGCGUAGAAAUCGAGACAACACUCCCGUGUCUUAAUUGGUUUCUAGCCGACUUCAAUAGGCUAGUGGCGACUCCUAGAAUUACAUAAGUUGUUAAGAACUAAAAAACAAAAAUCCAACGUUGCGCGAGGUAUGGGCUUGGGAGAGCCCACACCUAAUUUAGGGCCAUUGGUCCGCCUCUUUGGGCAAAUACCCCUAAACCUUCUUCCUUUUUCCCCCGAACAAGAAAGAGAGGUCGCGACAAAGGCAUUUGCGUCAUUUCCUCCAAAUAAAAAAAUUUCCUAGAACGGAAUUCACUUCUCUAUGUGGUCAAACAUGAGAAUGUCAAGGAGCAUUGAGAAUGACCUGCAAAAAGAUGACAAUGUUAGUAUGUGAUUAAGAGAAAAUGAUCUCUCAAUGAGGUCGCUUCUUACAACAAAAUUGAGGCGACAGUACAUGCCCCAUAGUCCUCAUUACGGGGUUUUAGUAUUUCAUCAAGAUUUUAUCAUAAGAGAAGACAUCAUUGAAAAAAUCGAUCCAUGGCCAUCAAUCGAAUGUCCACUCUUAUUCGAAAACUUUCAUAUGCAAAAGUGACAUUGAUUUUUGAAAAAUUGAUUUGUGAUUUUACUCAUGGAAAAAAGAGGUGACUUUUAUUUUAGGAAAUCUAUACACAAAAUACUAUAUGAAUUUCAAUCCCAGAAUGUGAGAAAGAAAGAAUUUGAUCGAAAAUAUGACCUCAAUUUUUUUGUGCACCAAAAUAUAAUCUUGAUUUGAAAGAAUCUUUAAACAAAAAGUGGUUUUGAGCCCAUAAUUGAGAAUUUAGACAAAGUCAUAUGUUCAAUGGGGCUAGAUCAGAUAGGCUUGAAAUUUAUAGUCAAGGUUCAUUAUCAAGAGUGCUUACCAAUUUUUUUGAUUAUAACCCUACAUCACUAAGGGAAUUCGAUUGAUUUCCGCGAAUUUCAAAAUGGAAGUUCAAUACAAAAUGAGCAAAUAAAAAGGAAAGUGAUACUUACAAUGGGGGACGACUUUUCUCUCCCUUUAUUUUUUUUUUUAAUUACAUAGACAUACACAUGGGAUGUGAUUCGAUUUUUACUCUAAAUGACUCAAAAUAGAGCCAUAGGAUCACUGGACCAAACUAACAAGAUCGCGGCUAGAUCGUGUUACGCAUGACUCUGGCUUCGUCAAAAGGCUGACCUGUGUCUCGUUGUCGUAGACCAAGAUAGGGACCUUUGACAUCAAGAAAGAAAUUUCAAGGUUAAAAUGGGUGACUCGUACUACAUGAUUGUAGUUGGAGUGGUAUUUAUCUCAAUACCAUCCUAAGUGAUCCUAUGCAGCUCAGGUCCGACGGCAGGUAGUGUGUCAUGGCGUAGUGCAAUGCAAAGAAUAUAUGCACGACAGUCUAUAAGCAAACAUCAUUUCAAAACUUCAAAAUAUAAAUAUUUAUUUCCAACUCCACACCUACAAGACAAGGGGCUAACAAUCAUUCCUCCCUUUAUAACUCCCAUCUUACAAAAACAUUUAACACUCACAUUAGGAACAUACCUAAUAUCCUCAUUGCUAAGCAAAAAUGUUUUUUGAACAAGAUCAAUUCCAGUCUAAGUCCUCUAAGGUCAAAAACUAGUUUCCAGCGGAGUCGCCAAGCUGUCGCGACCUACCCCUUGGGGGGAGGAAAUAUGUUCUGGGGUAUUGCCUAAAGGACAGACCUAAGGCCCAUGAUUAGGCGCAGGCUUUCCCAAGCUCAUACCUCAAGUGACAUUGGGGUAUUUUUAAGAAUUUUGCAAUAAAGAGUCGCCACUAGCCUAUUGGGGUCGGCUAGAAACCAAGCGGGGCAUGGGAGUAUGCCCCGUUUCCUAUGCAAUUAGAAAAUCUAGGGUCGGGGACUUGAUUACACUAAUUGACCAAUUAGUGCCCUUUCAGUACCUAAUCUUGUUCAUUUUAAAAGAAAAGAUUUUUGUCAGGUAGUUUGGAUUGAUUUUAUACCUAUCCACAAACAUAUGAGGUGAUCAUGCAGGUGAGCAAUCAUUAAAAUAAUAAUUAUAGCUACUGAGAUCCUAAUUGCAAUAAAAUUAAGCACGUGCAAUUAAACAUAAUAAAAUAUGCAAACUAAACAUGCGAUAUAAUCAAAAUACGAGCAAAUAAAGGCCUAAUUACACUAAGAAUGCAAGAUAUGACAAUUCAUAACCAAACCCUACAUUUUUUAAUUUUCAAAAUUUUUAAGUUUUACUUUUUAAAUUUUUUUUCGAAAUAAAAUUAUUUUUUUGGGCGAAUUGGGUCGGGUUUGAUUUGACCCGGUAGGGGGCGGGUCAGGCCCGGUUCGGGUCAAACCCACUUGGGUAUGACUCGCUUGGGGGCGGAUUGGUCCGCUUGCCCAUAAGGGCCAAGCCCGACCAGAGAUGGUAGGGCCUUUACCUGGUUCAAGGUUGGGCCUGAUCGACGGCCCAACCCCCCUAAAAAGUGCCGGUAGGCCCAGUCAACUAACCCAGGCUUUCUAAAACUAAAUAGGGCCCAUGGAAGAAACCUAAAUUAAUCCUAAAGCCUAAACCCAAAUUUAGCCCAGACUUGACUCAGGUAUGCCCGGCCCAAUUCGCCCAAAACCCUACCCGGUUGAUUGCACUCGGUCUGGCUCUUUUGACCUAGUUCUUGCCUCCUCUCUCUCAUGCUCUUUCGCGGCGCUGAAGGAGGAUGGUCGGGACGUCGUCGGGUGAUGGCUUUGUGUUGACGGCGACGGUGACGCGGGGGGUGGUGGCCGCGAGGGGCAACGACGUCGUUGAGGUCUGCGAGGACAGGUGGUGGUUAUGUUAGAGGCAACACUGACAAAGUCGAACAGCAACAGGGACAGCUGCGUUGGGGAUGGAGUCGAGACGGAGGUGACACCGAUAGGCCAGCGAGUAGCAUGAUGAGGCUCGUGUUGAAGGCCGUCGGACGCGGUGGUGAAUAACUUGGCACGGCGUCGAGAGGAUGGCAACGACGGCAUCAGGCCCAGGCGUUGCCACAGUCGGGGUCGGACGACAAUGGCUCGGUGAGCAACGGCACUUUUGCGCGGUUGCACAGCUUGGGGCAGUUAGUAACUCCCGCAGAUCACCAGAUCUGUCCUCAGCUCUCGACUUCUCCUCUGGUCGACUGGCUUGACGUCGGGACUACGCUGAAGUAGAUGGUGGUAGGCGACAGCGACGUGGCGGAGAUCUAGUGUAGUGGCAUUGUCCUCAGAUUUUCCCUUUCUCGGUCUGCUUCCCCCCUCCGUUCUCUCUGCUUUGCUCUGCUCCUUUGCUGUUGCUCUUGGUUCCCCCUUCCUCUCCUACGGUGCCCCUCCCCCUUCUCCUCCUCUCCGCUGCUUUUCAUCCUUUUUUGCUUUCCCUCUCUUUUUCCUUUUUCUGCUUUUUUUUUCGUUCUCUCCUGUUGCUGUCUUUCCCUUAUCUUCUCCGCUCUACUCGAUGUCCCCUAUUGUUGCUACUUUUGCUUUUUGCAGGUCUAUGUGCGAAGGUGGCUAGAGGAGGAAGAGCUAGGGCGUGGGCUGGGCUGAGGGGAGAGUGAGGCUGGGCCGGGCUACAGCAUGAGAGAGAGAGAGAGAGAGAGAGAGAGAGAGAGAGAGAGAGAGAGAGAGAGAGAGAGGAAAAGAGGAGGGUCGGGUUGGGCCAAGGCCAGAUUCGGCCCAACUCGCCCCCUCUCGCGUCCCUUUUUUGUUGUUGUUUUUCCUUCUUCUUUUGUCUGUUUAAAAAUAGGUGUCAACACCCUUUCUAAAGUGAAUGAAGGAAUCUCCUAAUGUCACCUCGUAAGUUUAUUAUUUGUAUGGACAUCAUUGUCUUUUGGCGGGUCUGCAUUUUCAGACCUUCUCGUGUAACCAGAAUUUGACCUUAUCAGUAGGAAAAUCAAUGGUUUUUGAUGCCCUCAGUCUCUUGAGCUCAUUCAAGGAAUAAUUUUAUGUAGUGGAGGAUUGGUGGUCAAGGGCAGAGAUUUGAACAAGAUGUGACCGUUACAAUUCUUUUUAAGAUGACGAAAGAGCAAACGUGAAUUAUCUCACAUUGAAGAGAGUGUAGCUAGUCCAACCACAAGCGGACCAAACGGGCAACAUAUAUUUUCUGUAUAAUAAAUUCAGAUGAAAGUUCUAUAAUAAGCCUGCUCAAAUAACAUGAUUCUAGACAUGCCACUGAUUUAUGGAUUAUGUUUGAAUGAUUACCAUCCCAAGCAAAGCAUGUGUCUCAGUUCAACAUAACAAUUAAUUUUUCCUCGCCAUGGCUAUCAUCUAGAGAGUGAUAUUAGCUCCUGAUUUGUUUGUGCACAAGUGACCAACCUUUAUCUUUGGAUAUCUUUCACAUUUUAUGCCUUUCGUCAGUAGAUUUUUAACAAAAACUUUCUGACAUCACUCCCACUAUCCAAUUAAAUCAUUCAUAUUGCAACUCUUAUGCUUCUCCAAGUAUUAUGAAGUUCACCUCCAUGCAUUCAUAGAAAUAGGAAAUGUCAGUUUGUGACAUUCUUCCCCACUUGAUAGCAUUGCGGGCUAAUUUGUUGCUUCUUUGCAUUCCCUAAUUGUCACUGCCUCUCCCUAGGUCCUAGAUGAAUGGCCAAUGCUCACCCAAAUGAUAUUCCUUUUAUAAAUAGAUUCCUAACAUAAAUUCUAUUCCACCACUCUAACAAUUUAGUUGCUUCUCCCGAUUUGAUUGAGUUAUGUUAUGUACCUUUGUAAGAUUGGGAAAUGGCAGACCGAGGCAUACAUGAUAGCAUUAGUUCCACAUGUGAAACAUGUUAGCUGACCUUUUUUUUUUUUUUUUAUUUGGUCUUGCCUUUUCUUUGUCAGGUUAACUUCAUUAGAGAUGAAGAUUUUUUAUGCAUAGGACAGAUUCAUGUGGUUGUAAAUAAAGCGUUCCAAGCUCUGUCCCCGGUCACAUGGGUGUCCUCUCUGUGCGGCCAUUUCACCUUUUUUUCCGAAGAGUUUUGAUUUUCAUAUUUGCAUUACAACCUAAAGUUGAACUACACCUAUCCUAAAACGAAUUGGAUUGGUUAGCUUUCUUAAUUGAGUUCCUUUUUACGGUGGCUCCCCUUUUCAUGGUGCUAUCUCCAUUUACCACGUGAAAGCGUGCCUUUUUUCAGCACAUUGUGUUGUUUCGGGCUACGCCAGGUGAAUUUUUUAAUCAACCUUUGCCCAUUCUUGUAACUGUUCAUCUUCUUCGAGUGGGGAUGGUUGGCAAGGCCAAAUUUGGUUGGCGAGGGGCUGGCAAAGGUCGCCUUAAUCAAUGACUAUCGAAUUAGAUGUGUCUUUCCGGCGGUCGUAGCCCUUUGCACGCUUUAGCAAAGGGUUUGAGUUCUUUUUUAAUAGAAAAUUAUAUAAAAUACGUCUAAAGCCCAUAGCCAAAGUGUUUUUUGCAAAAGAUUACUUUAACCUAAAGGUCUUUUGCAAAGAGUUUUCAUCAAACAUAAUUUGCAUUUUUUCAAAGAGUUUUGAUUUUCAUAUUCGCAUUACAACCUAAAGUAAACUACACCUAUCCUAAAAUGAAUUGGAUUGGUUAGCUUUCUUAAUUGAGUUCCUUUUUAUGGUGGCUUCCCUUUUUGUCUCCAUCUACCAAGUGAAAGCGUUCCAAGCUCUGUCCCCGGCCACAUGGGUGCCCUCUCCGUGCUGCCAUUUCUCCUUUUUUUCCAAAGAGUUCUUAUUUUCAUAUUCGCAUUACAACCUAAAGUUGAACUACACCUAUCCUAAAACGAAUUGGAUUGGUUAGCUUUCUUAAUUGAGUUCCUUUUUACGGUGGCUCCCCUUUUCAUGAUGAUGUCUCCAUUUACCACGUGAAAGCAUGCCUUUUUUCAGCACAUGGUGUUGUUUUGGGCUACGCCAGGUGAACUUUUUAAUGAACCUUUGCUGUCACGCCCCGAUCCUCGGACGCGCGCACAUCCUUCUACUUGGUCGAUUUUAGAAUGCGAUAUCCCAGGACUAUGUAUCGCCGACCCUUUCUUUUUAUUAAGCACAUGCGGAAGCAGUUAUAAAUCCCCAGACAAUAAAAAAUGGGAUAGGAAAGUAGGCCAUAUUUUUCAUAUUGAAAUUCAUAACCACACUUUCAUUAACAGCACAACUCAUAGUAUAUUUACAAUACUAUUCACAACAUACUUGUCUCACACCUAUCUAUGCUAAGACAGGGUUUACAAAAGGGAUGGGAUCUCAGUCCACAUCCGGGUUAUAUUCAAGAUCCCUCUCUGGAUCGUCUUCUUCUUCAAAAGUCUUUCUCCCCUUCAGGUUCCUCUUCCUUAGCUUCUCCUCAGGGUCCUGAAAUGGUUAUUCAAUAACCAAUGAGACCACGUCUCAGCGAGUCCUGCCCCCUAAGACUCGAUUAGAAAGCCAAUACACUAUAGGCUGCCUAAACACAGCACGAGUUGGAGGACUUACCUUGGCCUCAGAUUCCAUCUACAUAUUAGUACAGUUCAAUAGGCAUUCAAACAAUCACAUCACCGAUCGAAGCAUCGAUCGAAUCGACCUAGUCAAUUUCAUAUCAGUCGGACCCUUUCUAGGUCGUUCAUCCUACUUCAAGCAAUUCCUUAAAUUUAGUGGCUUUACGGUCCCACCCGACCCUCUCAAGAACUAGUGGCUUUACGGUCCUACCCGACCCUCUCAAGAACUAGUGGCUUUACGGUCCCACCCGACCCUCUCAAGAACUAGUGGCUUUACGGUCCCACCCGACCCUCUCAAGAACUAGUGGCUUUACGGUCCCACCCGACCCUCUCUAGAUUCAAUUUAGGAAUAAAUCUUAAAUUCACUCAUAAAUUACUUUAGCACCAAAUAAAGCUCAAAUAAAUAAACGGACUGCACCACGACAAUCAGCACGAAAUUCCAGUCACCGGCCAUCCCGGUUGAAUUUCCAGAAAAAUAAAUAAUUAAAUAAUUAAUUUCGAAAAUUAAAUAAAUAAUUAUAAAAAUCCAAUUUAGGCUCAUAAUGCCGAAUUGAAUACCGAGACAAGCCCGGAAAAUUACCGAGACUCGUUCCAUAAAUAACAUGGCAUGUCUACUUGCUAAUAUCUAUUUCUAACCACCUAUCAUGCAUCAUUAAGUCUCUAAUUUAAUUGAUCUAAACUAAUCUAACCACCUAAUUGCAUUUAAUUAAAUCUAACCAACCUUAAGUAUAAUUAGCAAACUAAGAAAGCUUUAGUGAGUAAAACUCACUUGAUAAGAACAAAGACCAGAUCACCGCAACGGCGACGCGACGGCGGCCGAAAUCGGGCUUUCGAAACCACCGGCGGACUUGGACCGGGCCUUAAGCUUGGCCCCAACAAAUCUCAGCCCAACUGAGAUUUGUUCUUGCUUUUGGGCCAGACCCAAGUUGGGUUGGGCCUGCUGAAUUUCUGGACUGAAUUUACUUGAGCUUCAAAUUGCGGGCUGGACUUCAAUUGAUUGCCGGAAACUGGGCCUAGAAAAAGACUGGGCUGUUGGACUCUUGCGGGCUUGAAAUGGCCCUCAUUUGGACUGAAUCUUGCUGGGCCCGAAUUGCUGAAAGUGCUGGACUGGAGACAUGGCCCAAAUCGCUAGAGUUUGCUGGGCCGUUUGCGGGUGGUGGGCUGCGCUUUGCUCGAUCCCACGAGCUGGCUUCGAGGAUGACGACACGCCCGAGGAAAGUGCAAGCCACGAAAAGGGUGCAGCUGGCCGAGACGGUGGGAUUCGAUUGAGACAGCCUCCGCGAAGCAGGGAUUUGUUCGUUGAAGGCGCAAGCUGAAGGAAAGUCGGACGCGUGGGCUGGCGUUGCGGACGAGAUGCAGUCAACGAAGGGGCUUCGGCGUGGCUUGAAGUUGACUGAGAGAAGUUGGAUCGCGGACAGAUGGCGCGGAUGAGGGGCAGUUUCGCUGGACUGCUGGUUGCUGACUUUUGGUGGAGGCUGGCGUGAGUGGCCGACCAAAGUUGAUGCUGCCUUCGGUGAACUGAUUUUGAAGGCACGAAGGAAGACCGAAGAUGAGUGGUCUUCGCUGGAGAUGCUGGCGUGCGACGCUGAAAAUGGGCAGCUUCGGUCUUUGAGAUUCACGGGUGUUGCUCAGUCAACAAACGAGGCCAUCGAGGAAGGCUCUGACCGAAGGGGACCAACGGUAGUGGGGGCUGGCGUGAACUUCAGUUUUCGAAGAGAAGAGCUGCAGGUUCUCCACCGAAGAAAAAUGAAAGCGGAACGGCAGAGAAUCAAGAAAUCGAGAGGAAGAGGAUGGGGAUGAACGGUGGGGUAGGUAUGAGGGAGAUAUUAGAGAUAGAUAAGAGAUGGAGGGCUCCACCAAGGCUUGAUAUUUUGCCAAAUAUCUUUCAAGGCUAUCCUAAGCCAAGUAUAAUCCCAUGGCCUCCAAUGAUCCACCAAGACACUCUCCUAGACUUUCCAAUUGGUCCAAAAUGGCUAGGAGGGAGGGGGCUACGAAUUUUAAAAAUCUCAGCUUCAAUUGGAAAUUCAUCCCAUCCAAAUUUCAUCUCAAUUGGCCCUCAUAAAAUCAAUUGGUCCUCCAUCAAUUAUUUCGGCAUUUUUCCUCACUCAAGUAUCCUUCAUGUUUCUCAAUUUCACAAUUGAAAACCAUCUUCAACAUUUUCUGCACUAAAAUAACCCGGCGACGACUUUUUCCCAAAAAGUGUCAGUUGUUAGAAAAUUCUUCUGAGACUGAGUCGACACUCCUAGAAUUUAUUGUGACAUGACUGAAACUUCAAUUUCUGAAAUCAGACUUGAAUUUUCAGUUAAUUUCAACUUGGCGUGUUUUUAGCGUGACCUAGACUAUCGGGUAGUUUUCAUAACUUUUUAAGGCAAAUGACCCGUGGUCGAUUUUCUUCGAGCCACUAUGAACCCACUUGACUCAAUGGCGACUCUUGAUUGUCGUGAAAAUCUCGAGGAUUCAAUUACGGACACAGGGUACCAAAACAAUAAGAAAAUCAGUCUAGUGUCGGCCGACGAGAAUUUUCUAAUUCAGUGGUGUCACCCACGAUUAGCCACACAUCUCUGUUGAUCCAGUCUAUCUCUGAUUUCAAAUCGAUUUUGAACUGCGCCGUAAUGGCCUCUAAAGAUGGACACAGUCGAGAAGCCGAUUCUUGAUCGAGUUCUCAAGUCUAUUGCCUUAAAAUUCCUUAAUAAUUUUCCCAGAUAGUCUAGUUAUCUCGAGAGUGAUCGGCUCUGAGAAUAACCCUAUAGACGCGUCAAUGAAAUGCCCGAUUUAUUCAGUAGAAGACAGGGUUGAAAAUUUGGGAUGUCACAUUUGCCCAUUCUUGUAAUUGUCCAUCUUCUUCGCGUGGGGGUAGUUGGCAAGGCCAAAUUUGGUUGGCGACGGGCCGGCAAGGGUCGCCUUAAUCAAUGACUAUCGAAUUAGAUGUGUCUUUCCGGCGGUCAUAGCCCUCUGCUGGCUUCAGCAAAGGGUUUGAGUUCUCUUUUAAUAGGAAAUUAUAUAAAAUACAUCUAAAGCUCAUAGCCAAAGUGCUUUUUUGCAAAAGAUUACUUUAACCUAAAGUUUUUUUGCAAAGAGGUUUCAUCAAACAUAAUUUGCAUUUUUUCAAAGAGUUUUGAUUUUCAUAUUCGCAUUACAACCUAAAGUUGAACUACACCUAUCCUAAAACGAAUUGGAUUGGUUAGCUUUCUUAAUUGAGUUCCUUUUUACGGUGGCUUCCCUUUUUUUGUCUCCAUCUACCACGUGAAAGCGUUCCAAGCUCCGUCCCCGGCCACAUGGGUGCCCUCUCCGUGCUGCCAUUUCACCUUUUUUCCAAAGAGUUUUGAUUUUCAUAUUCGCAUUACAACCUAAAGUUGACUACACCUAUCCUAAAACGGAUUGGAUUGGUUAGCUUUCUUAAUUGAGUUCCUUUUUACGGUGGCUCCCCUUUUCAUGGUGUUGUCUCCAUUUACCACGUGAAAGCGUGCCUUUUUUCAGCACAUGGUGUUGUUUUGGGCUCCCCUUUUCAGCACAUGCUUUCUUAUUUGUUUUAUUAAGUUACCAUGUGUAAUGUAUAACUCAAUCAUUUCCAUUAACCAUCAUUCAUUUUCACCUAACCCCUCAAGAAAAUAAUCUAGCACGACAGUUUCAUUUCAAACUUUGAUAUCCUUCCUCUUCAUUCUAUGCUACCAAACAUGAUAAAUUAAAGGAGUAUCAACUUUAUUCUCAUUAGAAAAUGCUAGAUUUACUAUAGCUGAAAAUUGAUUUACUAACUAAUAUGUCACACUACUUGUUUGUUGCUUGAGGCCCGCUUGUCUAAAGGGUCACUUAUAAUCCUAUACGUUCUUUAGUAAAUUAAUUUUAUAAAUUAGUUUUAUUAAAUCCAGCAUUCCCUUUCCAUUAAAAUCCAGUCAUAGUUUGGAAUACCAAACGAGGCUUAAAUUAUUCUCUAUGGCCCACUUCUUAUGCUUUUGACACGGCUCUGAAAAAUUACCUUAGGGUUUUGAUAAGUUAUGUACAAAAUGGACACCAAAAUGGGGUGUUAAAGAGUGCCAGAUGAGUUGCCUGGUUUGUCCAAACGCUGGGCGAGCUAUCUUCUUGCAUUCUCCGAUAGUCCGUCCCCAUCUGCAAGGCUCCACAAACACUUAGAACAUCACGAUAAUCAUAAACUUGUGCCUAUAUCAAAUUCAAUGGGAAACUUCGAGCAAUAAUCAAACAGCUUAUUCAUUUGCAUUUUCUUUUUCCUUCUCAAAAGCCAUUCUGCUAUGAAGACCAAAGUAAAGGCAAACGAGAGAGGUAGAUUCGACACUCGUGGUUUGCUUUAGACAAUGAGGGGAAGAUGCUAUUAUAGAAAAUUUUCUGAUUAGAAUUUUUUUUUUUUUCCUUUCGCUUAAAAGUUGUGUUGGAGGAUAGAAGCUCUCGGUUUGCAAACUCUUUGAUCGUCUGACCUAAUGAUUAGUUAAGUUCGGUAGAUGGGGCAUCGCGGCAUUUAAGAGCAAAUUAAUAACCAUGUCGGCGUUUCCGUUGAUUUUUCUAGCUGCAGGAUCAAUUUGAACGAAAAGGUAUAUAGUCCAUAAAUCCAAUUGGGCAACAAAGAAAUUCCAAAAGUGGAUUACUUGCAAAAGUUUGAGGAGUACAGGUGCGGAAGUAUAUAGUGUAGGAAUCCAACUGGACAAAAAAAGAAAUUCCAAAAGUUGAUUACUUUUGCUAAAGUUCGAGGAGUACUGGAGCCUUCAUCAUUUUUUUUUUCUAAUUUUUUAGUUUGAUAGCUCUGUUGGCCGGUGCAAUCUAAUAAAGGUAAAAAUUUUCAAGAUAUUCACUCGAAAAGUUAAUAAUUUAAUUUUUCCCCCAUUACUAAGCCUCUUGUUGAUGACUUAUACAUGUGGAAAUCUUUUACUUUAUGCUUGACUUAAAUUUAUAUGUAGGUGAUAUUCAUGUUAAUAUAACCUACCAAUAAGAUGUUUAGUUUGAGGAUAAGGAAAAUAUGGCCCAUUCUUUUUUGGAAUUUCAAGAAUUAUCACAACAAUCGAUCCCAAUUGCCUUGUAUGGGCUUUAAAAUUAAGCAAAAAAUAGGAUAUGUCGCUAAUGUAAAGGUAACUUUAAACAAGUCGAUUUCAGAGUUUUUAACUUCUCAUUCUCUUACUAAUCAUCAAAUCAAGAAUGGAUAAUACUAAUUUUAGAAAAACAUAUUUAUAUUGAUAAUGCAUUGUUUAACUACUCUAAAAUUAAGUAAUGAUUUUGAUUGCUUUGCUAAAAGUAAUUUACUUUGAAAGUUCAUAAUUCUCUCAUCGCUCGGCCAAAGCAGCAUCAGUAAAAAGGGACCUUAGAGCAUCACCUAUGUUGUUUCACCGCACAUUCAUCUGCUCUUCACAUUAUAAUAAGUACAGAAGAUCCUUAUUCAUCAUUGGCAUCGGUGCACCAUUUUCUUGGCUCUCUUGAGAGGGGGUUGAUGAUCAUGGACGAAUCCAUUGUCACACCCUAAAACUACAUAGAAUGGGGAUGACACGGCCGUCCUUCCACAUGAAGGACGCAGCCUCAAACACAACUAAUAACAUGAUAUCAAAUUAUAUAUAUAUAUAUAUAUAUGUGGUAUAUAUAUAUAUAUAUAUAUAUAUAUAUAUCUCAACCACAUAUAUAUACAUAUCAGAUAAACCAACAGAUUGGUUGCAACAUCAGAGUUUCUAUAAUCCACCAAAAAGAAAUUUACAAUUAGAACUCAACCGGUCCAACCAUUAGCAAGAAUUAUGUGCACCACUUCCUUAAACCAUACCCAAAAAUAGAACACCUAAAAGUUUCCCAACUGUGCUCUCAUCCUACUAGUUGCUAACUUUGGGACCUAAAAACAUGAAAGAUGAAUGGAAUGAGCAACCACAACUUAGUGAGUAGUACAUACCAUAAAAGCAUAUCAAACUUCCACAUUACAUAUUUAAAACUCAAGACAUGGCUCAUUAUCGCCAAACAAAAAUUUAAUAACUUGCUUGAACAAAAUGUGUUAUAUGUUACCUCAACCUAGCUAUAUCAAAUAGCAAAAUUUCUCAUUCAUCCAUAAUAAAAAAACAAGCAUCACCAAUUUGAUUCAUUAAUCGGACUCAUCCUAUCUCAUAUCGAUGGUUCAAUCCACGUUUAAUAUCCAAACUCAAGGCCCUAGAGGUGGCUCCCACAAAAUUACAUUAUCAUGUAGCACUUAGCCCUUGACCAAAUAUAGCAAUAGUACAAGGCCCUAGACGUGGCUCCCAUGAAGUUACGUUAUCGUGUAACACUUAGCCAUUUAUUAUGCAUGUCAAUAGUGCAAGGCCCUAGAGGUGGCUCCCAUGUGACUCGAGUCACCAUGUAGCACUUAGCUCUUGACUACAAGGCCCUAGAGGUGACUCACACGAAGUUUCGUUAUCGUGUAGCACUUAGUCUUUUACCUAUUCACAAUACAUUUGAUUUUUUCAGCACAACACAUAUCAUUUUUCAAUAGUCAUCACAUGAUCACAUAAAUCAAUUGUACCAAAACAACAUGCAUAACUCUUCAAGGGAGAUUUGUCAAAUCAUCUGCUAAUGUUGUCUUGAAUUCCACAAUAUUCAAUCGGAAAAUCUAGGAAGGCUUUAAGAUUGCAGGCUAUUUGUUUCCUAAUAUAUUUCCUAGAUUUGGGUUUCAAAUUUGGUAAUAUCUUUAUGGUGGAAUUCCUUUCCUACUAGGUUUAGGAAAGUGGGGAUCUAAAGAUCUCUUUAUUGUAGCAUUGUACCUUGUACUCUUGACAUACGCUCAAAUAAGAAAUCGUCUCUCUCUCUCCCUUGGACGUAGGCGGAUCUUUCGCCGAACCAUGUAAAUCUCCGUGUUCUUGAUUAUUCUUGUUUACUUUUUCUCAUUUAGUUAUGGUGUUCUUCCACACAACAAUUGGUAUCAGAGCAAUUCAGGUUAUCUGUUCCUGUAUUGCGACUUCUAACUAGAUGGCUGGAAAAGGUUCAACCAUUUGAUUUGAUAUUGAACGAUUCACUGGGAAGAAUAGUUUUACGCUAUGGCGGAGAAGGAUGAAGGAUUUGUUGAUUCAACAAGGUUUAUCAAAGGUUCUUCUGGGAAGAUCGAACAAGCCGGACACCAUCACUAAUGAUGAUUGGGCCGACAUGGAGGAGAGGGCGUGCAGCGCAAUCCGAUUGAACCUAUCGGAUGAGGCCAUUCAAUAUGUAGCAAAAAUCAAAUCUGCUUUGGAGGUAUGGCUCAAACUCGAAAGUAUUUACAUGACAAAAUCUCUUACGAACAAGUUGUUUUGAAGAAGAGAUUGUAUUCACUUCAGAUGAGUGAAGGAGGAAAUAUGUUGGAACACCUCAACGUGUUCAAUCAGAUGACUAGUGAACUUACAAGCUUGGAGGUAAAGUUUGAGGAUGAAGACAUAGCGCUUCUACUACUGGCAUCGUUGCCUGAUUCGUUUGACCACUUGGUGACUAUGCUCCUUUAUGGCAAGGAAAUCUUGGAGAUUGAAGAGAUGACUGUUGCCCUAAUUUCAAACGACACCCGGAAAAGGGCAAGUAGUUCAAAAUCUUCGGGAGAUGGACUCUUUGCAAAGGAGAAAAGAAAUCAAGGAAGAGGAAGAUCAACGGAUCAAGGAUCGAGCAGUAGGGGUCGAUCAAAAUCCAAGGGAAAGUUAAAAGGAAGAUGCUACGAGUGUAAUCAGGAAGAACAUACCAAGAGAUUCUGUCCAAAUAAGAACGAGAAAAAGAAGAAGAGCUCGGAUGAGGCAAGUAUAGCCAACAACGUUGAGACCAAUGAUGGGGACGUCUUGUCCAUAUCGUCGGGGAAGGACGUCUUUGAAGAUUCAUGGAUCAUGGACUUCGGAUGCACUUUUCACAUGUGUCCUCAUGGAGAAGCCUUCGAUGAGUACAAGGCAUAUGAUGGUGGUUCAGUUCUCAUGGGGAAUGAUACUUCGUGCAAGACUGUGGGUGUUGGAACUGUGAAAAUCAAGAUGUUUGAUGGCAUGAUUAGAACCUUGGCAGACGUGCGUCAUGUUCCAGGUCUAAGGAAGAAUUUGAUCUCAUUGGGAGCACUUGAAUCCAAUGGAUGCGAGUACACGGCUCAAGGUGGAGUCUUGAAGGUGAUUAAGGGAGCUCUAAUUGUUCUUAAGGGACACAGGCACGGGAACCUAUAUCGACUUAUAGGAACCAUAGCGCAAGGUGGAGCAUCUGUGUCCACGGAUGCUAGCACGGAGAUAGAUAACACCUAUCUAUGGCAUAUGCGUCUCAGGCAUAUGGGAGAAAGAGGAUUGAUGGAGCUUCACAAGAGGAAUGCACUCCAAGGUAUAAAAACAUGCAAAUUAGAUUUUUGCAAAUUUUGUGUGUUUGGAAAACAAUGCAGAGUUUGGUUCAAUGCUACAACUCAUACAAGCAAGGGCGUGCUCGAGUAUGUACACACGGAUGUAUGGGGUCCUUCACCAGUAAAGUCAAAAGGAGGGAAAGAAUACUUCGUGACAUUCAUUGAUGAUUUCUCUCGCAAAGUUUGGGUCUACUUCAUGCGACACAAAAGUGAAGUCUUUGAAAAGUUCAAAGAAUGGAAAGUUGAAGUUGAGACUUCAACGGCGGGGAAGAAGGUUAAGUGUUUGAGAUUGGACAAUGGAGGAGGGUACAAAUUGACACUAUUCAUGGAGCUUUGCAAGAAUGAAGGGAUUAAACAUCACUUCACAGUUCCGGAUAUGCCUCAAUAGAAUGGCGUAGCGGAAAGGAUAAAUCGAACCUUAUUAGAGAGAGCUCGAAGCAUGAGGCUACAUGCAGGACUGAACAAGGAGUUUUGGGCAGAAGUUAUUUGCAUGGCAUGUUAUCUUGUGAAUCGGUCUCCAUCAACUGCAAUUAAAUGCAAAAUUCCUGAAGAGGUAUGGACCGGUAAAAUUGUCGAUUAUUCUAAUUUCAGAAUAUUCGGUUGUCCUGCUUUUGAACAUUUGCAGAUCUUGAAGCGCUCGAAGUUGGAUCCAAAAUCAAAACAAUGCAUAUUUCUUGGUUACGAGAAAGGAGUGAAAGGCUACAAAUUAUGGGAUCCAAGUGAGAAGAAAGUUCUAACGAGCAGGGAUGUUAUAUUUGAUGAAUCUACAAUGUUGAAGUCAAGCUGCGUGCCACGCGCGGCUGCUGAAGAGAAGAGUGAUAAAUCUAUCAUUAAGGUGGAGCUUGAACCAGAGAAUCUGCAGAGAAUGGUGAGGUCAUCCAAUGAGGCUUCGGAAGUCAAAGAAACAAUAGAAGUUCUUCGUUACCAUUGCGACGGGUCGAGGAAUGUGCACNNNNNNNNNNNNNNNNNNNNNNNNNNNNNNNNNNNNNNNNNNNNNNNNNNNNNNNNNNNNNNNNNNNNNNNNNNNNNNNNNNNNNNNNNNNNNNNNNNNNNNNNNNNNNNNNNNNNNNNNNNNNNNNNNNNNNNNNNNNNNNNNNNNNNNNNNNNNNNNNNNNNNNNNNNNNNNNNNNNNNNNNNNNNNNNNNNNNNNNNNNNNNNNNNNNNNNNNNNNNNNNNNNNNNNNNNNNNNNNNNNNNNNNNNNNNNNNNNNNNNNNNNNNNNNNNNNNNNNNNNNNNNNNNNNNNNNNNNNNNNNNNNNNNNNNNNNNNNNNNNNNNNNNNNNNNNNNNNNNNNNNNNNNNNNNNNNNNNNNNNNNNNNNNNNNNNNNNNNNNNNNNNNNNNNNNNNNNNNNNNNNNNNNNNNNNNNNNNNNNNNNNNNNNNNNNNNNNNNNNNNNNNNNNNNNNNNNNNNNNNNNNNNNNNNNNNNNNNNNNNNNNNNNNNNNNNNNNNNNNNNNNNNNNNNNNNNNNNNNNNNNNNNNNNNNNNNNNNNNNNNNNNNNNNNNNNNNNNNNNNNNNNNNNNNNNNNNNNNNNNNNNNNNNNNNNNNNNNNNNNNNNNNNNNNNNNNNNNNNNNNNNNNNNNNNNNNNNNNNNNNNNNNNNNNNNNNNNNNNNNNNNNNNNNNNNNNNNNNNNNNNNNNNNNNNNNNNNNNNNNNNNNNNNNNNNNNNNNNNNNNNNNNNNNNNNNNNNNNNNNNNNNNNNNNNNNNNNNNNNNNNNNNNNNNNNNNNNNNNNNNNNNNNNNNNNNNNNNNNNNNNNNNNNNNNNNNNNNNNNNNNNNNNNNNNNNNNNNNNNNNNNNNNNNNNNNNNNNNNNNNNNNNNNNNNNNNNNNNNNNNNNNNNNNNNNNNNNNNNNNNNNNNNNNNNNNNNNNNNNNNNNNNNNNNNNNNNNNNNNNNNNNNNNNNNNNNNNNNNNNNNNNNNNNNNNNNNNNNNNNNNNNNNNNNNNNNNNNNNNNNNNNNNNNNNNNNNNNNNNNNNNNNNNNNNNNNNNNNNNNNNNNNNNNNNNNNNNNNNNNNNNNNNNNNNNNNNNNNNNNNNNNNNNNNNNNNNNNNNNNNNNNNNNNNNNNNNNNNNNNNNNNNNNNNNNNNNNNNNNNNNNNNNNNNNNNNNNNNNNNNNNNNNNNNNNNNNNNNNNNNNNNNNNNNNNNNNNNNNNNNNNNNNNNNNNNNNNNNNNNNNNNNNNNNNNNNNNNNNNNNNNNNNNNNNNNNNNNNNNNNNNNNNNNNNNNNNNNNNNNNNNNNNNNNNNNNNNNNNNNNNNNNNNNNNNNNNNNNNNNNNNNNNNNNNNNNNNNNNNNNNNNNNNNNNNNNNNNNNNNNNNNNNNNNNNNNNNNNNNNNNNNNNNNNNNNNNNNNNNNNNNNNNNNNNNNNNNNNNNNNNNNNNNNNNNNNNNNNNNNNNNNNNNNNNNNNNNNNNNNNNNNNNNNNNNNNNNNNNNNNNNNNNNNNNNNNNNNNNNNNNNNNNNNNNNNNNNNNNNNNNNNNNNNNNNNNNNNNNNNNNNNNNNNNNNNNNNNNNNNNNNNNNNNNNNNNNNNNNNNNNNNNNNNNNNNNNNNNNNNNNNNNNNNNNNNNNNNNNNNNNNNNNNNNNNNNNNNNNNNNNNNNNNNNNNNNNNNNNNNNNNNNNNNNNNNNNNNNNNNNNNNNNNNNNNNNNNNNNNNNNNNNNNNNNNNNNNNNNNNNNNNNNNNNNNNNNNNNNNNNNNNNNNNNNNNNNNNNNNNNNNNNNNNNNNNNNNNNNNNNNNNNNNNNNNNNNNNNNNNNNNNNNNNNNNNNNNNNNNNNNNNNNNNNNNNNNNNNNNNNNNNNNNNNNNNNNNNNNNNNNNNNNNNNNNNNNNNNNNNNNNNNNNNNNNNNNNNNNNNNNNNNNNNNNNNNNNNNNNNNNNNNNNNNNNNNNUCUAUUUAUUGUAGCAUUGUACCUUGUACUCUUGACAUACGCUCAAAUAAGAAAUCGUCUCUCUCUCUCCCUUGGACGUAGGCGGAUCUUUCGCCGAACCAUGUAAAUCUCCGUGUUCUUGAUUAUUCUUGUUUACUUUUUCUCAUUUAGUUAUGGUGUUCUUCCACACAACAAUUGGUAUCAGAGCAAUUCAGGUUAUCUGUUCCUGUAUUGCGACUUCUAACUAGAUGGCUGGAAAAGGUUCAACCAUUUGAUUUGAUAUUGAACGAUUCACUGGGAAGAAUAGUUUUACGCUAUGGCGGAGAAGGAUGAAGGAUUUGUUGAUUCAACAAGGUUUAUCAAAGGUUCUUCUGGGAAGAUCGAACAAGCCGGACACCAUCACUAAUGAUGAUUGGGCCGACAUGGAGGAGAGGGCGUGCAGCGCAAUCCGAUUGAACCUAUCGGAUGAGGCCAUUCAAUAUGUAGCAAAAAUCAAAUCUGCUUUGGAGGUAUGGCUCAAACUCGAAAGUAUUUACAUGACAAAAUCUCUUACGAACAAGUUGUUUUGAAGAAGAGAUUGUAUUCACUUCAGAUGAGUGAAGGAGGAAAUAUGUUGGAACACCUCAACGUGUUCAAUCAGAUGACUAGUGAACUUACAAGCUUGGAGGUAAAGUUUGAGGAUGAAGACAUAGCGCUUCUACUACUGGCAUCGUUGCCUGAUUCGUUUGACCACUUGGUGACUAUGCUCCUUUAUGGCAAGGAAAUCUUGGAGAUUGAAGAGAUGACUGUUGCCCUAAUUUCAAACGACACCCGGAAAAGGGCAAGUAGUUCAAAAUCUUCGGGAGAUGGACUCUUUGCAAAGGAGAAAAGAAAUCAAGGAAGAGGAAGAUCAACGGAUCAAGGAUCGAGCAGUAGGGGUCGAUCAAAAUCCAAGGGAAAGUUAAAAGGAAGAUGCUACGAGUGUAAUCAGGAAGAACAUACCAAGAGAUUCUGUCCAAAUAAGAACGAGAAAAAGAAGAAGAGCUCGGAUGAGGCAAGUAUAGCCAACAACGUUGAGACCAAUGAUGGGGACGUCUUGUCCAUAUCGUCGGGGAAGGACGUCUUUGAAGAUUCAUGGAUCAUGGACUUCGGAUGCACUUUUCACAUGUGUCCUCAUGGAGAAGCCUUCGAUGAGUACAAGGCAUAUGAUGGUGGUUCAGUUCUCAUGGGGAAUGAUACUUCGUGCAAGACUGUGGGUGUUGGAACUGUGAAAAUCAAGAUGUUUGAUGGCAUGAUUAGAACCUUGGCAGACGUGCGUCAUGUUCCAGGUCUAAGGAAGAAUUUGAUCUCAUUGGGAGCACUUGAAUCCAAUGGAUGCGAGUACACGGCUCAAGGUGGAGUCUUGAAGGUGAUUAAGGGAGCUCUAAUUGUUCUUAAGGGACACAGGCACGGGAACCUAUAUCGACUUAUAGGAACCAUAGCGCAAGGUGGAGCAUCUGUGUCCACGGAUGCUAGCACGGAGAUAGAUAACACCUAUCUAUGGCAUAUGCGUCUCAGGCAUAUGGGAGAAAGAGGAUUGAUGGAGCUUCACAAGAGGAAUGCACUCCAAGGUAUAAAAACAUGCAAAUUAGAUUUUUGCAAAUUUUGUGUGUUUGGAAAACAAUGCAGAGUUUGGUUCAAUGCUACAACUCAUACAAGCAAGGGCGUGCUCGAGUAUGUACACACGGAUGUAUGGGGUCCUUCACCAGUAAAGUCAAAAGGAGGGAAAGAAUACUUCGUGACAUUCAUUGAUGAUUUCUCUCGCAAAGUUUGGGUCUACUUCAUGCGACACAAAAGUGAAGUCUUUGAAAAGUUCAAAGAAUGGAAAGUUGAAGUUGAGACUUCAACGGCGGGGAAGAAGGUUAAGUGUUUGAGAUUGGACAAUGGAGGAGGGUACAAAUUGACACUAUUCAUGGAGCUUUGCAAGAAUGAAGGGAUUAAACAUCACUUCACAGUUCCGGAUAUGCCUCAAUAGAAUGGCGUAGCGGAAAGGAUAAAUCGAACCUUAUUAGAGAGAGCUCGAAGCAUGAGGCUACAUGCAGGACUGAACAAGGAGUUUUGGGCAGAAGUUAUUUGCAUGGCAUGUUAUCUUGUGAAUCGGUCUCCAUCAACUGCAAUUAAAUGCAAAAUUCCUGAAGAGGUAUGGACCGGUAAAAUUGUCGAUUAUUCUAAUUUCAGAAUAUUCGGUUGUCCUGCUUUUGAACAUUUGCAGAUCUUGAAGCGCUCGAAGUUGGAUCCAAAAUCAAAACAAUGCAUAUUUCUUGGUUACGAGAAAGGAGUGAAAGGCUACAAAUUAUGGGAUCCAAGUGAGAAGAAAGUUCUAACGAGCAGGGAUGUUAUAUUUGAUGAAUCUACAAUGUUGAAGUCAAGCUGCGUGCCACGCGCGGCUGCUGAAGAGAAGAGUGAUAAAUCUAUCAUUAAGGUGGAGCUUGAAACCAGAGAAUCUGCAGAGAAUGGUGAGUCAUCCAAUGAGGCUUCGGAAGUCAAAGAAACAAUAGAAGUUCCUCGUACCAUUGCGACGGGUCGAGGAAUGUCACGCCCCAACCCUUAGGCACGCACACAUCCCUUACUUUUGGUCGAUUUUAAAAUGUGAUAUCCCAGGACUAUGCAUCGCCGACCCUUUCAUUUUUAUAUGCACCUGCGGAAGCAGUUAUAAUUCCCCAGACAAUAAAGUAAUGGGAUAGAAAAGCAGGCCAUAUAUUUUUCUUACUGAAAAUUCACUACUACAUCUUUUUACAUGCAUCUCAUAGUAUUCUACAAUACUAUAUAUACGCAACUCUGGUCUAACGCCGAAUCACAUGCAAACAAGGUCUGACAAGACAGGACGGGAUCUCAGUCCUCAUCCGGGUCAUACUCGGGGUUAUCCUCGGGGUCCUCCUCCACGUACUCCUCUUCGGUUUCCUCAUCAGGGACCUCCUCAUCAGAUUCAUGCUGACGUGCGGACCCCUCAAGUGCCUUAACUUUGCCCAAAGGGACACUUAAGUGCCAUAACUUACGAAAGGUACACUUAAGUGCCAAAAUCGGAGCAAAAGGGAUCACUUGAGUGCCAAUCCGGCCAAAAUCCGGCCAAAUUGCAUACGUGGCAUUUUCCGGCGAUUUUCGGCGACUUCAUUUACUGAUGUGGCAAAUGUUUUUUUUUUUAAAAAAGCCGACGUGGGCGACAAAAACGACGUCGUCCAUCCACAUUGUGCGAUGACCUAAUCGUUGUUCCUCCCCAUCCGCGUUGACAGUCAAUCUCAGGCCCUUCUCUCCAUCGCCGUUCACGCCCAGAGCUGGUCAUCGAUCGCCGUCGUCAGUCGCCGCUGUUGGUCGCCGUUGCCGCUCACCGCUUACCAUCGUUGGUCGUCGUCACCGCUCACCAUCGUCGCUCGUCGAGGUUCGAACCCUUCUCCCCCUCCCCUGUGAUGAAAUUAGGGCUCGAUUAUUUAAUUAGGGCUCGCUCGAUUAUUUAAUUAGGGUUGGCUGACCUAAACGCCGUUCCUCGCCGUCCGCGUUCACAGUAGAUCACAGGCCUUUCUCUCCAUCGCCGUUCACGCCUAAAGCUGGUCAUCGGUGGCUGUCGUCAGUCGCCAUAGUUGGUCGUCGUUGCCGCUCACCGCUCACCAUCCUUGGUCGUCGUCACCGCUCACAAUUGUCGAUCAUCCAGGUUUAGCCCCUUCUCCCCCUCCGCUGUGAUGAAAUUAGGGCUCGAUUAUUUAAUUAGGGCUCCACUCGAUUAUUUAAUUAGGGCUCAAUUAUUUUAUUACAGCUCCGAUGGAAUUUGUGUUGAUAUACUUCAACUGAAACUUGCUGACAUUACACAAAGAGACCAGAUUUCUCAUUAUUUUGGUGAAUUUGUCUUUCAAGCCAACUGUCAGAGUAUGUGAUUGUUAACUGUCUAUGCAUCUCCUUAAGAGCAUCCUAGUAAAGCACGUGACUAAUGCCAUUCUGAGAAAAAAACUAAGUUCUUGAACCACCCUGCUUGUGAGAGUAUAUAGGGUAUGUCCUUGAACCACCCUGUUUGUGAGGCUGUAUAGGGUAUGUCCUUGAACCACCUUGUUGUGAUUGCUGUAUAGGGUAUAUUUAUAAAUCCAAAACCCUGCUGUGAUUGCUGUAUAAGGUAUGUUUAUCAAUCAAAAAUCCUGAAUAAGAACAUAAUCCUGUUGUGAUUUGAUUAAGUUGAUGUCAGAGUAUGCUAUGCUUUGAUUUGGUUAAGUUAAUGUACAUUCUCUCACAUUGCACAUUUAGUGCAGUAGACAUGCUUGGGCUGUGAUUGCUGUGUGGGGACCUCUGUUUUUGGUUAAUAUUUUAAGGGAAGGGAAGACAAAUAAUUAAAGUGCCGACCUCUUUUUUGGCUUUUUUGGCUGUCAUGUAGGGGCAUAUUGUCAGUGUGGGGACCUCUAUUUACUAAAGUCCAUGAGAGUGGGGGGACUCCCAUGUGCAAUUGUCUAGUGGUCCCAAAAACUAAUGAUUAUUUUUCUUGUUCUUGGUGCAGUAAUGGCGCAUGAGAAGGAUUAUGUCGCUGUUAUAGUUUGCUACAAUGGGGAAUUUGUGAUUGGGGAGGAUGAGUGGGAGUAUGAGGGUGGAAAUGAGGGCACCAUCUUUGUGGAUAUAAAGAAGGCAUCUUAUAUAGGAUUUCUUAGGGAUAUAAAUACUUAUUUGCCUUGUAAAGUUCAAAAGCUGCUGUAUUGUAUCCCUGGGAAAGACUUAAGAGAGGGUUUGAGAUGCUUAGAAGAUGAUAAUGGUCUUAGGGAUGUUCUAUACCAUUAUCUUCAUGGUGAAGAGGUAAAAAUAUUUGUUGAGUACAAUAGUGAAAGUGAGGAUGAAGAUGAUGAUGGAGAGAGCGCCGGAGUAAGACAAGAAGGAGAUGGUAUUCAAGGUAGUACUGACGUUAGGGUCGAAGGAGGGCAGGAUAGAUAUGAUGGACAUGAGAGAAGCGCAGAUGUAGUUCACCAAAGUGAUGAUGACAUAGGUGAUGUCACAAUCUCUGGAUUAGAUUGGGAAGUAGCUGAAUCAACUGAUGAUGAUGAUGGAGGGUUGCCUGCUGAAAAUUUUAUAAGCGAUGACGACGACGAGGAGCUUGUACAGUCAAGAAUACAGCGAAGGGAUUUUUUAACAGCUAAGUUUGCAGCUUUGCAAGUAGCCGAGGAAGUUUCAAACAGACCCGAAGGCCCUACAGAUGCUGGUGCUGCUGGCGAGGAGACUGACUAUGAAGAAAGCGUCGAGAAUGCUACUUCCCAGGAUGAGCUUGAAGAAGAUGAAGGACCUGUGCAUAGAAGGAAAAGGAAAAGUAAGUUUCCUUCUUAUGAUCCAUCCGUUGCCUCUCCCACUUUGUCGGUAGGCAUGAAAUUUCAUGAUGCUAAACAAUUUAGGGAAGCUAUACUGAAGAUCUCUAUUGCUGCACAAAGGAACAUUGACUUCAUUAGAAACACUAAGACCUUUGUAAGAGCUAGGUGUUCGCAGCAAAAUUGUCCAUGGAAGAUCUAUGGCGCAUUUGUUAAGAAAACUGGAUCUUUCCAUAUUAGAGCCUACCAAGAGGAACAUACUUGUUCCAUUAAUUUUGAGAAUAAAAGGGUAACAAGUGCAUGGUUAUCGAAGCAAUUCUUUGAAUUGAUUAAGCUGAUGCCUCAGAUGAAUACUACUCAGUUCAGGAUGCUGGUGAAGGAGCAGGUAGGCAUCAAUAUAUCUAGGAAUCAAUGUAAAAGAUCGAAGCAAAAGGUGAUGAAGAUACUCAUUGGUCAGUACAGCGGUGAAUAUGGACAGUUGUGGGACUAUUCUUGGGAGUGUAGGUUGCAAAAUCCUGGAAGUAGAGUGUAUCUCGAGGUCGUGGAGAGACCACUUCCUGAUAUUGGGAUGAAGUUCGAUAAAUUCUAUGUUUGUUUUUAUGCAUGCAAACGAGGUUUUUUAUCUGGCUGUAGACGGAUUAUAGGAUUGGACGGAUGUUUUUUGAAGGGCUUGUGCAAGGGAGAAUUGCUGGCCGCAAUUGGAAGAGAUGCAAACAACCAAAUGUUUCCCCUGGCUUGGGCUGUUGUGAAGGUAGAGAACAAGGACAAUUGGUCCUGGUUCCUAAAAAAUUUGAUGACUGAUUUGGAGAUAACAAAUGGGGCAGGGUGGGCAUUCAUGAGCGACCAACAAAAGGUAAUGUUUGCUUUUUAAAAUAUUAACAUACUUGUUUGUUUUUCGAUAUCAACAUGUCAUUUGCUUAUAUUUUUUUAUAUUUUCAAUUAUUGCAGGGACUUGUUCCAGCAAUAGCUGAGCUGUUGCCUUAUGCUGAACAUCGAAUGUGUGCGCGACACAUAUACGCAAAUUGGGCAAAGACCUAUAAAGGGGACAAAUUGCAGUCGCAAUUUUGGCAGCUAGCAAAGAGCACGAAUAUGGCCGACUUUAGGACGGCUAAAGAAAAGAUGCUUCAAUUGACAAAGGAUGGUUAUGAUGCACUGUUCCAAACAGACCCGAAGCAUUGGUGUAGGGCGUUCUUCAGCGAGGAAAUCAAGUGCGAUAACAUUGAUAACAACAUCUGUGAAGCAUUCAAUGGGAGGAUAAUAGAUGCUAGAUGUAAACCAAUUAUCUCGAUGCUUGAAGACAUACGGCUUUUGGUCAUGACUCGGCUGCACAGACAAAGAGAUGAUACUGCAAAGUGGACUAAGCAAUAUGGUCCUAGGAUUGCUAAGAAAUUGGAUGACAACUUGGCUGCAAGUAGGUAUUGUCAUCCCAUUUGGAAUGGGGAUGAAGGAUAUGAGAUAAUGAAGGGUUCCGAUAAGUAUGUUGUCCAUUUAGGUACGAUGAAUUGUUCAUGUAGAGCAUGGCAACUCAGUGGAAUUCCUUGUGCACAUGCCAUAUGUGCAAUUCAAUUGAAGGGCCACAACACAGAAGACUACCUUGAUGAUUGGUACAAGAAAUCGAAAUAUCUUGCUUCGUAUCAAUUCAUGUUGCAGCCAAUUAGAAGUAGCAAGUUCUGGGAGCCAACAGAUCGCGAAGCACCUCAACCUUUGCCACUAAAGAAGUGAAUGGGAAGACCAAAGAAAAAAAGAAAAAUGACGGAGGGAGAGGACUCAUGUCACCGUAGGAUGAAUAGGAUGGGUGUACUGAUAAAGUGCUCUUUUUGCCACAUAGCAGGGCACAAUAUUAAGGGUUGUCAAUUAAAGAAGCAGCAGGAACAAUUGAGGCCAGCCGAAGGGCCUAGUGAAGGGACAGUUGGAGAAGGAGAAACAGAAAGGCGAAGUGAGUCGACUGUUCUUCAGUCGACGACAAUAAACCCAGUAAGUCAUGACAAUUAUGUUUAUGUUGCUUUAUGGUUUGUUAUGAAUAUGUACAUAGAUAUAAGUGACAUGUAUGUAAUGUUUUUGUCUUUGUCAGGUCACGGUGACACGUGAAGAAUUGGCCGAAGCCCCUGCUAUACCUGAAAAUGAAGGGCCUGUUCAAAGAACCGAAGGUGGAAGACAGCCAGCUGCAAGAUUGGCUAAAACAACUGGAGGGCCAGUUAAGUCGACUGUUCUUCAGCAGCAACAAAGAAAAAAAUACCCGGUCAGUUAAAUGAUUUGAGUUUACUUUUCAUUUAUGUUCUAAUAUGGCCUGAUGUUAUAUUUAUGAUGUCCUUUGCCUUUUUCUCAGUUCGAAGAAGACAAGCUAGAGCUCAGCUGCUAAUAGAGGGCCUAACUAAAGGGCCACCACAAGAUCCAUCACCAAGGUCAUCACAAAGGCCACUAGAAGGGUCAUCACAAGGGCCACCACCAAAGCCUACCGAAGGUGUCACUGAAGCUGAAGGCGUAACUAGAAAAACAACUAGAAGAAAGCCAAAGCCAAAUCAAGAGCCACCUAUAAGAAGGCCAUCUACAAGAUGCCUAGCUGAAGAAUUGGCCGAAGAAGUCCCUUCUGUAGCUGAAUAGCCACAAGAGCCGAAGAAAUCACAUGCGAGAAGAAGAGGCAACCAAUCACAAGUACCUGAAAGUGACGCUCCCCUUCGAACAAGAGGGGCUCUUGGGAAGAGGCUUAAACAAUAUGGUUAUGGCCUUUAUACAGAUGACCGUUCUGGAACAGUUAUUCUUAAUGUAAGUUUUAUAAGCUGCAUUUAAUUUAAUUUAUAGUGCAAACUUUUGUUGAUAAUUGAGUUUUCUUUUUGAAGCCUGGGAGAAGUUCAGAGGUUCUUAUCUCUCAAGGCCGAACUCAAGAAUCAACGGCUGCGCCAACAAAGAAGAAGACAUUGCCUGCGCCAACAAGAAAGAAGAGUGAGAAGAACCCAGUUGCAGGUCCAUCCGAAUCAGUUCAGCCUACAAUAGUUGCAGCUCCUUCUGAAUCAGUUCAGCCUAGGACAAUUGCAGCUCCAUCAGACUCAACGCAUCCGAAGACAGCUGAAGAAGAAGUCUCACGUCCAGUUAGAAAAAGUGCAAGGAUUAUGAAUCAAGUGCGAAGUCCAUCAAAACGAGCACGAACAGGAGGCAUUGUGCAUAUUGAUUGAUGAAAUGGGAUGUGAUAUGGUUUAUGGGGCUGAGGAGUCAGUUGUAAACAUCUGUGGAUGUUUUUUUUUUUUUUUUAUAAUAGUUUGUCGUUGAGUUAGUUGAGUUUGUGAGACUUCAGUCAUUGAGUUUGUGAGACAGAUGUUCAAAAUCAAUGGAACAACCGUUGUUGCUUAUCAUUUUUGGCAUGCCUUUUUCUUUUUUCUUUUUUGAUUUUGUUUUUUCCUUUACUUAUUGCUACUUCUGGUGGUGGAUAUGUUGUGGUGACUGGGGUGCUCGUGUGGCUGGUGGUGGCUGGUGGUGAAAAGCCUGGUGGUGGUGGGUUGGGUUGGAGGUUUUUGCUGCACCUGGUGCAAGAUGUAUGUGCAAUAUGCACAGCUUACACCAGGUAGUGCUGGUGCAAGCUGGUGUAAGACACCUUACACUUGCAACUUAUGUAGCAACAUACCACCAGCAUAGUGGUGGCUGGUGGCUCAAAUGGAUGCUUGGGAUGCCUGGUGGUGAUGAUGGCUGGAGAUGGUGGCCAGUGGUGAGCGGUGGUGGUGGCUGGUAGUAGCCGAUGUGUACAAAAAAAAAUGCCACUUAACUGAUCACAUUCUAAAAAACCUAGCACUUAAGUAUUCACUUUUAACAACAAGUGACACUCAAGUGAUCCUUUUUAAUAAUAACUUGAUACUUAAAUGACUCUUUGUCUAUCACGACUGGCACUUAAGUGAUCACUAGAUACAAUUUAUAGUACUCCAGUAAUCACUCGUGUCUGUUCUAUGUAUAUGGUGGUUUGUAGCAAAACAGAGAAGCUGCUGGUUUACACAUUUGCUGCAGGUUUACACAUUUGCUGCUGAUUUACAUUCCAUUCAAGUAAAAAUAGUCACCACAACACAUCGACCUAAUAUACAUUCCAUCAUCACUGAUUUAUAUUUGAGAAUAAGCAAAAAUUGUUGAAAUCAUUCAUUCAUUCAUUCAAAACAAGUACAUUUCCCGACACAUUUACAACUAUGGCAGUUGAAGAAACUUCUUCUCAUCUUCCAGUCCUUUACAUUUCAUCAUAAAGUAGGAUAGACAAAGAAACAACAACACAAUAAACGCUUGGUAACACUUCCGUUCAUUUUUCAUUUUUGAAACUUCGUUCUUCAAAUGGUUGACAGAAGAUGCUUGAGCUUGAGCUUGCAUUGAGUCAACAUCGUCCAAGUCGUCCACAAGCGUAGAUGGAGGUUGAUGACAUCCAUCAAGUAGGUCCAAUAUUACCUCUGUGGCUCGGUGAGAGAAUUUCGUAUCGACCCAUUUGAAGUAUUUGCACUUCGAGCCUUCUCUGUAUCGGGCACAUCCAUAGAAUCUUCUCCCGGGAUUCGUUCGAGUCCACGAUGUUCUUCUUGGACUUGGUAACCCACAGAAACAGAAAUGCUCGCCUUCUCCUUCGCUUCGGCGAGAGAAAUUUGAGCCGCUGCUGAAAGUCUUGCUCUCCAUUUCCAAUAUUCGGUGGUAGAAUUUGGGGCAAAUCGAAUUAGGGUGCAGGAUUAGGGCUCCAGCGCUUCAAUAGCAUUUUGCCCGAUUUAGGGUUUUAGAUUUAGGGCAAAUGGGGAAGACGACGGCGUUUUCGCUGAAAUAAAGGGUCUAUUUUGGGCGAACACCCGGAACGACGUCGUUUGGGGUUAAUUCGAGCUGACUCAGCUCUCCGGCGAGACACAUUGGCGAGAGAUAUUAAUAUUUUAAUGCCACGUAUGAUUUCCGGCCAGCUUCGCCGGAGAUGGCACUCAGGUGUCCCACUUUUCUUAAAAUUUGGCACUUAAGUGUACCUUUCGUAAGUUAUGGCACUUAAGUGUCCCUUUGGGCAAAGUUAUGGCACUUGAAGCGUUCUUUUGCCGAUUCAUGCUCCUUAGGCUCCUUAUCCAGGUCCUGAAAUGGUUAUUCAAUAACCACUAAGACAACGUCUCAGCAAGUUCUACCUCCUAAGACCCGAUUAGUAAACUAAUACACCUUAGGGCUGCCUACGCACAACAUGAGUCAGAGGACUUACCUUAGCCUCAGAUUUCACCUGCAUAUUAGUACAAAUCGAAUAGGCACACAAGCAAUCACAUCACAGAUCGAAGCAUCGAUCUAAUCAACUUAGUCGAUUUCAUAUCAGGAAGACCACUCACGAUCAUCUCCCUUCAAUCAUUCAAUUCACAACAUCAAACCAAGGCAAUGAAUCACAUUAAGUCACACUCAGAUCGAUUCAUCGAUCAAUCGACCUAGUCGAUUACAAGCCAGUCGAAUCAUUUCUAGGUCAUUCAUCCCACACCAAGCAAUUCCUUGGAUUUAAUGGCUUUACGGUCCCACUCGACCUUUCCAAGAUUUAGUGGCUUUAUGGUCCCACCCAACCUUUCCAAGAUUUAGUGGCUUUAUGGUCCCACCCGACCUUUUCAAGAUUUAGUGGCUUUAUGGUCCCACCCGACCCUCUCAUGAUUUAGUGGCUUUACGGUCCCACCUGACAUUUCCAAGAUUUAGUGGCUUUAUGGUCCCACCCGACCUUUUCAAGAUUUAGUGGCUUUAUGGUCCCACCCGACCCUCUCAUGAUCUAGUGGUUUUACAGUCCCACCCGACCUUUCCAAGAUUUAGUGGCUUUAUGGUCCCACCCGACCCUUUUUACAAUGCCAUACUAUGUCAUCGAGCCAUGUGCAUUCUCCAGGAAGACAUACCGAGUCUUCGAGCCACGUGCAUUCUCUAAGACUACCUUUUCGCCAAGAUGACAUAUCUAAUCAUCGAGCCACGUGUCUUUCCCAAGUAACAUUCCAAUUCACUGGGCCACGUGCAUUCUCCGGGUGAUUUACCAACUCACUUUCGAUACUAACAACCGAUACCCGACCAAUUCUCAAUCACAAGGCCAAAAUUUCAUUAUUUAAUAACAUAACUCAAAAAUGCACCAUUAAAUCAAUUCGACACGAAUUAAAGCUCAAAUAAAUAAACGGACUGCUCCAUGAUAAUCAGCACGAAAUUCCGGUCACCGCCAUCCCGGUUGAAUUUCCGGAAAAUAAAUAAUUAAAUAAUUAAUUUCGAAAAUUAAUAAAUAAACAUAAUAAUUCCAAUUUAGCACAAUAUGAAGCUCAAUUAAAUAAACGGACUGCGCCACGAUCAUCAGCAUAAAAUCCCGGUCACUGACCAUCCCAGUUGAAUUUCUGAGAAAUAAAUAAUUAAAUAAUUAAUUUCGAAAAUUAAAAUUUAAUUCUUAAAAAUUCCACAUAGGCCCGAUUUGCUUAAUUAACACCCGAUAAGGGACAGGAAAAUUCCCAAGAAGCUUCCAAAAAAUACUAUAGGCAAUUCUCUAUCUAAUUACACUAAUCACACAACUAAUAUGCAAAGCCAUUAACUAAAAAUCACUAAUCAAUUCUAAUCUAACCACAUAAUUACACUUAAUUAACACUAAUCAACCUUUAAGUAUAAUUAGCACACUAAGAAGGCAUUAGUGAGUAAAACUCACUCAAAACGACGGGCUCAACGCGAGGAUCAACUUUCCUCAAAGCGGGCCGAGCAUCCGGGCUCGAGAAGGCGGCCAAAACGGGCCACGAAGGUGCUACCAUACCCAUUUCUGCACUCUCUGUGCGCUGCUGGUUGGGGGCGAAGGAGGGCGGAUCCGAAGCUGGGUUGGGUCGGAAAUGGACGGAGGGGCCGAACCAAACCUGGGCAGGGCUUCACGGUGGCCGGAGGUGGGCUGAACAGCUUCGGCGGAGCUCCACCAAGUCUGAAAUGUCGUUGGAACAGAGGGCUGAGCGAGGGGGAGGCCGAGGCAGGCAGAGCACGGGACGGCAGCUCAGUGAUGGUGGUGGACGGCGGAACGGCGGUGUGCGGUCCAACGGCGUGCGACGGCGACAGGUGGUGCUGCUGGCUGCUCUUUCGGCUUCCCUGAUCUGCUGGGUUUCGAACAACCCAAAGAAGAAGAAGAAGAAUUCCACGGCAGUAGCAGGGAAAGAGGAAAGCGAAGGGUGUGUGCGCAGCGGCGGCGUGCGGCGUGAGGCGGCGAUGACGGUCUUGGCUCCGAUGCGGCUGCAGCUCCUUCAACGCUGCUGGUCUCUAUUUCUGCUUCUGCUUUGUUCGAACAAGAGGGGCGGAAGAGAGAGGGUAUCGAGAGAGUGAGAGCAAGUACCGAGAGAGAGAUAGAUGAAGACAAGAGAGAGAGGAUAAGUUUGAAAAGUCAAAAAGUAAAAGAAAGGAGAAGCAAAGUUGAAGACAGCAAGAGGCCAGUCGGUGGAGGGGGUUCACACACGAGGGAAAAAGAAUAAGAGGGAGAGAGAGAGAGAGAGAAAGAAAGAGAGAAAAGCGGGAAAAAGAGUGUUUAGCCAAAAGGGGAAAAAGAAAUGGGAAGAAAAAGAAUUUCCUCAAAAUACAAAAAUUCUUAUCCCAAUUUCUUUUGAAUUAGCUCAUUUAAUCUCAAAAGAAUUUCCAAGCUAGAGUUCUUGGUCCCCUCUUGCAUUUCUGCAUACAAUUUCCCUCUUGAAUUUCUCUCAAAUAACUCUCAAAAUCAAUUGAUGUCUUACUUAUCAAAUUGAUUAUUUUCCUCAUCCAAGAAUUCCCUCAUGCUUCUCAAUUUCACAAUCUCUGGCUUCAACUGAACGAAAACGGCUCUAUUUAUCCAGUCGAAAUUAGAAUCCAAAAAUCUGGAUGUCACAAGGAAGGCGCACUCCCAAAGCACUGAGAGGUACGGUUUUGAGGAUAUGGUUGCUUAUGCUCUUACCAUAGGCUCUAGCGAUCCAAGCUCCUACCAUGAAGCUUUGAAAAGUGAUCACAAAGAAAAGUGGAUGACCACAAUGAUGGAGGAGAUGGAGUCGUUACAAAAGAAUGAGACAUGGGAACUUGUGAAGAAGCCCAAGGAUCAGAAUGUCAUUGGUUGCAAAUAGGUUCUUCAAAGAAAGGAAGUAGCAACGAAGAAAGAGCAAGAGAGAUCAAGGCCCGACUUAUUACUAAGGGCUAUGCACAGAAGGAGGGGAUUGAUUACGACGAGAUAUUUUCCCCGGUUGUAAAACACACAUCAAUUCGUUUUUUACUAGCUAUGGUAGCCAUGUAUGACUUGGAGCUUGAGUAGCUAGAUGUGAAGACGGCAUUCCUUCAUGGUGACUUGGAGGAGAAAAUUUAUAUGGAGCAGCUUGAAGGCUUCAAGGUGGAAGGAAAAGAGGAUCAUGUUUGUUUGCUCAAGAGAUCACUUUACAGUUUGAAGCAAUCUUCGAGGCAAUGGAAUAAAAGGUUUGAUUCUUUUAUGCUUCGUAUUGGCUACAUGAGGAGUGUGCAUGAUUCUUGUGUCUACUACAAAGUUUUGGAUGAUAAGUCGCUUAUUCUGUUGAUGCUCUAUGUUGAUGAUAUGUUAAUUGUUGUAAUAAAAAUGAGAGACAUUAAUUCCUUAAAGUCUCAGUUAAGUAGUGAGUUUGAUAUGAAGGAUCUUGCUGCUGCAAAGAGGAUCAUUGGCAUGGAAAUCUUUCAAGAUAGACAUGCAAGUAAGCUUUGGGUAAAUCAAAAGAAGUAUGUUGAGAAGGUCUUGGAGCGGUUCAACAUGGGUAAAGCUAAACCGGUUAGUACACCCUUAGCAAAUCACUUCAAAUUAUCUAAGAAACAAUGCCCUAUUUCACACGAGGAAGUUGUAAAGAUGUCUCGAGUACCCUAUGCUAGUGCAGUAGGGAGCCUCAUGUAUGCUAUGGUUUGUAGCAGACCGGAUUUGGCUCAUGCGGUGAGUCUCAUCAACCGAUACAUGAGCAAUCCGGGUAAGGAGCAUUGGGAAGCUAUUAAGUGGAUCUUUCAUUAUUUGGCUAGAAUUGCCGGAAUGGGUUUAAUGUUCAGUUCCAAUGGAGGAUCAAUCGAUUUGGUAGGUUAUGUUGAUUCGGACUACACUGGUGAUUUGGACAAGCGAAGGUCCAUCAUGGGAUAUGUCUUUACUCUUGGUGGUGGAGCUAUUUCAUGGAAAGCAAUGCUUCAACCUACUGUAGCAUUGUCUACAACCGAAGCUGAGUAUAUGGCAGUAACUGAGGCUGCGAAGGAGGGAAUAUGGCUGAUUGGUUUGGUCACAGAGUUGGGUAUAAAGCAAGAAAGUGCUACAUUAUAUUGCGAUAGCCAAAGCGCAAUAUGUCUUGCGAAUAAUCAAGCGUUCCAUUCUAGAACGAAAAACAUUGAAGUUCGGUACUGCAAAAUUCGAGAAUUUGUGGAGAAUGGGAGCAUUGCUUUGAAGAUAAUCCAUACUAAAGAUAAUCCCACAGAUAUGCUCACGAAGACGGUUACUUCAGAGAAGUUCAAGUCCUACAGGGACUUGAUUUCUCGCACUCAUCAUUGAAAUUGAUGGAGACCGCACCAAUCCAGGUGCAGGCGUACCUUUGCGAAGGUACAGUGGAGGGAGAGAUAUAUCCGUUUUCUUAGUUCAAGUGGAGGCUUGUGGUUUAUUCAAGCCAAAGUUGGAGAUUUGUUGAUGUUGUCUUGAAUUCCACAAUAUUCAAUCGGGAUAUUUAGGAAGGCUUGAAGAUUGCAGGCUAUUUGUUUACUAAUAUAUUUCCUAGAUUUGGGUUUCAAAUUUGAUAAUAUCUUUAUGGUGGAAUUCCUUUCCUACUUGGUUUAGGAAAGUGGGGAUCUAAAGAUCUAUUUAUUUCAGCAUUGUACCUUGUACUCUUGACAUAUGCUCAAAUAAGAAAUUGUCUCUCUCUCUCUCCUGUGGACGUAGGUGGAUCUUUUGCCGAACCACGUAAAUCUUUGUGUUCUUGAUUACUCUUGUUUACUUUUCUCAUUUAGUUAGGGUGUUCUUCCGCACAACAUCAUCCCACAAUAACUCAAAAUUACCGAGCACUAUAUCCAUCUUUAUACAACAAAUAUGUCAUCACUUCCCUACACAAGUAUAUGUCGAUUACUCUUACCAUAGUACAUGAGUUUCACAAAACCAAAUGAGACAUUAGUACUACUCACCUGGGGAUGCCCCAAAAUCAAAUGUGUAUUAUUUGAUCCUUCUAUCUCGCGAUCCUAUCAAAUAAGCGAGAAUCAACAUUAAAUUUAGGUAGCACGCCACGUCAACCACGAAACGGCUAUAUUAUGGCUAAAUGUUAACAAAACAAUUCCUAUGCGCUAAUAAAUCACAUACUCAAAAUAAUUAUUCAACAUGUUCGUAAUGUGACACUUGAGCUUAAAACUUAGUUACGCUAUAACUUUCUUUAUUGAACCUUGUUCCAAACAUACUUAUUGUCAAUAGAAAUUCCUUCUAACAUACUAUAAUAAUCCCAACUUAAUCGUCCCAAAAUCAAAUCGAAAACUAACAAAAUAAGGGCCCAAAGCUACUGGACGCACAUUGUUCACUACACUCGGGAAACUUCGAAAUUUUGUUUCGAGCAAACCAUAAGUUCAAAUCACGAUUCGUAAAAUCCCACGGCUCCACAACAACCUAAACUAUCAUUUCUACAAAAAUACGCGGCUCAAUGACUCCAAAAUCGGAUUUCGCCACUCUAUUUUCCAAAAAUUCCGAAUUGGAGCCCUAAACCUGUAAAUUACUUCUAUUGGAUGCAUAAGGGGCCUAAUCUCUUACCAGGUGCUGCGUUAUAAAGUUGAGUCAGCUUGGCGAGGCAUCCGUGGCAUGUACAUGCCAAAACCCCUUUUCAUUUCCUCCCUCUUCUUCUUCUUCUUCUUCUUCUUCUUCUUUUCUCUUUUUGGUCGAGGGAGCUCUCAGCUACUUUUUAGCUGAGCCCCCUCCCCUCUCCUUUUUACUUUAUUGACUUUUCAACUUAUUUUUCUUUUUCUUCUUUUGGGCCCCACUAGCCAAAUAUUACAUCCAUGUUCUAUCAUGGCUCCGGAUACUUGAACGAAUAGCGGAAUUGUAGCAACCAGGCGGACACGCUCGAAAGUCUAGAGAUCCGACUACUAAGAAUUCCGGCACUGUUGGCCAUCACUGCUUCAAUGCUAGUCUUUGGGCUAUUCAGGCGACGAUGUGGCAGCUGGGCAUUGGCAUUAGUCGCAUCUGGGGCCAAUGUCCUUUCACCUGCUAUCAUCGCAUACACGCUUGGCCCCAUCCAAAGUGCAUCUUUCAGCAGUCCGUAUUUCCCUGUGUGGGCAGCAUAUCUUGUGGUGGUUCUCAGAAGCGUGGAUUCCUACACUGUGCACAGCAUUGAAGCAAUGAACAGUGGAAGUCAUUUAAUCUCGACUCCACUGCUAAAUGUUUCAUGACAAGUUGGAUGAUCGCUUCAUACGUUACCCAGUCAAUGUCAACAUUGUGCAUAGUGCUUCUUUUCAUCAUUCUACUCAUGAAAGUCGACAAAAGAGCAUGGGCUUAAUGUUGGCAAGCAAUUCUGUGAUGGAGAAGAAAUACAAGUUAAUAGCAAACUACAUGAGCAUCGAGCACCAAUGCAUCGAUUCAGGCGAGAUCCUAACUCACAUGAAUCAAUCGACAAGGAAGGAGAUUUCUUUCACUCUCAACUUACUUGGAUAAAGGGCAUAAUCAAGGCCAAAUCGGGGUGGGUGCCCACCAAGAUAGGUAGAUUUUAUCAAUUUGGUUUUUUUUUUUUCCCUUUCUAAAAAACCUUUUUGCUAUGAAGAGCAAAGUCGAGGCAGCUGAGAGAGGUAGAUUCAACACUCAUUGUUAGGUCUAGAAAUUGUCUAAAUAUAAUCUUUUUUCCUUUCGCUUAAAGCGAGUUGGAGGAUGGAAGCUCCCUUUUUGCAAACUCCCCAAUCAUAUGAUCUAGUGGUAAGUUAGAUAAAUGAGGCAUUAGGUGUAAUUGUCACUUCGACGUAGGAUGUCACCCAGCAUGCCAGUGUGGCGCUUAGCAGCAUAUCAAUAGCCGUUUAUUUUUCUAAGGGCGGAAUCAAUAUAAAAGAAAAAAAUACACGGUUCAAGAAUUCAAUUGGACAAAAAGAAACUCAAGAAAUUGAUGUAAUUUAGAGAGUAAUGUACAUUUAUCACUUUUUUUAUACUUUUUUUUUGGGGUCAAAACUUUUCUUUUUUAACUCGAUAGCUUCAUUUGCAGGUGCAAUUAAACGAAAUUUUUUCAAGGUAUUCACUUCAAAAGUAAAUCAUUUUGGGCUGCGUUUUUCUCCAUCACUAAACCUUUGAUUGAUGAGUUAGAAACAUGGACCUCCGUUACAUUUUUUUAGUUAAAUUUGCAUAUGACAAUGUCCAUGUUAAUAUAACUUAUAGGUCAAAGGUUUGGUUUGAGGACAAGAAAAAUAUGACCCAUUCUUUAUUGGUUUUUCAAGACUUAUCACAACAAUCAAUCCCAAUUUUCGUGUAGGUGCCGUACAUUCGUCCCCUCUUCACAAUAAAAGAAGUAUAAAGAUCCUUCCUCUUCUUCAUCAACGCGUGCAUGUUAUUAGCAGAAGGCCAUAAAAUAGGAAAGAAACAAAAAAAAACAGAGAUGGUAGGUCUCGUUAACAAGUUCCUGCAGAAGCUCGAGGAGCGCUGCUAACUGAUGAGCGACAAAGAUAUUGAGAUCCAAAUGGCAAAAAUUGAUGCACUGCUGGCCAUCACUGCUGUAACCUCUGUCUUUCUUGGGGUCUCCUGGUCAUUCAGGCAAUGCUGCGGCAACCGCGCAUUCGUGAUGGUCGCAUUUGCGGCCUAUACCCUUAGGCCUGCUGUCAUUGUGUAUACGCUUGGCCUUAUCCAAACCGCUCAAUUCUGUAGUUGGAGUUUGCCUAUCUGGGCGACUUAUUUGAUGGUGUUUCUUGGAAACGCGGAUUCCUACACUGCUCACAGCAUGGGGGACAUUGAGAGGUGGAAGUCAUUUAAAGUCGACUCUGCUGCUAAAUUUAUCCUGACAAGUUGGAUGAUCGUUUCAUAUGUGUGCCUGUACACUGACCUCCUGUCCAGGGCAAUACUGGGCGUUCUUUUCGUCAUUCUAUUCAUGAAAUUUGACGGAAGAGCACAAGCUUUGAAAUUGGCAAGCAAUUCUAUGAUGCAGAAGAACGACAGGUACAUAGCAGAUUACAUGAGCACCGAGCACCAAUGGAGAGAUUCAAGUGACGAAGAUCCUGCUACAAUGCGUACGUAUAGGUACUAGGUGAGAGGGGCAGAAGAGGCAAAAGUGCACUCAUUGUGCUCAAUAGCGAAGUGGAGGCGAAAGGCAGCUCCGUGGCGUGAUGGGGAUGCACCGGACUAUCGACAACUGUUGGAGGUGACGGAUGAAGUUAUCACCGUCGAGCAGGUUUGGAAUUGCAAAGGUAGACUUUUAAGUGUAAGCGGAGGAGACUCGGAUGGCCGACUCAAGGAUCUUUGCCUAUCUUUUUCACUCUUCAAGUUCAUUCGCCUGAGAUUCACUAGCUAUUCGUUGCCCAAAGAAGCUCACAACAAGUUAUGGCGCUUAAUUCAACAUAUGCUUUCUGAAGAGAAUGGUUAUGAGCAAGUUUUCCGAGUCAUCGAAGUAGAACUUGCAAUUCUUUUCGAUUUAUUCUACACCAAACACCCAGUGAAUCUCCAUCGGCCUCCUAUUGUGUAUAGAUUGCUUCUGCUUCCCGUUGUGGUUGCUAUCCCUGUGCUUUUUCUCUACUUUGCAAUUUCCAGCAAGUUGGUGCUAAUGGCUGUUGAAUACGCCUUGUUAAUGAUGUCGAUCCUCGUUGUCGAGCUUACAUAGUUUGGCAUCAUGAUUUUCUCGGAAUGGGCAAAGGUCACAUACAUAUGCAACUAUGUACGAAAUGAGUUGUGGCAAACGAACAUAUGUGCUGGGAAGUUGAUCGAGAUUUUGUGCCUAGUUUCGUUAGUGAAGCCUUUGGGAAGAGAAUUGCGUCAAUACUCGCUCCUCAAAUCGUAUAGCUAUUCUCCACCGAAGUGGAUAUAUAAUCGACUCACUGCUGCUUAUCUUGACUAGAAAAUAAACGGCCAGAAACAAAUUGCUCCGACCAAUUUGUCUAAGCAAGUGAAGAAGGCGAUUGCUCGGUCUCUAGGAAGGAUUUACCAGCAAUUUGGAGAAGGGACAAGCGUCUAUGAGGCGCAACGACUUGUCCGAUGAGCUUUCAUGGGCAUGUGAUCUUGAGACAACUACUCAUGUUAUACUGGUCUGGCACAUAGCAACCACUUUCUGCGAGCAUAAAGUGGCUUGUGCUCAACUUUCACAAGAACAAAGAGACAACUUUGACAUAGCGACUAAGCUAUCGCAAUAUCUUGCUUACUUGGUUGUUUUUGCCCCUAGGUUGCUCCUUGGUCACCCUUGCAGGACCGAAUACAUUUUUGCUCGUGCUAUCAGUGAAGCCAGAGAAAAAUUGGGAGGUUCCUCAGUUUCAAUGGAAGAGAGGAUUCAAAAGCUAAAGAUGGGCAUUGACAACGAACAAUGCCAGGAAAUGAUUGUGGCUCGAGGUGCACGGCUGGAAUGCAGCUUGUGAAUGGAGUAAAGGGUGAGGGGCGAAUUUGGAAGGUCUUGGCUGACUUUUGGGCGGAUAUGAUGCUAUAUGUGGCUCCUUCAAAUGAUACGGCGGCUCAUGCUAAGUAUCUCACCACCGGGGGCGAGUUUGUGACUCACGUUUGGGUUUUGGUCUCUCACACGGGCAUUACGAGAGAUCCAUCUGGUGGUGAGUAACAUGAAGAUCCAGAGAGGAGCUGAACUUGGCCUCAUUUUAUGAUAUUAUGCCUAAUCAACUGUGUAAAAUGUCUAUAUGGUUGUGUAUGUUUGUAGUAGUCCCGUUGUCUUACAUCCAUCCCUGGUCAGAUUCUAGAAAAAAAUUUCGUGUAUGAUGCAUGACCUCUUCCUUUAUGUGGUGUAAUGUGUUGCUUUAUCAAGGUCUAUUAGCGACAACUUGAAUAGGUUGUCCAUUUCUAAGAUUGUAUUAUGUCGAACAUGGGCAAUAUGUAAUGUUUUUGUUGUUGUUUGUUCACACUUUUAUAUGUUAGGAUAUACAAUGUCAUGAGCACGCAGUGGAUAUCUCAUACCUUCACUUGAUAGAUCAAAAAGGAAAAGCCUAAGUUUGAGUCUAUCAACAUACUCAAUUGAAUCCACGUUUACUCAAAAGCUUAAGUCAAUGAAAUUGACGACUCAAUAUCACACCAAUUCUCUUAUGUGAAACUUUUCUAACACUACUCACAAGUGCAUUUCAAUAAUCUCGCCCUCACAUAUGAUCUUAAUGUUAGGUCUGCUCAUUCUUAGUUAGGUAUCCUUCUGUGUUAACAUGUCUCUACUUGAAUCUCCACAUUGUUUGUCAUGUGAAGACCGCAGCAACAACAACUACAACCUUCAUCCCUGCUCUCUCUCUCUCUCCAAACGGAAUCAUGAAGUUUGCCAAUGGGGCUACGAUGUUAUAUCACAAUCUUGAUCGAACCAUAAAGGCUGUGUGGAAAUGACAUUGUUUACAAGAUUUCUUCUUGGAAAUAUUGACCCAAAACCAAUACGCAUUGGGAGCGGGCAACCAUCAAUUAUCGGAUUUAAUACCAUUUGUUAGGAGCAUGCAGUAAAAAUCCCAAACCUUUACCUAGGGAAAUCGCCAAGAAAGAGCUUAAGUUCGAGUCAACCAAUCUAGUUGGACCAAUAUUCAAUUAAAAGUUUAAACAAUAAGUUAUGGACAAACUACAAUAUAUUAACUACACAACAUGACAUAAAUUUUCUAAUAUAAGAUUUUUCUAACACAGUUCAUGUGCAUCUCAAUAUACAUUUCCUAGAAACCCCAGCAUAGUGCUUUGAAUGAGGCCAAGAUUGUAGGCGACGGUGGGACCGAAAUGGCUGGCCACGAACGCUCUGAGCCUGAAAGCUCCAUUUUCUUUGCGAGAUUGCCAAAGACGCUAAGUAACAUGUACAGGCAAGGCUAUGAAGGUCAAUAGAACCUUAAUAUGCAGUGCAAUCCGAGUAAAAUUGCACGAAGCAUGCAUCCUCAUCCCUGAAUCUCACGCUUCGUGUCCUGUUCUUCUGUUUAAGCUCGUCUUAAGCAAGGACUGUGGAGGAGAGUCUUAUUGGAUAUAGAUGCGGACUGGCCAUUUCCCAUUCCUUUUUAUAAUCUUUUGUCCUGUUCCUUUUUAUCUCUUCCUGACAAUCUAGCGUAAUGUUUUUUGUUUUUGUUUUGUGAAAAGCCAUAUGUUUCUUUGAAGAUUGUAACUAUUUUAUUCCAGGUGUAUUUCGAAGACAAUUGGUUACAUUGGGAAAUAGCAAAGCGUAGUGCCAUGAGGCUAAUUACUUAGAAUCUGAAGAUAACAUGGGGAUCCUCUAGGGGCAAAGUACUCCGUACGUCCGAUGCCAUACCAUCUUGCUGCAAGUUUAGUUUGAUUCUUCUUUACUUAGAACAGUACCCAGCUCAUUGUUGCGAUCCUUCGGAGGUAAACCUGUGGCAGAUUGCUAAAUAGGCACGAAUGAUUUCUCUUAUGAUGUGCCUAUGUUUAGCACGAGCUCUCCCAAAUCGUAUAAAUUCCAACUUGGUUUAUCGAUUAAUUAUACAAUUUAGUUUUACUUCAAGAUCCACCACUAAUCUAUUAUAAGUGGAUUAGAGACCGAGUAAGACGCGAGAGCUCAUUUUACUUUAAUGAACCAGAGAUUCAUGGGUACAUCAAAUGACUAUUUUGGGACUUUUUCUCUUCUAAUGAAAAGGGUUAUUCAUGUGAUCUUUUCAAUUAUUUUUAUCCAAGACAUGCAAAGCAGGUGAUCAUGCAUAAAUCAUUCAAACAAACACUAUGUAAAACCCAAUAAUAUCCAAGCAAGUAAAGUGCGUAUAGGAAUGAAACUGAGCCGUACUUGGCAAAAUUAAACAUGUAAGUUAUAAAUGGAGGGUCAUUUCUUCAAAAUAAACUAAUACUUGAAAAAGGAUAGUGAAUAUGCGAACAUGAAGUGCUAUGAAUAUUUUCUAAAUAAAUUACUUCUCUAAAAUGAACUAUUAAAAACAUGUAAAUACAAUUUAAUUAACGCGGUCUAAAAAGAAGUGCAAUAUUAAGAGAAUGAAUCUAUUUGUGAAUAUGCAAAUUUUGCUGAAUGCACUCCUAGGCAUAUUUGGUGACAUUUUUAAUGAAGAUGCAAUCUAAAAUUAUUAGCAUACAAGAUAUGAUCUUUUAUAUUUUCUUUUUUUAUGACAUGUGAUUUGUGAAAAUAAAGUGUUAAUAUGGUCAAUGCAAUAUAAUGUUCCAAAGAUGCAUCAAGACAUCUAUUCAUGAAAAUUUUAAAUUCUCUUACAAGGCAAUUAUCAUUUUGCAAAUAAAAUAUGGAAUCCUAUUUAUGCAAAAACAUGCAAAAGUAUCAAUAAGCUUACAGAUGCAAAGGCAAACACAACUGGACCUGCAAAUAUGAAUUUUUCUAUAUACGCAAAUAUCAAGACGUAAUUUACUCAUAUAGGUUCCCUAAUUAAUCUAAACAUGUGUUUCUGACCCCCCCCCCCCCCCCCCCCCAAAAAAAUCUAAACAUAUGAUUCAUGUAACAUUCCCUUAUUAAGACUAUAAAUAUAACAUGUCAAUCUAACAUUCAAAACCUUUCUGACCAAAAAAAAAAAAUUUCAAAACCUAGUAAGUAUAUUAUAUAAUAUGCAAAUUACUACAUGGAACUCCAUGCAAAAGUGACGUGAAAUACGAUCACAAACCCAACACAUGAUUAUGUGACGAAUUUUUAUUAUGGAAAUCAAAUGUACACAAAUUGUGUGACCAAAUUAACAUUAUGCAGUGAAAUUAAUCUAAACUAACAUGCAAAUCUGAAAUAUAUAUAACAUGAUAAUGUAGAAACAAUGAUCUCAUCAAAUAUCAACAUUGAAAUAAGUUAAAACGAUGCGAGUUACAACGUCAAUUGCAAUAUUUUUAUGAGAAGACGAUAAACCAAAAUUAAAUAUAAAGGGAGUUGGUUUGGAUCAAAUCAAUUUUGAGACGAGUUGCUUGGCAUUAUCGGUUCAGUUUAUGAAUGCACUCGGGGACAAAUAUCUAGACAAAAUCAAAGUAGAACAGUUCACAUAAUUUGUAUUAAUCAAAGAAUGGAAACCGGGAAUUUAGAUUUUUUUACCUUGAAAUCACAAUCAAUGUUGGAAAACCGUCCAACUCGGUUCUUCAAUUCUUCACGAUCUCCUUUUCCAGCGGUGCCUUCUGUUUUCUUUCCUCCUAGGUAUUGAGCUCCAAUAUGUAGCCGAAUAUAUUCUGGACAUAUUUGCUCAAUCGUGUGCACUUUUCAGCCAACACUUACUUCUAGAAGGAAUUAUGGUGUUCUUCUUGACUUGUAGGAUUGGUUAGCUUCAGCGUUAUCUCACAGCAUGAUGUAAGCGGACCAAAGAAGCCGUUGUCUGUGUAAAUAAUAAGACUAUACUGGGUAAAUAAAAAACGAACCGUAUAGAACGCUAGAGAUUAACAUGAAUUGUUGUAAGUAUUAGUACUUUCUUCACGAAAAGAUUCAAAUGUAAAUAGUUAUCUAUUAAGUGAAAGUUAUAGAGUUAAAUCAAUAGCUCACUCCUCACUUGUUCCCCAAGCUCCAACACACAAACUCCUACAAGCUCUCGUAUUUAUCUUGCCAAAUUCUGCUAGAAACCCCUGCAAGACACAUUAGAUAACUUUGUACGUGUUCUAAACUAAAUAGGAGAAAAUGUCACGCCCCGAUCCUCGGGCACGCACACAUCCUUCUCACUUGGUCGAUUUUAUAAUGCGAUAUCCCAGGACUAGUAUCGCCGACCCUUUCAUUUAUUAAGCACAUGCGGAAGCAAUUAAAAUCCCCAGAAAAUAAAACAAUGGGAUAGAAAAGCAGGCCAUAUUUUUUUUUUUAUUGAAAUUCACAACCACACUUUCAUUAACAGCACAACUCAUAGUAUAUUUACAAUACUAUUCACAACAUACUUGUCUCACACCUAUCUACACUAAGACAGGGUUUACAAAAGGGAUGGGAUCUUAGUCCACAUCCGGGUUAUACUCAAGAUCCCUCUUUGGAUCAUCUUCUUCUUCAAAAGUCUUUCUUCCCUUCAGGUUCCUCCUCCUUAGCUUCUCCUCAGGGUCCUGAAAUGGUUAUUCAAUAACCAAUGAGACCACGUCUCAGCGAAUUCUACCCUCUAAUACCCGAUUAGUAAGCUAAUAUACCUUAGGCUGCCUAAGCACAUCACGAGUCAGAGGACUUACCUUGGCCUCAGCUCCUUCCUACAAGUCAGUACAAUUCAUAAUAGGCACCCAAGCAAUCAUAUCACAGAUCGAAGCAUCGAUCAAAUCGACCUAGUCGAUUACAAGCCAACAAGACCACUCCCGGUCAUUUCCAUCCAAUCAAUUAAUUCACAACAUCAUAUCAAAGCAAUGACCCCUUCCAUACUUUCUAUAAGUCUGAUCAGCAUCCAAGACUACUCACCCUAGGUGAUAUAUAGAUAGUAUGUUAUCUUAUCUCCAGACGACAUAUAGAGUCAUCGAGCUAUCAAAUCAUACCGUACUGUCUCCAGAUGCUCCGUAGAGUCAUCGAGCCGGUAGAUCAUACCGUCCUGUCUCAAGAUGCUCCGUAGAGUCAUCGAGCCGGUAUACACACAAUUUAUCAUACCGUACUGUCUCCAGAUGCUCCGUAGAGUCAUCGAGUCGGUAGAUCAUACCGUCCUGUCUCAAGAUGCUCCGUAGAGUCAUCGAGCCGGUAUACACACAAUUUAUCAUACCGUACUGUCUCCAGAUGCUCCGUAGAGUCAUCGAGUCGGUAGAUCAUACCGUCCUGUCUCAAGAUGCUCCGUAGAGUCAUCGAGCCGGUAUACACACAAUUUAUCAUACCGUACUGUCUCCAAAUGCUCCAUAGAGUCAUCGAGCCGGUAGAUCAUACCGUCCUGUCUCAAGAUGCUCCGUAGAGUCAUCGAGCCGGUAUACAUGUCAUUCCAAGCAAACAAUCAAAUAACCGAUUUUCUCAUUUCCAAUAAAAUGCCAUGAGUGGGUACACGAUCGGUCCUAACCAAAAUAUAAUAAUCUCCUUUUUAUAAAUCCCACCAUAUUCUGUAUUCCACUAAAACAUUUUUGGUAUCAUUAACUGAUGCCCGGUUAAUUUCCAAUUAAUUUUCCAAGAUUACUUAAAAUAAUUCCCAAAUAAAUCAUUUCCGCACAAAAUAAAGCUCAAUUAAAUAAACAGACUGCACCACGACAAUCAGCAUAAAAUUCCGGUCAUCGGCCAUCCCAGUUGAAUUUCCGGAAGAAUAAAUAAAUAAAUAAAUAAUUUCGAAAAAUAAAUAAAUAAAUACUAAAAAUCCAAUUUAGGCCAGUAUUGCCUGAUUGGACGCCAGAACGGAUCGGGAAAAAUCCCGAGAUGCAUUCAAUAAAUAAAAGUACGUCUCUACUUGCUAAUGACUAAGUCUAACCACCUAACAUGCAUCGUUAAGUCACUAAUUUAAUUGUUCUAGACUAAUCUAACCACCUAAUUGCAUUUAAUUAAAUCUAACCAACCCCUAAGCAUAAUUAGCAAACUAAGAAAGCAUUAGUGAGUAAAACUCACUUGGCAAAGCGAAGAUCGGAACACCGCGAUGGCGACGCGAUGGCGCAACGGCGGCCGAAAUACAAAUUUUCGGUGACAUCGACGAUCACUCGGGCCGGGCCCAAAGGCCUUGCAAGCCCACAGCAAAUUGCUGGGCUUGAGCCGAACUUGGGCCGACUUGCUUCACGGGCCCAAGAUGGGCUGAACUUCAAGACUGAAAAUGGGCUGCCUUCUUGUGCUAAAAUGGGCUGGGCCGAGAAGCCCUGAAAUUUGCGGCCAUGCUAGGCUGAAUUCUGGCCUGACCUACGGCCCAAAGAAGCUGAAUCCGCGUGGCUGUCUUCGAAUGGCCCAGAUGCAUGGAUUGGGCUGCUUUUGGGCCAAGGGUAUGAUGCUGGAGAGGACCACGCUGGGGAUGCUGGGCAGCAGCAACGUGGGCUGGCGCGGCCCACGAAGGAAGCAGCAGCUGCUUCGGUCAUCAAACCGAAUGAGAGAGUAGCUGGCGUCCGCUGGCAGAGGGGGAGAGAUCACAGGAUGGCUUCGGUCUCUGCUGGGGAGACACCGCAACGUGAAUGGCAGUUGGGGUUGACUGACGAAGGUGGAAAGCAGCAGACGUCCUUGCUGGGUGGGGCGCUGCAGUGGACCGAAGAAGCUGAACAGAUGGGUUUCGGUUGACCUGGUGAAGUGAUCUGGCGUCGGGGUUGAAGACGCGAGAGAUGGCAACUGGCGGAAAGAAGAAUCGGUGGAGCUUUGCUUCGUACGAGUGGCUGAGGAGUCAACAAAACCGGUUCUGCUUGAGAGAAACUGCUGAAGGUUGACUCAACGUGGCCACGGCUUCGAUCGAAAGGGAAAGCAGCUUCGGUGGACUUUGACGUUGAGGCAGCCGCAGGAACUUCAGUGGAGACGGCAGCAAAUAGAGAGAGAGAGGGAACGUCAGUGUGACAUCCAAAAUAUUCGGUAUUAAUUUCAAUUGAGUUAAUCAGGUCAUUCCUAUGCAAUUGGAGUCGGGGAUUAAAAUGGAAUACAAAAUUGAGAUGCGAGAUGAGCUAUUGGAUGAGGAGAAUAUUUAAUGGAAGCAUUGAGGCCAAUUGAGAUGGAUUUAAAGUAAAUCAAGUGAUUAAUGGAAGCCAAUUGUUUCAAAAUUCGUAUGCCCAUAGAACCAAAAUUUUAAAUUACCUUAAAGCUUCUAGAAGGGGCAUUUUUGGCAAGGAAAAUGAAGUGGAAGACAGCUGGAUUGGUGGGGCCAGAGAGAGAGAGAGAGAGAGAGAGAGAGAGAGAGAGGAGAAAACCGGUUUCCCCUCUCCCCCGUCGACGGAACCUCCAUCUUCUUCCCCUUCCUUUUUGGUUUCUUCUUCAGCAACAAACCAGAGAAGCCCCAUCCGAAGCCGCACGCUGCUGAGGAGCCCCGUCGUUGCACGCCUCACGCCAAAACACCCGCAAGCCACCGGAGCUGCUCCCGUGCACCCGAGCCCGCCGUCGAGCUGCCGUCUGCACGCCUCCGCCCCUCUCCUCCCUCUGGUUCGAACAGAACCGACCAGCAAGAGUAGAAGCAGCGAUCGGCGCUGCUUGAAGGAGCUGCAAUCGCGCCGGAGCUGCCAUCGCCGCCGCACGCCGCCUCGCCGCCGUUCACCUCACGCUUGCCCGCCGUGCGCCAUCUGCCCAUGUCCGAACGAGCUGCUGUCCAGCUUCUGUUGCGCCUCUGGUCGGUCCCGUUCGGCCACCUACGGCCGCCGCCCGACCACCUCCGGCCACCGUCGACCCCGCCGAAGCUCCGCCUCGCCCUCAGCCGCCUUUGGCCGCCUCAACCGACGCCGGAACCACCUCAACCAGCCGCGCACAGAGGGUUGCAGAAAAUGGGUAUGACAGUGGGUUUUGGCCCGUUUUGGCCGCCUUCCCGAGCCCGGAUGCUCGGCCCACUUUGAGGAAAGUCGAUCCUCGCGUCGAGCCCGUCGUUUUGAGUGAGUUUUACUCACUAAUGCCUUCUUAGUGCGCUAAUUAUACUUAAAGGUUGAUUAGUGUUAAUUAAGUGUAAUUAGGUGGUUAGAUUAGAAUUGAUUAGUGAUUAUUAGUUAAUUGCUUUGCAUAUUAGUUGUGCGAUUAAUGUAAUUAGAUAGAGAAUUGCCUAUAGUAUUUAUUGGAUGUUUCUUGGGAUUUUUCCCGUCCCUUAUCGGGUGUUAAUUAAGCAAAUCGAGCCUAAGUGGAAUUUUUAGGAAUUAAAUAUUAAUUUUCGAAAUAAAUUAUUUAAUUAUUUAUUUUCCGAAAAUUCAACUUGGAUGACCAGUGACCGGAAUAUUAUGCUGAUGACCGUGGUGAAGUCCGUUUAUUUAAUCGGGCUUUAUCUUGAGCUAAAUCGAAUUUUAAUAUUUAUUAAUUAAUUUUCGAAAUUAAUUAAUUAUUUAAUUAUUUUUCGGAAAUUAAUGCUGAGGUGAUCGACGACCAGAAUUUCGUGCUGAUUGUCGUGGCGCAGUCCGUUUAUUUAUUUGAGCUCUACGUUGUGUGAAAUUAAAUAAAUUGUGAUAUUUUAGGGAUUUACCCUAAAUUGAUUGAAAUUGAGUGAAAUUGAAUUAUUGAUUGGUAGAUGGCCGAGUAUGGCUAGUUAGCAUUUGUACUACCUUGUUGAGCUGUAAGUGGAGAGAGUGAUGAGAACUAAUUGAGAAUUCUAUUGGCCAAGACCGAUCAAGUACGAAGUAUAGACAGGCGUGGUUUGGUGAUAAAGUACAUCACUGUGUGAAAACGGCGCCUUAAAGAACGCACGUAGACUGUCUAUGACUUAUGUAGGCGUGGUUCGGUGAUUAAGGAUAUCACCGUGCGAAAACGGCGCCUUAAAUAACGCACGUAGACUACCUAUGAAUCAUGACAGGCGUGGUUCGGUGAUGAAAGAUAUCACUGUGCGAAAACGGCGCCUUAAAGAACGCAUGUAGACUGUCAGUGAUUUGUGACCAGUGACGGGCGUGGUUCGGUGAUGAGGAAUAUCACUGUGCGAAAACGGCGCCUUAAAGAACGCACGUAGACCGUCUGAUACUUAUGUCACCUUGGCGAAAACGACGUCCGAGAGCAUUGAUGGAGCUCUGUGACUAAGUGUACUAUUGGAGGUUAUGUGGGAUGGAGUGAAUGACCUAGAAAUUAUUCGACUGACUUGUAAUCGACUAGGUCGAUUGAUCGAUGAUUCGAUCUGAGUGCGAUUCAAUGUGAUUGAUCAUUGCAUUGAUUUGAUGUUGCGAAUUGAUUGAUUGAAUGGAAAUGACCGUGAGUGGUCUUGUUGGCGUGUAAUCGAUUAAGUCGAUUAGAUCGAUGCUUCGAUCUGUGAUGUUAUUGCUUGAGUGCCUAUUUGAUUUGUGCUAAUAUGCAGGUGGAAUCUGAGGCCAAGGUAAGUCCUCUGACCCAUGUUGUGCAUAGGCAGCCCUAAGGUGUAUUAGUUUACUAAUCGGGUCUUAGGAGGUAGAACUUGCUGAGACGUUGUCUCAGUGGUUAUUGAAUAACCAUUUCAGGACCUGGAUGAGGAGCCUAAGGAGCAUGAAUCUGAUGAGGAGAUCCCUGUUGAGGAACCUGAAGAGGAGUACGUGGAGGAGGACCCCGAGGAUAACCCCGAGUACGACCCGGAUGAGGAUUGAGAUCCCGUCCUGUCUUGUCAAACCUUGUGUGUAUGUGAAUAGAUGUUAGACCUGAAGUGUUUAUAUGUACAUAAGGAUGUGGUUUUCAGGUUCAGGUUUCUAGUCCUACUUGUAUAUCCCAUUGCUUUAUUGUCUGGGGAUUUUUAUAACUGCUUCCGCAUGUGCUAUUAAAAAGGACAGGGUCGGCGAUAUGUAGUCCUAGGGAUAUCGCAUAAUAAAAUCGACCAAGCUUGAAGGAUGGUCACGUGACUGAGAGUCGGGGCGUGACAGUCAGUGUGGGACGGGUGAUGGUGGAUGGCAGCAGCUUUGAUCACUGCUUGGGGGAAGAAAAGCGGACGUGGAGCUGCGGCAGAAGCUGGAGUAGCUUCGGUCAACAAGAUGGGGAAGAGUUUGGUGGUUUGGUGACUUCGAUGAGGCUGUUUUGGUGGCUUGGCUCGCUGGGGAAGAGGGACGCGUGCAGAGAGAGAGAGAAAUUCAGUGGAGAGAGACAGCUUGCUUCGGUGAUUGAAAAUGAAGGAGAAAAUGAAAAGUAAAGCAGCAACCGAUGGAGGUGGAGUCGGCGAGGCCAGCUGGUUAGGCGUGCCGGAGAAGCUUUGGAUGGAGGGGAAGAAUAGUCAAGCAAAUAUCUAAAACCAUCAUUAGAUUACCAAAUAGUCUUCAAGCUUAUCCUUUCAAUUAAACCUUUGUCCCCCAAUACUUUCUUGCAAUAUAAUUCUCAAUUAAACCAAUUUGAUGACCAAUGUUGCACCCCUCCAUGCCUAGCUCCGAAUUUCCCUUAAUUUUGGAUUUCAAUUUCAUCCUCAAUUUCUCAAAUUCGAAGUCCAAUUUCGCCGAAGAAAAAUCCUACACAUCUCCACAAAUUCCCAUCAUCCAAUAGCUCGGCUUAGAAGCCCAAAUUUUCUUCAAUUGAGCCCAUCCGAAUUUCCGCUAUUUUUUUCCGCAACGUCUGAAUCAGUUUUCCAUAAAAUCUCGAACUCAACGAAAUUACUCCAAAAGAUAAGACGACAUCCUAUAAAUGAAUUGUGAUAUGCUCGAAUGUCCGAAUUCCGAAACCGAAUUCCAUUUCGUGGUUAAAAUCGAUCGAACGCAACUUUAGUCCGAUCCGACCUAUCAGGUAGCUUUUAGGAAUUUUACCGCGGUUAUAUCCCUUAACGGCUUCACCCAAUAGAUUGGUUAACUCGUGAGUGAUCAGCUCAGAGAAAAAGGACCGUAGGCGUGCUGGCGAAAUGCCCAUUUCAUAUAUUCAGAACGAGGUCGAAAUUCGAGAUGUCACAGAAAAGACCUACUUAAAAGGGACAUAACCAGUCCGAACACCCUCUCUUGACAGGUUAACCUGACACAUUCUAAUGAGACGCUCUAACAAUGUCCGAAAACUAGGCUACCAGUCAGUUUACCAAACCAACUCAUGACAAUCUCCUCUCUCUCAUAUUAGACCAUCUUGGAUAUCGAUCCAACUCCAAAAUGAUAGAUUUGGCUAGAGACUGAGUCACAAAACUCCUUGGCUCAAUGCUCUUGGCCAAGGUAUAGUGCUCAUAGUCCAUGUUGGCUCUCCCAACGUCUUGACGAGCACUCAUCCUCCAUAGACGCCAAUCAAGCUCCAAUAACCUUGUCCUUGCAAUGACAUAUGGGAUGAAUAUUUCUUGAUGUUGAUAUGAGUAGUUAAUUUGUGAUAAAUAGGAUUUCUAACCAAAUAUAUCACAAGUUUGUUGUCACAAUGGUUGAUAACACUUUUAUUGAGGGUAACAAUACAACCUAGAGGGGAUAAACAGGUUGUUUAUAAACUUUGAAAAACUUUUGCAGAACUUUUCAAAUUGAACAUUGAUAAAUGCAAAAACAUAUUAAUAUAGUCAAAUGCAGGAUGCUUCUAUCAAACAUAUAUUCCUAAUAGUGAAGAGAUAAAAAUAUAUAUUGCACAUAGAUAUAUAGUGAUUCAGCUUAUACCAAGUCUACGUCUACUCUCCAUGACUAACAUCCAUAACAAGGCUGAAUUCCACAAGUAAUUUUAAUAGAGGUUACAAAGUGCCGGUUCAAUAUGAAGCUAAUAGAUGGCUCUAGUACAUCGCCAUCACACUUGUAUACUUCUAAUCACAUAUUACCAGCACGAGAGCUCUUGCUUGUGAGAGUUAUUGACCUCCGAAUUUCGUUGAUACAUUUUUUUUAGGAAAAUUAAUUCACAAAUUAGGGAAUAUAAUAUUGAUGUCUCAUGCCCCAGCCAUUUAAGCAUCAAAAUCAAUAUUCCCCUAGGAUUUUUUUUUUUUUUAAGAGUGUUUUAGAAGCUUCAAGAAAUCUUGAGGUUUCUCUCUCUUAUAACAAUUUUUCGUUUGCUUUUGGCAAUAACUAACUCACAUACACAUGCAUAUUCACGUAUAUGGCAGAAAGCCUCAAGAAUGGGUUUUGACCAGAUGGGCAUUUUCAUCUUUGUAUAUGAGAGUAUAAAAGGAAAUUUCCGAUUCCUUCGUCAGAGAGGAAGGUAACAGAGACGCACGCACGCUCAUGCUAUCAAAAUAUUUAGUAUAAGGCGCGGCGAUGAAAUUAUACAUCAACUUCAACGGACGAUAGCUACAAUUUAUUGAGAAAUAAGUAUUGACGAAUUUGACCUUCCCAUGGUUUCCGUAACUAAGUUCUACACGUUACCUCGAUCAGCUUCUCCGCAUAUCUAUUUCUUUGAAACCACUCGUACCGCACAUGGAUACAUGUACAUGCUAUUUUGUCCUAUUCGGAGAAAAUUCCGACGUUAAAUUGGACGAUGUCGAUGGCAAGGAUCGCAAUUAUCAUAAAGAGAGUUAACAAAGCAUCAGUAUUGGACCACAUGCUUUCAUUUUGAGAUUUUUGUUAACCUGAUAUUGUAGGCAGAGGGAAAGCAAAUACGGUAAACAGUUGAAGUACUUUUAUUACCAUAAGACAGGACCGAGAUUAACCGAGAAGUUGGUGUAGAAUAGAUCAAAAUGAAAUGCAACUUCUACCCCCAUAACUCUGAAAACUCGCUUAUGUCCAUUCUCUUCAGGAAACAGGCUCUGUCGAAUCAGGAUCUAUAACGUGUCGUGAGCUUCUCGGGGCAGGGGCAACGUAGGGGCAGCAAAUAUCAGGCAGUUACGCUUGAAGAGUGGAAAAGGGAGGCAAAUAUCCUUGAGCUCACCAUCUGGGUCUCCUCCACUCGCACUUAAUAGCCUCCCUCUGCAAUUCCAAAUCUUUUCAGCAGUGAUAACGCCAUCCAUGGUAAGUUCGGAUGAUCGGUACUAUGGCGCAUCUCCCUUAAGCCACUAUGAUUGUUGCUUCUGCAACGCUAGUGAGAAGCGCAAGUGCACCUUCUGCCCCUCUCACCAAGUACUUGUACCCUUGUACGCAAGGUGGAUAAUCUUGUGUUAGAUGCUGCUUCGGUGCUCGGUGCUCAUGUAGUCAGCUUCUGAAUGAAGUUUUUCUGUAUUUCAUUUUUGCUAGCUGACCUCAAAGCUCGGACUCUUUCGUCAACUUUCAAGAACACUGAAAAUACAAGAUAAGACAACCUGCAUUAUUUUCUAUGGGGGGCACAUAGGAACCAGUUAGCGACCCUGCUUUACCACAUUCAAUGGGCAACUCGGUGGCAAGGGACUUCCAUUGUUCGAUGUCCUCAAGACUGUGUACAGUGGGGAAAUCGGUGCUUCUGAGAACCACCACCAAGAUAGUCAUCCUAAAUGGGAGCAACAUAUUGAAAAACGCAGCAUACUCCAUGAGGCCCCGAACACCAGCAUUGUGAAAGCGCGCUUUGAGCAACGUCGCCUGAAUGCCCCGAAGACAGCCAAAUAGAUUAGGCAGCCAGCUAGGAGGACCAGCGGCGUCUUAACUCGAUAGACCCUGGACUGGCGAAUCUCCUCCGUAUUCACCGAAUAAUUUAUGUAGAAAUGCUCUUCUAUUUUCGGGAAUGACGUUGGGACCAACCAUAUUAACAUGUUAAUCGAGGGAAAAAUUAUUCAAAAAAUUCUAAACCUAUUUUAUUUUUGUCAAUUCAAUUUUAAACAUUUUAAUUUUAUUAAUUCAGUUCUAAACUUUUUUAAUAAUUUGUCAAUUGAAUCCAUCUAGCCAAUUUAUCCUUAAAAAUGCUUACGUGGAUACCUAGUCAAUGCCGACAUGGAUGUUGGAAAUCAAAAUGACGACUUUUUUUUUUUUUUAAUUAUAUGUUUUGAUUACUUGCGCUUUAGCAGACAGCCUUGUGCGUCUCUGCCCCCCGCCCGUCUCUGCUCUUCGUGUGCAUCUCGGCUCUUUUUGCUCUAAAUCACAAGGAACGAAAUCCUUAAUUUCAAACCUUAGAAAAUCGUAGCCCCAAAUCGGGGAACCGGGGAUUUCUAUCUACCAGCAGCUUUCAAGGGAACUUGACAACGACGACUUAGCCUAGCAAGAGGAGGACAAGCCACAAUUGCGCGGUUCGUCGAGACCUGGUUCGACGCGAAGACCCAAUUCACCUAUACCCAAUUGUGACUCGACUCGGCCUUGAGAUUCUGCACCAAACCCGACAUUCAGGUAUGAUUUCUUUUGGACUCUGCCACUUUGCAAUGCAGUUUGUUUCAGCUUUUGUAUACACAAGUAGAGCCUGAGAUUAGUAGUUUCAUUUGUGCGAAAAUCAAUCACGAAUGAGGCUGCUUUAAUAUAUUGAGCUUCUGUUAUUUUAUAUUGUUAUACUUUGCAUUCAUAUAGAAUCACUAUCCACCUAAUAUUCAACCCCUUCGAUAAAAUGCCUAAGUGACAUACGAAUGUAUGUCUGUGAAA
rnacentral:lncRNA from 1 species